AAAAAAUGGAAAUGGGAGGUUUCCAAGCUAGGAGAUGGCAGAAUUAAUAUAAUGUGAUGGAAAAACAUGAAUAAUGAACAAGGGCUAGCUAGGCUGCCUAGCUAUGUUGUUGUAACAUAGGACAAGACGUGACCACCGAUCUUUUAUCCAUACAUUUGAUCAAAUCUCACCCUGAGUCAUGGAUGGAGAGAAAAUUUCUAGGGUGUCAGACAUAUGUGUCCAAGUCUGCAUUAAUCCUCAAAAUUAGGUUUGUCCACUUCUUCUUUUGUUACAGAGUGAAAGAUAAGUUGUGUGAUUCGUUUUUUGUGAGGUUUUGCGUUUUGGUAACCAUUUUCCAUGUACAAUUCAAGUUGCUGACGGAUUUUUAAGGAUCUUUUCAAUUUAACUAAAUUCAUACAUACUACACAGAUACUAAAAUUUGAAUUCAGGACAUUAUUUAAAAGAGUAAAUACUCUAAACCACUAUACUAGUGGGUACUUUGUUGUUGACGAAUUUAAUAAAUAUUAAUUUUGUAAUUCGUUUUUAAAGAAUAUCCUUUUGGCAUAUAUAUGAACAUAUCGAGAACAUUGAGAAAAAUAAAAUCUAAGAAAACUAUUGUCAAAGUAAGGCCACCUCCAGCGCAAGGAUCCAGCCCGGGCAGAAGGCAAUCUCAGGCCCCAAAACUCCCACCAGGACGCAAGGUCCAGUCUAAGCAAGAGUUGGGUCUCACGAGCCCAGACAAGCCCACAUGCAAAUUCAGCUCGAGCUGCUACCUAGGUAAAAUGACACAAUGUUGACGUCAUAAUGACAUCAGCAACAAAAAAAAAAAAAAGAGCCCAAAAUUUCAGAAUUUUUUUAUUUUGUAAAUACCUAGCCAUAUUCUUUACUUCCCAUACCAAAAACUUUAUACAAAUUCAUCUCCUCAUAUCUCAUGUGAGUAGUAAUUGCUCUUACCCUUGCCUUUGGAGUGGAAACAAAAAAGGUAAGGGCUGUCACUAUUCAUAUGAAUAAAUGACAAAUCUUGUCUUGUCUUUUCCUUACCCUUAUCCUUUAGAGUGGAGGUGCUCUAACAGUCAACAUAUAUGAAUGUGAGCAAUGAGCGUGACUCUUUAUAGUAAAGGUAAAGCCUUCCCUUCUGGGGUUUGUAUAUGUUUGAUGGGAAUUUUUCCAAAAACACAAAAAACAAAAAAUUACAAAAAAGUCUCUUUUUCGGAAGUGGGUUCACAUACAUAGAUUCCUUUAUAUGGGAAUCUUUAUUUUAAAAAAAAAGUAAAUUGUGUUAUGAAUAUGUAAGCAAAAUUGGAGUGAAAAUUACCCAGAACUAACAACAAGCAGUCUAAGCAUGAUCAUGAUCAUGAUGUUCUUAAUCAUUUUCUAUGAUCCAAAAUUUCCCUCCAAGCAAUAUGUAAAGAGGCUAGAAUGAGGGGGUCUUUAAUAGUAGUCUGAUCUAGUGCAGAAUUAAUAUUAAACUGUUGGAUUGAAUCUCCACAUUGUAAACCCCCAAUAUAAUUUUACCGCCUCCAAGUUUUGCAAGAGCAAAAGUCCAAAAGUGAAAAAAGAAGAAAAGGGUAAAGCAGAAAUAUAAUAAAAUGGAUUGAGUGCAGUCUAAGUAAGCCCAUUUUACAAAGACUAUAACUACCAGUCACAUGAACCCUUUUUGGUAUCUCAAACUUUUAGCUUUUGCUGUCUUAUAAAGUCCAUCAUGACAAUUAGCACAACUAUUACCAAUAAUCACUUUGAUUAAACUCCAUUGGUGGUCAAGUAAAGACUUAGAAGUUGCGCUAAUUGGUCUUGAAACAAGAAGUCAAAAAGAACCGAAUUUUACUAUCAAACCCGCCAGCAUCUUUUAUGUUGAGAUGCCCCCAUUAGAAAUUGUUAGCUUUAUUUUUGGACAGACAAAGUGAAAGGGGGUCUCUUGUUGUGCUUCAACUUUGAGAGACCAUACAAGAAAAAAACACAGAGAUAAGGGUUUCUUCCAAAAAAUUUAAAAAGGAACAAAACAUUUGGUCGAUUGGGUAUGAGUCAUGUAAUAGGGACAAAUGUCCCUUCUUGUUUGGGGCCGUGAGCCUAAGUAGAGUGAACACCAUUGAAGCUGCAGGGCAACUCUGCUACUUUUUGUGUGAGUCUUCAACACAUAAUCAGUGAGCAAAGCUAAAGUUUGCUACAGUCAUCCAAUGCUGUGGCGCCACAUGUCGUGCAAGGGAAAUUUUGCAAUUAUAGCACAGGACAAUGUGGUGGGCAGGCUUUUUACCACCAAACAUGAGUGCUUCUGAUUCCGCAUUGCAGUAUAAGGUGAAUUUUGAUGCAGAGCAUGAUGGCAGCUCCCCAAGUCCAUAUGCCAUUUUAGUUUGUCAGCAGUCAAAUAACAAAUUGAAAAUGUGUAAAUUAGAGUAUGUUUUGGCACUGCUUCUAGAAAUGUUAAAAGCAAUUCUGAUAGUAUUUGACCUAAAAACUCAAAAAGUGUUUUUUGAGUAUAAAAGUGUAAUAUAGGAACAAGCGUUUAUGAAACGGAAAUAACGAAAUAAUGAUAUCCAUGUUGCAACCAAGUUUUUCUCCCCUCCCACAUUUUACAGAGCUGCCAUUGCCAAUUUUCCACAACCAUAAAUUUAUGUAUUAUGUAUGGAAUAUUAACCUAAUUAUGAUAUCGCCUUGGAGGCAAAUUAACCUCCUUAAGAAUAUUCCUUCUACUAAUAGCAAUGGGAUCUAAUCCAAGUAACAGUUGGAGAACACUGGAUAGUCUUAAAAAAGGGUAUCAUUAGCACUAAUGACUUAGUGCGUGUAUGUUCUGUAUGUGGGUGUGUGAUAUUUUAAACUUAAUCAAAUCAUUCUGUUCUGUUUCUGUCAAUUUUUUUGGCUAAGAAACACAUAAAAACAUGAUUUAAACGCGCAUGCAAGCAUGCACAAGGGUCAUAAAUAGUAUAUUAGUAUAAGCUCAAUCCCUACUAAGAAUAGUAAUUAUGAGUUUAUAAUCUCCAAACAUAGGGAGUUAUAGGGAGGUGGGCAAAGAAUUAAGUAGACAGACAACAGAGACAGAGAGCGUUAAAGAGAAACAGCCAGAAAGGCCAAUUUUGGGGAUUGAGGCAUUUUAAAAUGAAUGUGAUACUAAACAUUAGUUUAAGGGCAUGGGUUCAGUUCCUGCAAUCCUGGCAAAGAACACACCACUUAAAAUAUAAGGUUAAGUUAAUACUGAGUCCAUUUAGCAGCCCACAAAGUAAAAUGAAUAUGUUGUCUCGUAUAUGAUGCUUGUGUUAUCCGAUUGUGAAUUUUAACUGCAUAUUUUAAUAUAAAAAAAUAAAAAAAUUAAUGAUCUAGAUUCACAAUAUGACAAACUACAUAUUUUAGCUGAAAUCAACAUGAUAAAUAAUAGAGAUUCGUAGUUUGACAAUAUAACACAUCAUAUGUUUCCUGAUUGAUCUAGAUCGAAACAUAAACAUAUGGGUUUUUGAAGAAGGAGGAGAUGUUAUUGGUGGAGAAGAGGGCAAUGAAUUUAGUGAUGUGUAGAUGAGAGUUGGGGACAGCAUGCUUGGAGAAGUGAGGUAAUGGUGGAUAUGGGGAAGGGAGAAGGAGGGCGUGAAAUAAAAAUGAAAUGUUUCCUAUGCUUACAACAGGAGUGUCGAGGAAAGGAGCGUUGAUGGGGGCACAAGGUGAUAGGUCAUAACCCACUAAUGUUUUUAUUCAAUCAUCUAUGCACAAUGCUCCAUAUCACCCACCAUCUCUCACUCAGUCUCUGUGUGUUUGUGUCUACUGAAAUUACCCAUACUUGCUCUGUUUCCUCACAUUAAUAUGUAAAUGUAAGAAUGUCAUAAAAAUACAAUUAACUAGUCAGUGAAGCCCAUCUUGAUAAAUGUAUCUACCCUUGUGGGAUUGUCCAUUUUUGGCAUUUUCCUUCCAAGGUUAAAAAAUGGAUGUUUGUCUCAUUUCUAAAAUUGCACAUAAAAUAUACAGAAUGGGCUAUGGCUAGACAAGUGGAGCUUAUUCAUCCCAAAUAUUAAAUCAUUAUCAUACAAUUCACAUCAUCUUGAAAAUUAGGGCAAGAGUCCAUAUUGUUAAUGCCAAAUAUGCUAAAAUAUGAAAUUUAUGAGAGAAUAUUAUUUGUGGGAAUUUUUUAUGUAUUCUUCUCUUUGUAGGAAGCUGUAUUUAUAAUACAAUAAACUCUUGCAUGUCAAGGAAAGUAAUAACUUAUAAUUCUAUUUACAGUAGGAAAUCAAAAAUUAAAGUAAAUCAAUUACAUUUUAAUAUAGGAAUCCUUCGCUUGUAAGGAAAGUAAUUGCGGGUCCACAAGUCACGCCAACACUUCCCCUCAAGUUGGUGCAUAGAUAUCGUCAAUGCUCAACUAGUCCAGUGAAUUGUAGAAUGCUUUACUAGAAAUUGUCUUUGUCAAAAGAUCUGCCAAUUGAUCCUUGAACUUUAAGAAAGGAAACUGAAUCACUUUAGCUUCAAGUUUUUGUUUGAUAUAAUGUUGAUCUACCUCAACAUGAUUGGUACGAUUAUGUUGAACUGAAUUCUGUGCAAUAACUAUUGCUACCUUUUUGUCACAAAAGAGAUUCAUUACAGAUGUAAGUCUAUACUUAAGUUAAGUAAGCAGCCUACGUAGCCAAAGGAGUUCACAAAUUCCUUUAGUCAUAUCUCUGAACUCGGCUUCUGCUCUAGAUAAAGGUACUACCUUCUGUUUCUAGCUCCUCCAUGUCACUAAAUUUCCUCCCAUAAAUGUAAAGUAACCAAAUGUGGAUCUUUUAUUUGUUACACUCUCUGCCCAAUAUGCAUCUGUGUAACCAUCAAUAUUCAUAUGACCAUGUUUUGAGAACAUAAGUCAUUUUUCAGGUGCAGACUUCAAAUAUCUAAGUAUUCCGAGAACUGCAUUUAUGUGGUCUUCACUUGGAGAAUGCAUAAAUUAACUGACUACACUCACAACAUAAGUAAUGUCUGGUCGAGUACGUGACAAAUAGAUCAAUCUUCCCACUAACCUUUGGUAGAUUUCCUUGUUAGUUGGAACUUGAUACGAGGAUUCUCCAAGAUGAUGAUUCUGAACAAUAGGAGUAUCUAAAGGUUUGCAAUCUAGCAUUCAUGUGUCUCUCAACAAGUCCAAGACAUAUUUCCUUUGAGAUAUAAAUAUGCCUUGCUUUGAUUCGACCAUCUCAAUCCCCAAGAAAUACUUGAGUCCACCUAGAUUCCUCAUCUCAAAUUCAGUAGCUAAAUAGUCUUUUAAUCGAGAUAUUUCAUAUUCAGCAUUCAUGGUAAUAAUCAUAUCAUCAACAUAGAUUAUUAACGGUGUUACCUUUCCUUUAUGAUGUUUCAAGAACAGAGUAUGAUUUGAAUUGUUGUGCUUGAAUCCAUAAUUCUUUAUUGCCAAGUGAAUUGUCCGAACCAUGGAUGUGGUGACUAUUUCAAACCAUAUAGUAUUUUUUUGCAACUUGCACACCAUAUUAGUCUUAGUAGAUGUUGUAUAUCCCGGUGGAACAUCCAUGUACACUUCUUCUGUGAGUUCAUUAUGCAAGAAAGCAUUUGUUACAUCAAAUUGGUGGAUUGGUGAAUCCAGGUUAGCUGCAAAAGAUAGUUGCACUCUGACUUUGUUAAGCUUUGCUAUGGAGACAAAAGUUUCUUCAUAAUUGAUGAUGUAGGUUUGUGUGUACCCUUUUUCUACAAGUCUGGCCUUGUAUCUUUCAACGCACCCAUUACCUUUCCUUUAUGAUGUUUCAAGAACAGAGUAUGAUUUGAAUUGUUGUGCUUGAACCCAUAAUUCUUUAUUGCCAAAGUGAAUUGUCCAAACCAUGCAUGUGAUGACUAUUUCAAACCAUAUAGUGUUUUUUUGCAACUUGCACACCAUAUUAGUCUUAGUAGAUGUUGUAUAUCCCGGUGGAACAUCCAUGUACACUUCUUCUGCGAGUUCAUUAUGCAAGAAAGCAUUUGUUACAUCAAAUUGGUGAAGUGGUGAAUCCAGGUUAGCUGUAAGAGAUAGUUGCACUCUGACUGUGUUAAGUUUUGCUAUGGAGACAAAAGUUUCUUCAUAAUCGAUGAUGUAGGUUUGUGUGUACCCUUUUUCUACAAGUCUGGCCUUGUAUGUUUCAACGCACCCAUUGACAUUGUGUUUGACAGUAAACACCCAUCUGCAUCCAACUGUUCUUUUUCCUGGGGGUAAUAUCUCUAGUGUCCACGUCUGAUUUUUCUCCAGAGCCUUCAUUUCUUCCUUCAUUGCUUGGGUUAACUUCGGAUCUUUCAAUACUUAAGCCACCUUAGUAGGAAUGACAAUAGCAGACAACUGAUUUACAAACGCCUUCAGUGGUUCAGGCAAUUUUUGAGUAAGCACAUGGUUGACAAUUGGGUACUUUGACAUUUUUCCAAUAUGAGGAGCAUACCGGUUUGGGGUUUUCCACAAUUCUGCCUGAAAGGUAAUUGGUAUCCAAUAGAAUCAUCAACUAACUUCAUAGAAGUUGUAGGAAUAUUUACCUUAGGGAUAUUCUUAGGAGAUUGGUCGUCUGGUACUGUUGAAUAAGAUAGGGGGUCUUCAGUGUGUUCAGGUUCGUCUUCUUUCACAAGGGAGUCAGACGUAGUCAAAUCAGCGGACGUUUCAAACACAGGCGACUGGUCAAAUUCUUCAGAGCUACCAGUCGUUAUUGUUAGAACGACCGGUUGUUUUCGUCCAGACUUUGAUUUUUCCAUCUUUUAUGGUGCUCUAAGUCUGUGCUUCACCCCAUGAAGCAAAGAAUUUGAUACUGGGUCAUAAAAAGAAUGUCUCAUACUCCAAAAAGGUGACAUCUAUAGUGAUAUAUGUGCACCAGGAAGAAGGAUGAUAACACCAAUAGCCAUUCAAAUAAGUGGAAUACCCCAAAAAAACACAUCGAAGCUCAUAAGGGUCACGUUUGCUUCUUUGGUUUUUAUGAAGAUUAAAAACGCACCCAAACACUCGUAGUGUGAGCAUCAAGAUAGAAGGCAUGGGCCCAUAUUGAGCAACAACUUGUACCGGAGUAUGAUAGUAAAAGACACAAUAAGGCAUUCGGUUAAGCAAAUAAACAGCAGUGAUGAUGAUAUCAUCCCAGUGGCGGCGAGGAACAUGAGUCCUAAUCAAAAGUGUAUGGGCUGAUUUAAGAAGAUGAUGAUUUUUUUUGUUUCGCAACACCAUUCUUUUGUGGAAUUGCCAUGUCAAACGAGUACAAUCAUCCACAAAACGUGACAAACCAUCUAAAUCCAGAAGUAGUAGAGAUAGAUGAAGCGCCCCAGACAUCAGAAUGAAGUAAAGCAAAAUGAAUGGUACUUUUAUUCAUACUUAAUAGGGUAAGAAACUUCGUGACUCUUGGCUAAGAUGCAAAUGUCACAUUGAAAGUUUGAAUCUUUAAAAAACAAAACAAAUAUGGGACUAAAUGUCUCAUAUAACCAAAAGACGGAUGCCCUAAACUGUGGUGCCAUAACAAAAUAAGUCGAUGCUUGUCAUCAAAUGGAUGCUUCACGAUGUUUGCGAUGACCAUACUAAAGUCAUCCACAUAGUAAAGCCCAUUCUUUUAGUACAACGUCUAAUGAUCUCCUUGGUGAGAAUAUCUUGAAGAAAACAAAAAGUGGGAUAAAUUAGUGUACAACAAUUCAAUUAUUCAAUAGCUUGGCCAACAAACAUCAAUUUAUUGGAUAUAGACAGAACAAGUAAAGUAUUGGAAAGUGAAAGAAAAUGGGAAAAAUGCAAUAGUGCCCUUUCUAGUUACAUGAUAAGUAACGUCAUUCACAUUAGAAACACUGGUGCGGCGGGGAUGAGAGGUGCUCAUAUGGUCAGUCGCGCUAGAAUCAAUAAUCCACCCAGGAGCAUGACUCAAUGCAGAAGUAUGAAAUACAAAGCCACAGUUGCCUUAGUCACUCAGAAUCUGGGAGUUAUUAGAUUGAGGGGAGGGUGGAUCCGACCUGAUGAGCCAACGAUAAUUGGGGUUCGGUGGUGAUGAGAGCGACACGACCAACUCCAAGUGCAAUUUUCUGAGCUUUGUAUCAUUCCCACCAAUCGAGAUACUUGUGCAUUUUGUAACAGGUUUCCCAAGUGUGUUUAGGAUUUCCACAUUGAGUGUAUCUCACCUCUGUAUGUCGGACUCUUGGGUUUAUGAGGUUGGGUAGUCGAGUUGGCAGACGAGCCAAUGGCCAUGACAUAAGACUGCAUCUAAAGAGGUACGAUUGCAAAAGAAGGUGGCUGGCUAGGCCGAUCGUUCAAGGUGUGGCAGGUCGGUGGAUGAGUUCCCUUGGCUGCCAACAACGGUCAGUGCCUGAGUACCCAAUAUGGCAGCUUGUUGGAGAUCUUCACGUCAGACAAAAGCAUAUGCUUGCUAAAUAGUUGGAAACAGAGCCAUCUUAAGAACAUCACUGCCGGCCUUGUCAAGUCAGUCAUCCAAGCUAUCCAAUAAGAUAUAAACAUGAUCUUCUUGGAGAUUGACGUUGUGCUCCUUGAUAUCGGAAUCACACUUCAUCUGAUCUGGAUGACGAAAGUCGAUUUCUUGCCAUAAGCUUUGUAAAUCGUUGUAGUAGGCUUUAAUUGAGCCACCUAGUUGUCGCAUACGGUGAGUGAAUCGUUUAAGAUCGUACACCUGAGAGGUGUCAGUGCCAUCAAAGUAUAUCAUGGCAAUCGCAUCCCAUACUACUUUUGCAAUUGGAAAACGAAUAAAUGUGCUAAUCAAUCGAGGCUCCAAAGAAUUGAUUAGCCAGCCUUUCAUAACGGUAUUCUCAAUGUGCCAAUAUGGAAACGCGGGUCAGUCGGAGUAAGUGGUGGAAGUUUCCUUAUGAGGUAUCCCAACUUGUCUUUGCCGGCGACGUACGCCUUGACAACUUGGGACCAAAGAGGGUAGUUGGAGCCAUCCAACUUGAUUGGGCAGUGGAAGCUUCAUAGGUAAUAGUCAGGAUCUGUGUGUUGGUCAUGUUCGGGGUUAGGUUCUGGUUCGAGUUUGGAUUCUAGUUCUGGUUUUGUAUCUUUAAGAACUGGGUCAUCUGAGCGGCCAGUUCGGUGAAGUUUAGUUGAGAAGGAGAAGCGAAAUCUGUCGUACUCCCUUCAUGGUGGAGCAAAAUAUCUUCAUCCCCCAUGAUGCCGGUCAUGUUUUAAAAACAAGAGUCAGCAAUUCCAAUAUCGUUGCUUUGAUACCGUGCUAAAAUAUAAAACUUAGGAGAGAAUAUUGUUUGUGGGAAUUUUAUGUGUAUUCUUCUCCUUGUAGGAUGUUGUAUUUACAAUAACCCUUUAUAGGUCAAGGAAAGUAAUAACUCGUAAUUAUAUUUACAGUAGGAAACCAUGAAUUAAAGUAAAUCAAUUACAUUUAAUAUAGCAAUCCUUGGCGUGUAAAAAAAGUAACUGCGGGUCCACAAGUCAUGCCAACAAAAUAUUCAACCAUUGAGUUGUACAUGAGCUUUAUACUUGAAAUUCAGCUUAAUCUUCACCAUCAAGUACGGGUCUAAUACUCAAACUCGAAGACUACAGUGCGCUACUUGGCUUGCUCUGGCUAAUUAUUGACUUCAUUUUGUUCUUCCAUGAAAUAUCCAUAGUCCGUUUGAUUUAAAUAAGGGACUUGUAGCUCAAAUGAUUAAGAGCAAUUAUCUUUGCAUCCGAAGUCCUAUGUUUAAUUAUCCUCUCACCCCCCUUGUAAGGGGAAAAAAAAUCAAGUAUAAAUAUCAAACUCUGGUCGUGACUAUAAAGGGUACCUAUUAUAGUAAGUAAUAAGCCUCCACAACCUAACCUAUGUUUGAAUAUGAAAUAUCAAACUUCUUAAUCUAUGAAGAAGGAAAUGCAAGAAUCGAACUCUAACUUUGAGCGUGAGAAUAACUAGUAUUUUUAAGAAUGAAGUAUGUACCAAUCUAUUAAGCCUUCCCUCAAGUUAUUCAUAUUUCACAAGAGAUGGACAUGUUGUUUUGAAAACCAACAAGUGGAAAGACAGGAAAAUACAGUAAUGUUAUUGGGAUAAUACGUAAAUGGAAAGCUUAUCUUUAUUUAUGCUCAUAAUGGUACAAAAGCAGUAAGGGAGGACUAAAAAAUGAAAAAAACCAGGGAAGGGAACGAAACAAAUAAAACAGAGUGGUCCACGCGUGCCAAUGCCUGUAUUUAUGCACUUGUGUUGUGUUGUGUGUGGGUGUGCAAGCGUGUGAAUGUUUGUGUGUGCAAGCGUGCUAAGAGGUUCUCACGUGUGAGCGGCUUAUAAAUACGCAUGUGGAGAACGGCACCACCAAAGAAGUUUUCUAGUGGGCAAGCUAUAAAGCGUUUGUCUACUUGAAUUUUUCUGUAACACAGAAGGUUAGAAGCAAAGAGACAGAGGACUUAGAAAAAAAAGGGAAUCUCUUUGUGUUGCAGAGGGAUUUUAAUUUGAUUUUGUAAGCAACAAAAACAGUUGAGUGAUUUGAGAGAAAUGGAGAUUGAGAGUGAAAUGAAGCAGUCAAGGUUUGGGAGGAUUUGUGUGUUUUGUGGGAGUAGCCAAGGCAAGAAGAGUAGCUACCAAGAUGCAGCCAUUGAGCUUGGCAAGGAACUGGUAUACAAUGGCUUUUUCGAACUUCAAAUACACAGUUUUCUUUGGGUUCUGUUAUGUCACUUGAGGUUUUUCAUACUUGGGUUCUUUUAAAAAAGAUCAAAAGUUGAAGUUUUAUCCCGUUUGGUUUUGUUGGAGUUUACUUUUGACCAUCUUUUUGCUUUUGUUUCUUGUUUAUGUCAGAUGGGUUUUGGUAGGAAUUAGUUGGAAGUUGCUCAAACUUGAUCAUCUUGUUUAUGUUUGUAACAUAUCAUGUUGUUCUUGUUCUAGUUUUUUGGGGCAAGCACAUUAUGAUUAUAACUUGUUUGUCACUUGGUUCCUGAGAUUUUUUUUCUUCGUUUUUUUUAAAUUAGGAUUUGAUUUCUUCAAACUGGAACUUUCUUCCUAAUUAAGUUUGUCUCUAGCAGAAGGCAUGCAAAUGUUGCUCUCUCUCUCUCUCUCUCUCUCUGUCUUUUCUUUGGUAAAUGCUCCUCUCUCUGUCAUUAUCAGAAAACUCAUCAACACUAAAUAAGCCCAUUUAGAGAUGGAAAAUGAUGCCACUUUUGCAUUACAUGUGUUUAAGUUUUCAACUUUCAGUCUGUCAUAAUUCCAAACUGACCAACUCAAUCACUUCAACGCUUUGUUAUUUUGGCAUUUGCACCUCUCCUCGCGAAUAAACAGAUAUGAACUUAGUGUACUAAACGUACAAAUUUGUUGUAUGAGCAUUGAAGAAUCCUUCCAUUCUCAAUUUAUUAGAUGUACUCAAAAGUGCACUAUUUUUUCCAAAUGGGUUCUUGAAAAGUACAAUUUGUUUUGCUAAUGUCUUGAAGGUUUCGAGGAACAUUGAUCUGGUCUAUGGAGGAGGCAGCAUAGGCCUAAUGGGUUUGGUUUCACAAGCUGUUCAUGAUGGUGGUCGGCAUGUUAUUGGGUAUUCUUUUUACUCCUUAUCAGAUCUCAGAUGAUAAACAAAUGAAAUCACAAAACAAACAAACAGAUUAAGAAACAAUAAGUGAGUUGGGACAAUCGUUAUGGUUGGUUUUGCUCUCAAAAACAACUGAUUUUGUCAUGGUAUUGUCUCUCUGCAGAGUUAUUCCCAAGACGCUCAUGCCUCGAGAGGUAUGUUUCCUAUAGCCAGAUAAAGUGCUUCAACUUUUCCAAUUGUAAAGAAUAGAAAUUUAUACAUGGUUUAUUAUAUAUAUAUAUAUAUAUAUAUCAGAAUUUAUUGGUUAUUAGAUUCAUGUUCAAUUCUUUUCUACAUCAAUUUCUUUCUUUCUUUGUUCUUUUUCUCUUCUUUUUUGGGUGGGGGAAUGAUGUGAGCACUUUUAGCUGCUUUUCUUUCUUUAUUUUGUUUUUUUGCUUUUAUUUUUAUUUUUAUCUUCUGUUUAUUCUCUGUUUGGUUCCCUUCAUUUCUGUUUCUUCAAUGGAUGCUGGGGAGACUUAUCCAUAGCACACUUGAGUACUUGAACUACCCCACUAGUAUUGUACAGUUUUGAGUCUCUGCUGAUUUUUCUGAUUUCUUUUCCCUUGUAUCAGUUUUAUAUGGUCACUUGAGCUUUAAAGUAAUUUUCUUCUUGUGCUUUUCUGCCUUGGCCUUUUCUAUUGAUCGAACUUUGUUGAUUUUGCCAUCUGGUGACCACUAAAUUUACUGGCUAGGGAAUAGCCGGAUUUUGCAUUAACUUCUUCCCCCAAAAAAAAAAUUGUAUUAAGCUCAUCAUUUCUGCAACACUCAUCAUUGCUUUGCUGCACAAAGCUCCAAAUCUCUCUGUCUCUCUGUCUCUCUGUCUCUCUUAACAUCAAUUUCUUUAAUCUUUUUCCGUGCAUUGAUACCAUUUUGCAGUUAACUGGUGAAACAGUGGGGGAAGUGAAGGCAGUUGCAGGCAUGCACCAAAGGAAGGCAGAGAUGGCUAAGCAUUCGGAUGCCUUUAUUGCCUUACCCGGUUAGUAUAAGCCCUGAACAACUCUCUCUGUCUCUCUCCCCCUCUUUCUCUCUUUGCCUGCCUGCGUACCUUCACUUAUACCAGAAUUCUUAAACAAAGCAAAGAACAUAUGGUCCUUCAUGGCUUUAAUUUUUACUAAUUUUAGCUUGCAAGUCCACUUUUUUUAUUCUUGUGACCCCUUCCAGUAUUAGACCAUAAUCUCUCCAAAACCCAAUAAACUAAUUUGGAAAUAUAUGGAACAGCAGUCAAUGACACAACAAAACUACAAACCACAAGAGAGGGCAUUAUGGCUAAUUAACCACUAAUUCUUUUAUUAAUUAGACUUAGAAUUCUCGAUUUGAUGUCUUGAUGGAUGUUCUUGAUCGUUCUUGAACUGAGUAAAUGACAAAAUAUUGAAGCUUGGAGGAAAUGCAGAAAGGGUGAAGAAGGAUUUGGCAAUAAUAAGUCAAACUAUCUUUAUAUUUUAUAUUUUAUAUUUUACUCUUGUAGCUGUUGUCUUUUCAUGCUUUAAAUGCACUAGUAUUUGAUAAUGCUGUGAUUGCGAUUGUGUGAAUUCUAAAUCAUCACACACAACUUUCUCAAACUUGUGUCCCAAAACCCAAGACACAUGAUUAGAGAGCAACCCCUCAAACCUCAGAGUCCAUGACCCAUCAACAUCUUACACUGAAAAUUAGAGCUUCUGAGGAACCCUGCAUCUGUGGUUAAUAUCUCCUUUUGCUAAAAAUAGUCUGUAGCCUGUGAUGUUGCUGCAUCAAUUGUUUCUUGCCUCAUGGAGAAAAGAUAACAUAAAAACACUUUCACUAUAUAGGUUUUGCCAACUAGCACCCCAAGCUGACAAGGAAUGAUGCUUACCACUUUCAAAAACUUCACUCAUUAACAUCUAGAGUUUUAUUGGUAAGAAACUUGUAAUUUAAGUAGUUAAGAGCAUUUAACUUUGCACUCAAAAUCUUAAAUUCGAUUUAUUAUUGCUUGCUUGGGUUGGCAAAAAAUAAAAAUAAAGCUGGUGGAAAUAAAUGGUCAUGUAAAUCAUCAUAGCUGCAUGUAACAUGACCAUUAGCAUCAAACGGAUCUGAUAGUAAAAGUGUGAACUAUUCAUAGUCCGCGGUCAAAGUGCGUUGCACCAAGGUUGAAAUGGUCAAAGUAUAUUGCACCAAGGUUCAAAUGAGCAGAUGGAGUAGACAGUAUUUUCAGUCUUUUUACCCUUCUUUUGAAUGGAUCAGAGAAAUAAUGAUUAACAGCAUAAUCCUUGUCUAUAGUCUAGUACGAGAACUAGUUGUCUUGUUUUGCCUCUUUCUUCUGUAGGCAUCUUAAAUAGUGCAACAUAUUGUACAUAAGCAUAAUUUGAAUGAUUCCAAAUAUUAUCUUAUAUGAAGCUGCUUGGACUGUAAAUCUAGAUUGUAAGUACCAAUUUAAUUUUUCUUGCAGGUGGUUAUGGAACUCUGGAAGAGUUACUUGAAGUGAUAACAUGGGCUCAACUUGGAAUUCAUGAUAAACCGGUAAUUCAUUUUUAUGCAUUAUGAAUACAAUUUAUCGUAUUUCUCUUAUAUAUAUAUAUAUAUAUAAAAUUCCAUGUUGAUGGUAAACACGUGAACUUUUAGGCUUAAACCAUUUUCUUUUUCUUUUUUGUCUAUAGGUGGGAUUGCUGAAUGUUGAUGGAUACUACAACUCCUUGCUAUCAUUUAUCGAUAAAGCUGUGGAAGAGGGAUUUAUUAGCCCCAGUGCACGCCACAUAAUUAUAUCAGCACCAACAGCAAGGGAGUUGGUGAAGAAAUUGGAGGUAAUUAUCUAAAGCAUUGUUUAAUGAUUUGUUGUAAUUUAGUCAAAUACAUAAUUAGUGCAUUCAACCUCAACCUUUGUUCAUUGAUAACUAAUUUGUUGGUUGAAAACUUCUUUUGAUGUUUAGUUGAUUUUGCUGAUGUAGGAUUAUGUCCCAUGUCAUGAAAGAGUUGCUUCAAAGUUGAAUUGGGAGAUGGAGCAGCUUGGCUACACACAAGAAUAUGAUAUCUCUAGGUGAUCAUGGGAUUGCAGCAUUCAGACACACUAAGCUUGUUGGAAUUUUGGAAGUUGAAGAAGCUAAUUUGUAGAACUCUAAAUUUCUGAUAUGGGGAUUUUUAUUUUUUUUUCCUUUUCUUUUUUAUUCCUUGUGUAAAUUAUUGCAAUUGACCCCACUAUGUGAAGUUUCAAUAUUCCCUUUUGUGGAAAUUUCCUUCCCCUUCUUAAUUUGUAAGUAAGUAACGAAGCACUAGAGGCUUGUGAACCUUCCCCUUGUAUUAACUAAUUUAUACUUUUAUUUUUUUCCUUUUGUAGCCAAACCAAAUAUGUGUCUCUGGCCACAUGCUUUGUUUUUACUUUCUUGUGUUUUAUCACAUUUAUUGGGUCACUGAAAAGGAAGCUUGAAAAUGUCAAAACUCAGUGAUAAGAACAUUUGUCGGCAUAGUAGUGAUCUCAUGUUCCAACCCAAUGACACUUCCCAUCCCCCUCUCAAACAAGGCAAGCUUGACAAUGGAGUCCAUUGACAUGUGCUUGCAAACACAGAACCAAAUGGUCCCAUUAGAACAAGAUAAGUGUCGUUAACCAGGAAAGCAAGAAGAGAGGGGUGGGGGGGGGGGGGGGGCAAGUUUUGUUGCAGACACAUAUAAAGCCCAUCUUUUCAAGUAAUGCUUUUCUGUUAAGGUUAGGCGCUAUCAGCUAUGGCCAACAAACCAAAGGUGUUUUGAGUCAAGUAAUGGUUGAUGGGAAGAGGAGAGGGGGCCAAUCUUGAGAAAAGAGGGAGUGCCCUUUGCUGCCCGACAAAUGGGACAAUGACAUGUGACGUAUGGCCUGUGGAGGGCCACAUGUUAUGAACAUGGAAAAGUAAAAGGCCAAAGCCUUUGGGGCAUUUAGGACCCAGUUUUUCUUCUAAAGGGCCUGUGGCUGAUUCCACUAACCGUGUACAAUUUGGAAGUGCUUUCAUGAGUCAAUUUUUGAAGGGUUUUUUUGAGGUUGAGAUUGGUUUCAAACUUAACGCAAUGUGAAAGCUAUAAAGAAAAAUUUAAUCAAAAUGAUGUUGAAACAUUGGAGAUAAGAAGACGAAAUCCUGGCUGUCCUAUCUGUUGUUGAUUAAAACCCUUAUGAUUUGUUUUGUUAAAACGUCCAAAAUAUUAUUGAAAAAGAGGGAAAUAAGUGUUCACUCUCUCAGAAAGUUUCUCUGAGCAAGUUAGGUCGACAUGUACGGGAAAUCUCAAGGAAAUUCCAUCUAUGACACCAAUUCUUGACUAAAGCAUCAUAAGAUUCGAUUUCUAAAGGUGUGGCAAAGUAUAUAGGUGCAAAUCGUGUCAUGCUGUGGGACAUGCCAUGUGUGCCGAGUUGUCUUGACACGGUACGUCUAAUUUAUUAUGUUCCUAUAUGCCGAACUCAAUUUUAGCAGCAAAAAUAUCAACUAGCUAUUGGUUUAGUAAUUGUUAGGAUUAACCUAAAAGAAUCAAGCCUGGAAUCCACUAGAUAUAAGAAAACCUCUUGUUUAUUGAAUUCAGAAUGAUAACAUAAUACCUUAGUCAUGAACUAUAGUUUGUUUAAAUACUCCUAGAAACCCUAAGAAACAAAAAGGGAAUUAAAAGAGAAAUUAACAAAAGUUUCUAAAAAUUGCAAAAUAUUAAAAGGCCCAUUUGGGCCGCUGAAUGAUCUCGAAUGCCCAAAAAUGCUCAUCAUUAUGGCAAAACGAUGAGUUUUACUCGUUGUGCCAUUCUCUUCGAAACGGCGGAUCAUGGUCCCAAAUCGGAACUUGGGGCCCAUACUUGCAACUUGCCAAUUUUGCAUUUGUGGGCGUGACGUUCCAACUCUUCUUCUAUUGCCUCAGCCAUUUAUUCUAUAUCAGUUAUCUUCUCAACAUUAAAAGACAUCCCAAUUCGAAUAUCCCCUCCUAGAUUAUUACCAAAAAACAAAAACAAAAACAAAAACAAAACAAAAAACAAAAAACAAAAACCUACCACAACAAAAAUGUAUACUGCAAAUGAAAAGGACAACUCAGUCCCACCAAUUCCAGUGUUCUGAGUUUACUUUUAAUAUUCAGGGACAGUUUCUGUUGAUUCUUUGAGAACAAACACUUUUAUCAUCACUGGCAUUUUUAGUUAAGGUGGGAAUAAGAGCUCAAGGUGUAAAUAAAUUGAAUUAAAGCCUAUCUUCUAGACAAUACAUCACUUAAUCCAGUUGACACACAUGCAAAAGAAUUAGCAACUGUGAAUCCAAGAAUUAAUUUAACCUAAAUACAAAGAUUUUGAGGCUUUGAAGUUGAAUGAGCCACUUCACUAGCUGUUGUCAUGAUUUUGUUGCCCAUUGCAACAUGGUGCUGGUGCUGGUGCCAUCCUAUCAGAGGGCUUUGAUUCUUUUGGACUACAAGGCUCCCAUUUUUUUCUAAAACCUAGCCUUUUGGGAAGGAUGCUCCAACUUCUCUUGGUCUUCACCAGCUUCUGCAGCUCCAUUUUCAUGUUUGAACACUCCUUUUGAAGCUCUAAAACACGUUCCCUCAUGUCAUGAUGAUCAACACCUACGGCCCGGUCAUGUGCAGGUUCCACUUGACCAGAGACAUCAUUUUUGGUAGGGAGGCCAAGGUUUGCACUGGGGUUCUGUGAGUUCUCAAGAUUGUCAACAAAAAACCAUCCAGAAAUCGAUGUACGGAGUCGAAGCUGUUCGAAGAAGAGGACUUGAACAAUUACUCGAAGAGGUAACCUCUCAUUCUGAGCUGCAUGGGUGCUAGCUUCCAGUGAGAGCUUCUGGCAGUUCAUGAGUCGGCAGAGUUGCUCCCUUUCAGAAUCUGUAAGCCAAGGAUGUGCCUAAAGUUGUGAAAUAUGCAAUGUUAUUAGCAUGCAUGUUUUAGUAACACAUUAUUAGUAGUGUCUUAGUUUAAAAUUGGGCAUAUUAGGACCCAAAAAAUUGUAAAAUUUUAGAGUGCAAUGCUAUUGACAGAAUGCUAGUCUAAGUAUCUGUCAAAGUUCAGCAACAAAGAAUCCAUUCACAUUAAGAAAGGUUAAACUAAAUAUCAUUAUAUCAUGAAUAUAAUAAGUUCAUAAGCCAUGCACUUAAGUUUGCUUUACCUUCAAGAAAACAUCAAUUGCAUGAUAUAUGCCAUCAUCCAGUGGCCUGGCAUAUUCAGGGAUGACAGCAGCAAGUGCCUGAAAUUUUGGUAACUUCAAAUUGACAUCUGGCGCUACCUCAGCAAGAUAUCCAUCCACCAGAUUGGCUACCAUAGUACUAGGUGUCAGUGGAUCGGUGCCACUCAUCAAUUGUCCCUCCUCAAUUAUGCACGGGGAAGUUGAUGCAAGUGAAGCCUGGUUUAUUGAGAUGAAAUGAUCAAGAAUCCUCUGAAUGCAGUCUAUGUCAUAAAGAGUCUCCACUGAAUAACCCAUAUUUGGUAUGAGAAGAUCUACGAGCACAGCUUGGUCCAACUGAGCACCUACCCUUUUCUCCAAAUUUUCUCUACAUGAUGGACUUGCAUGCAAGAUCAUAGCAGUUCGUAGCAGCCUAAGCAGAAACUUUGAGGAUGUGACUCCUUUCUGAUGAGGAAGUAACCCCACAAUUUCUUCAAGUAGAGCCCUCUGGUCUGCCUCAGAAAUGUUAGAAAUGGUUGUGCCUGAGUUUACAUAAUUUGUGUCGUUAAAGCUCGAUUGCCUAUUCAUUAAGGGGAGAUACUUUCUAGCGUAGAAUAUGAGAGAAGCAGCAAUACUCUCAGGCCUCAUUCCUUUCGAUUCAACUGCUUGAAUCAAUCGUUUAUAGAGAGAUAAGCUAAGUAAGGAUGCAUCUUCAUACCACCAAUCAUCAGAGGGAGGUUGUGGCUUAGCGUCAUCAGAAACUAUUCCAUUCCAUAAGACAGUGGCUGUUGGGUUCUUCAUGUCGUCAUUUCCUCCUACUAUAGGCCAACUGAAUAACUUUGGGUCUGCACAAGCUUUCAUGGCCAAGGAAUCAAUGCAUCUUGAAGCAAUGUGGAGAUCUUCAGCAUAUCGUUGAACUUCUUCACAUGUUUCGAGAGCUACUAUGGAGUCUCUCCAAUUGCUGAAGACUUCAGAAAGAAAAACCUCUGCUUGUGCAAUGAGAUUUCCUUGUUCAUAAUCUUCACUCAUUUGGAGGUAUUCUGCUGCACAUCUAAGGAUGACUACAUUCAAAGCAGUCAGUUCUAUUUUAACACCAUAGCAAAAUUUGGUCACAAGCUCAAAUGCUUUAGCGCCCCCGGGAAUGCCAUGAAGUUGCAAGGAACAAGCAGAUCCUUCCUCACCAGAACACUCUUCAAUAAGCCUCUCUAAUAGUCCACUUUUAGAAAGCAAGGGAAACUACAGCAAUAACGAAAAAGGGGACAAGAAAAUGAGAGCAUAGCUUGAAUGCCAAUAAGAGUUUAAUCAAUAAGCAAAUUAGGAAAAGUGUACAUAGAGCACUCCGAAAUCGAAAGCAAAGAUGAAAUUGAAAACAAUAUAUUCUCAGCCCGCACACACUUACACAUGCAAACAAUAUAAUCUAUUUCAAGAUUCAAACAAAAUGCACCAUGUGGAGGUUAAAUUGAAAACAAAUAUGCCCCUAUUCUCAGAAAACACGCACACAUGCAUACAAUACAAUGUAUUUCAACUGUCAAGACAUAUCAAACAAAAAUGCACCUUGUGGAGGUGGAAAGACAUUUCCCCAACUUGAAUUAUAACAUCGCUUGGAAGCCCAGUUGUGCAAAGCCUGAAAGAAAAACACAAAUCGGAUCCAUAUAAGUAAAAGCUAAAAUCUUCUAAUAUAGCAUCAAAAGAUUGCAGAAAACCUCAUAUUCGCUUUAGCACAAACCCCUAGCUAAUUUCUGUUGUCAACCUUGUAGCCUAGGCAGGACAUCAUGGUUGUUUAAGCAUUUUGUAGCAAUGGGGCUAAGCUAUCCCUUAUCAGACAUAUAUAUAAACAAAGGGCCCUGCUUUCUUGCUGCUUCUACAUUACUGAAAUACUAAAACCAACAGAGUAAAGACUGAGACCACAUUGCUUUUAAUCGAUUUCAUUAAGUAAAUUAACAAACACCAUGUGGGCUAUCUCUAGCUCAUCAGUUGCAUCUAUUUUGUUUGUUGAUCAAAGUAUCAAGGCCUUACCAAGUUUGGCCUUCCCGAUGAAAAGCUUCAGACUUAGCUCCCAGCUUCAUGCAAGCCAUCUCUUGAGGUGCUGGUCUUCUCAAAUGGGCAAACUUAGAACCAUGAAAUUAAGUGAAGCAAGAGAGAGAUGCAAAUAGCAUAAAGACUUGGGUGAAAAUGUGAAUGAGAGUGAAUGUGGCAUACUUAUCAUUUUGGCUAAUAUUUUCAGAGUGCAGAGAGAGAGAGAGAGAGAGAGAAGUAGCGAGUCUAAAGCAAGAAGUGAAGGAGAGAAGGAAGCGGUUCAACCGUUACAGUGGCUGUUGCGCUUUUCUUUCAUGUCUUAUUGCAUUGUCCUUCAUUUUCACUUGGGUUUUCGACACUUCUACCAGGGCUCAGAAAGCCCAUAUAACAUAUACAAGGGAAAUGUUGUAAUAUUUUUCUGGCCAUAAUAACAUUAGGUAUUUCCAUUUUAGAAGAUGAGUGACAUAUAUAUGUUAAUGAUAUGAAUGCAAGGGUGCAAUUUGGAUGGGGUCGACUUGACCUGACUUUUGAGCACGUAUAUAUAGAAAAAGUAUGAGUUGGGCUUGGAUGGAAAAAUUUCCAACUCGAUUUAUCCCUAUAAUCGGAGUUCUUAGGAUCCCUUUGAGAAUACUUUUAUUAGAAGUAUGUCCAAAUUUUUAUUCAACAGCUUUUUGGAAAACAAAUUGAAGAAGCAUAUGCAUCUAGUUAUAAUUUAUGAACACUUUUAAAUUUUAUUAUCAAACGAUGUUAUAAACGCUUUUAAUUAUUUGAAAGCGUUUUUAACAUUUCUAAAAAUAUCACAAACAUACUCUUAUCAUAAAGGGUAGUCAAAGCCUUCCCACACUCAUAACAAGGAUUCGACUCUCAUUCGCCUCUCCCACUCCCAUUUAUAAAGACCGUAUAAAAUUAAAUUACAAACAAAGAUAAGUUAAAGAGACCUAUAAAGUUAGCCGGAUAAAGUUUAAUAUAUCUCAUAUUAGCAAGAGCAUCUGCAAGAAAAUUAGGUUAUUCAAUGUUUGGUUUACAUAAAUAUGUUUUUGGGCAAUGACAAUUUUCCGGAACAAGGUUACAGUGUUCACGUGGGGACUUGGUUUCCUCUCAAUUGUUAGAUGAUGAAACUGAAAUGCACCUAAGCUAGGUCUAGUGUAGGUGGUAAAUUGGUAAUUGAAGAACAAGACCAAAGUUGCUAGAAAAGAUACAAAGGAAGACGGAUUUGAUUUGAGCCUGGGAUGUGUUGGUAUAUUGGGGUUGGGGACCCAGACCUCACCCCACUAAUUCAAAAAAUUAAUUAUUUUAUUUAUUUAUUUGUUUGUUUUCAUGGACCAUGGUGUUACUAUAGCCCAUUGUUUUCAAAUUUAAUCAACUUGAAAAAAGUGGCAGUUCUUGAUGAUUAAUCAAAAUUAGAAAUCAAAUCAAGUAACAUUAAUCAAGUGGUGGCGCCGGCAUCGGCAGCCCAGGCGGCUCGGCAUCCGCCUCGGCCAACCUGUUCAACACGUGGGUGAAUUUAAUGUUGUCCCCAACCCGACCCUGCUAUCCAUAACUAUAUAUUAUUCUAUUCCAAUAUAUUUGUACUGCACUCUGCAUGGGUCUAUUUACUUCGAGCCUUCAAUCAAUAAUAUCAUAAAAAAUAAUUUAAAAUAAAAUAAAAUUUCCCACUGUUUGUAAUUGACUCAUAAUAAUCAAAUUAUUUUAUCUAACAUUAAAUGUCAAGAAAAAAAGAAUUUGCAAGUCAUGCGUAAUGCACGUGAUUAAAAAAAGACAACACAUUUAAAAUAAAAAUACAAUUAUAAAAAAGAAAAAUUGUAAGUCAAGCGUAGUGCUGGUAAUCGAAAAAAGGGUAGUGUACGACUAUAUUAAUUUUCCCGCUAAUACAAUUUAGAUAGUUGACCCAUUAUUAUUAUUUACAAAUUUUACAUUAAUUAGUUGUUAUACAAUGUAGUAUCCACAUCUCUCUAUACCAGAAGAAGCCUUAAACACUAACAAAUAUAAUAGCAACCUUCAAUAUGAUAUAAUUGAAUUAAUUUGCCAAAUGUUUAAGAACAAUGAUCUUUUAGUACAACUGACACAUACUCCACUUCAAAGAUCGAUGAAAUUUCAAUUUUAACCAAAAUCAUAUGUUAUUAUCACCCACAUUAAUUGUUACAUCAUGUGAUUUGUUUACGCGAUUAAUUAGCGCAGUCCCCAAUUUCACUUCUUGUAGUAGUUUCCAGCCUUGGGUUAAUCUCGACGUGGACCAACCUUCACGUAGGGUUUGUGCAUGGGUUAUCUUUUUUACUUCUACUUUCAGUUUUUACAUAAUUCCCUUCUCUGGUUUCUUGGCUUUGGCAUUGGCAUUGUGCAAGGGUUGGUCCAUAUCAAAGGACGGGUGGGGAUCGCAGCACAGUAAAAAAUUUAUAAAACAACAAACGCGUGGGCCCAACCAACGUAGCCGCCCGAUCUAUCUUCCUCUUCCGUGCGAUCUAUCUUCCUCUUCCGUGAUGGAACCAAAAACGACGUCACAUUGACGAUAACCAUUUUGACACGUGUUAGAUUCUUCUGGCAGACACCCAUGAAACAUAGCGGGUCAACGUCCGGGCAUUUGCCUGUUCUUGUUGUCUUGUAGCUGUCAAGUUAGCGUGUUCCAGUGGCAAAUCUCACUUCCUCCUCGCCUCGCCUCUCCUCAGCGUCCGGUGAAUCCCGUCCUCGGUGUCAGUGACGGGCCAAUCAUUAUUCGCCACGUACGUUGGAAUUAGGGUUAAGAGUGGACCCCAUAACGACACACUAAUUAAAUUGCAUGUCGAUGAUGGUGGUGUCACUAAAAUGUAUGUCUAAAUGUCUCCAUAAUGUAAAUUUACCCUCAUAAAUGUAAUAUACUUGAUAUUAAAGCAUUCACAAUCACGUUUUUUUUUUAUAGUUAAAUUUUAGUUAAAAAUAUAUAAAAGUUAUUUUAGGGAGUCAUAAAUACUAUAAUAUUUUUUCAAUUGGUCUAUCUCUAGUGAAAAAAUAAUAUAAAAAAUAGUUAGCAUUAAUGAAAGGUUUGAAAUACUCACUAAAUAAAGCAGCAUUAAAUUAUAGGGAGUCACUAUGAGUUAUUUUUCUCUCAUCAGAUUUAAGAACUCUUAAAGGUCUCCUUAUUUUAGGAGGUGGAUAUGGAGCAUGAUUGAAGUUGUAUUUUUCCAAUGUCUCCUUAAAAUUUGUCUAAGGAGGUGGUUUAUGAAGCCUAUUGUAAAUGCUCUAAGAGUCAGGGAAGAGCCACAUGUAGGCCUGCCAUGACCAGGGCCCCCCAAACUCCAUGAAAACCCAAUUCUUUCUUAUGCAUCAACUACAAUAUUAGUUAAAAUAUAGCUCUAUAUAAUCUUGCAUUUNNNNNNNNNNNNNNNNNNNNNNNNNNNNNNNNNNNNNNNNNNNNNNNNNNNNNNNNNNNNNNNNNNNNNNNNNNNNNNNNNNNNNNNNNNNNNNNNNNNNCCCCCCCCCCCCCCCCCCCCCCCCAGAUUAGCUUCUAGCUCCGCCACUGCUAAGAGUCUCCUUAUUUUAGUUAAAAUUUAGCUAAAAACACUAUAAAGUUAUUUUAGGAGCUCCUUAUAAAAUUUCAACUCCAACCAUACUCUUUAGUUUAGGGAAUUAUAAAUUAUUUAUUUUCUUUUUUAGUUUAGCAUAAAUGCUCCCUCUUCAUAUAAAAUAGUUAGCAUUAAAGUAAAGCAAAAAUUAUUUAUAGGGAGCCACUAGGAGUCCUUUCUCUCUCCUCAGAUUUAGAAGCUCCUAGAGGUCUCUUUUAUUUUAGGAGUUUCAUUGGGAGCAUGGUUGGAGGUGAGUUUUCUCACUUCCUUCCUUUUAUCAAAGGAGGUAGUUUAUGGAGUACAUUGUGGAUGCUCUAAACGUAUAAUUAUAAUAUGUUAAUAUGCAAAUAACUUUUUUAUUUUAUGUUUUGAUGUCAUAUAUAAAAAUAAUGUUACCACGUUGAAAAAAAAAAAAAGAAGAAGAGAUAACAUUUCGGCAUUAAAUUUAUAAUUAUAAUUUCAAAUUCUACUACAAAUUAUAAUAAAAUUGGGUGUGAUAUGAUUAUUUUAUUUUCAUGACCCAGGUAAAACCAGUCAACCAAUGCAAACAUAAAAUAUAAUUUUUUAAAUAAAAAUUUAUGAUAUGUCAAAAUCAUAAAGACGACUAAAUUAGAUUAAAUUAGUUGGUUUUAAGCGGAGUUGAUUGGAUUUUCAGCACUUCCAUCAUACCUGAAAGCAUUUUCUUCCAUUUUUAAGCACGUAUUUACAUGCUUUUCCAACAACAACAUAAGUAUAUGUAUUUGUCAACGAGGGUUGGUUGAGUUGAUAAGGAUCGUUAUAUUCGCUAUCCAUGCCCAAAAUUUGAGUCCCACCACCGCUGCUAACAAUCCCUCUUAAAGACUUGAACUUGUAUUGUCAUGUGGCAUAAGGGGCAUGCAAGAAUUAUGAGACAAUUAAAGGCAACAACCACCAAAGAAGAAGAAAAUAAGAUGCUAUGAGUAAUAAUAAAGAAAGAAUCAAUAUCUUAGAACAAAUGAACAAAUCAUUUGCAUUUUGCGGUGCCUGUGUUAUGCUGGUGGGUUAGAUGGGUAUGGGUUUAAAUGUUUUUUGCUUGGUCCGUGCGGAGCAUUGAGAAAUUGAGGGACAAAAACCCACCUAAAUUUGAUGUCUGAGAUUAAAAAAUAUAUAUAUAUGGUUGCUAGCUAGGGUUACAAAUUUGAGUAAAUGAAUGUGGGUGAGAAUGGAGAGGCCCAGUGAGCUGUGGUUUUGGUAUUGGUUUUGUUUUGGUGCCCCCAACCACUUUCUUUUUUCAGUUGUCUAAUUGGUUAAUUAAAUUGGUAGGUCCCGAAAAGAUGCAGGAGCUCAUGUGUUUUUGGUUAGGAGGUCUCUAUCUACGGAGUUUGCAACAUUUCUCACGGUGUGGCCCUAGUUUAUAACAUAAUGAUCACCUAGAGGAAAGUAGAAAAUGCAAACAUUAUGUAAUGGGAAUUGUACGCCUUGUCAUAAUCGGGUCGGCUUGGAGGUUGUGAAUCAAAGGGACUGCUCCCACUGGAUAUAUGACCACUCAGUGGUAACGAGACCAGAUAGUUAAGUUGAUAUAACUCAUAGUUUCAUAUAAACCAGAAUCCAUUUGGAUGCAACAAUGAUCGGUUAUUCAAUAGAAUAGUAUGUCUUCGUAUAAUAUACAGUUCUUUGUGCAUCAUCGUCGGGUUCUUGUUAAAAGACGGGUUUUGUUAUCGAUAAUGAUAUCAACAUAAUAUCCUAUCAUGUCAACAAUUCGUCCUUUAAUAAAGAGUGGAUGUCUUGUUCAUAGAACGUACAAUAUCUCUUAGAUUCAUAAUAUUGGAUUUCCCAAAGUAGAAAAGCCCUUUUAUUUAUGAAGCUUUAUAUAGUCAGAAAUUAGAUUACGUAGGCCUGAAUUACUUUGAAUGUACUAUUUAUGGUGUCUUCAAAAGAGUGAGGACUUGGGAUAGUAAAAAAGUACAAUUGGGCACGUCUAUGAGUUUGAUUGUACUUACAAAUGACUAAAAAUAGUGUUCAUUGUACACUAAAGCUAUGAAUUCAUUCAAUCCUCCAUACAAAUGACUAAAAAUAGUGUUAUUGUACAUAAAACAUUAAUAUUGUAGUGAAAGAUGAAUUUAAUUUGUAUAAACUAAAUUGUUGACUUAGGUAAAAUUACUUGGGUUGGUGUUCAUUGAACACCCCAUCUUUCAAUAUGACCCCUAAAAAAUCAUAACAUAAAGAGUUCAAACAUUUAGAAUCCUCAUUAAGACGGAUUUAAGUCCCCAUUUAGAUUAAAGUUUCAAAUUUAGCAAUGUUUAGGAUCACUAACACUUGGGUCCCUAAUAUAACCAAAAACAAAAGGUCAUUGUUAUAAAAUAAAAAAAUAAAUAGGGGUAAUGUUAAUUCUCCGGCUUUGCAAUUGAGAGAUGAUAAGCUACUUAAUAGUCUAAAGAUCAAACCUUUAUGCAUAAAGAUGUACACUUAAUUCUUUAGGACUCAAAAUUAUUUUUUUUAUAGUGUACUUGUUUUAAUCAUUAUCCUCAAAAUAAUACUAUCGCGAUUUGUAUUUUUAAUAUAUAGAUAUAUAUAUAUAUAUAUAAUAUAAGUAAGGAAAACCUUAGGUCAUUGACUAGUAGAGUUUAGUCGUUAACCGCGGUUAGGAGUUAACGACUAGCUUGCCUUGAUUUUAGAGCAAAACUGAAAAGCGAACACUCAACCCCACUCGGGCGACUUUCAAUUUCUCGCGGGACACGGAAAUCAAUGAUACUACUUUGAAACUUUGAAGCUUCAUCUUAUAAUCUAAUAUAAAUAAGACCCUGUUUGAUUGCUCAGAAUAGAAUUAAAUAAAUAAUAAUUUAUUGGUGCGAAUAGAAUAAGAGGAAAUUAAAAAAGUAUAGCUUCCUUAAACAUCUUUGUUGUUUUGCUGGCUUCUCAAGAUACACUUUCUUCAGAUCCGAAGAAAAAGCUAAGAAAUCAAAAUUCAUAUUAAAAAUUAAAUUUCCUAAAUAAAUAAAAUAUUACUAACUAAUUGUUGACUUGCUAGUAUAAAUGCUUUGUAUUGCUAGAUUAUUCUUAAAUCCCAUUGCAUUAAUAUGAAAAAUUUGUGUCGAUAAAUAUGUGAUAUGUCUUGUGUUUAUAACAUGUGAGUAUUCAUUAAGACUCAAUUUAUUCUACUCCAGGCCAACUACAUUUAAAGUAUUGUCUUGAACAAGUAAUUUUUCUCUGAUACCCCAAUCUAAUCGUGUUAUUACACGUGAAUAUUCAUCAACACAAAAACGUAUUGUCGUCUACCUAUAUUAUAACAUUAUAAUAGAAUAUUUAUUCCCCAAGACACAUCCACUAAUAUUUCAUUAAAAUUUAAUAUGCAAAAUAAUUUUUAUUGAAAUACUAAUCGUGGUAAUGCGUUUGACACAAACAGUGACACUGACUACCACUGCCCGCUUUGAUAUUUGCAGUAAAAAUUGAAACUCUCUCUCUCUCUCUCUCUCUCUCUCUCUCUCUCUCUCUCUCUAUAUAUAUAUAUAUAUAUAUGAAUGUAUUUAUUUUAAUUUUGGUGUUAUUUGCUGAGUGUGCUUUUGGACUCUUGCAUGAUCCAAAAGGUGCUCUGCUCUCUGUGUCUAUGGCUUUUUAUCUUCUUCUGUGUUGGCCAAACAGUCGUUGAUGAUUGAAGUCCUUGAAGCGAAGAAGACAACGAAGAUUCUGAGAGAUAUUCAACCCCGACGACUCUUCUUUUUUUUUUUUUUCUUCCGUCGGAGAUUUUUCUGCUGUGAAUUCGCCGGAGACUUUGGAGGAGCUGCAAGCUCUCGUUUUCCAAUUACGUGGAUAGCAGAGAUUGAUUUUCUCGCCGUAGAUCUCGAGUUUUGUUCAAAGUAAGACGUAGAGAUUGAGGCUUGAGGGCUCGGUGGAUUGGAAUUUCGAACAGAGCAGAGUGUUUGUUCAGUUUUUGAGUCUCAGUUUUUUUUUUCCUUUUUUUUUGUGAUAAAAAAGUUGGUGGCUUUGGAGUGGUUCAGUAAAGGGUUUGGAGAUUGUGAAUUCAGUCUUCUGUUAAAGUUGGGUGGGAGACGAAGCAGCUUGGAAUUCUGUGUAUUUCUUAGGGUUGGCGUGGCAGGGCAAUUGACCCUCUGAAUUGGGAAAACAAAACAUGGAUUUGAACUUUCAAGUUCAAGUUUGGUUGUUGGGAAAAUUAGAUACUGCUGGGGGGUUGUGAAGAUUUUCUAGUGAAAACGUGGCGAGGAGCUUUCUUUUUCGGCUCUGCUUCUGAUUCAUGUAUGCUUUUAUAAGGUAAGAAAUUUAUGAAAUGCACUUCAUUAAUUGGAUUGGUUGUUUUUUGUUUUUUUCUAGGGUUUGAUUGAAUUCUGUGAGUAAUUUGCCUAAUUUGGGUUGGUUGAUGUGGUUUGCAGCAUUUACUGAGAGGCAAGAAGAAGAGGGAUUUUUGCAAUUUUUUUUUCUUCUUCUUUUAAAGAGAAUUGAUAUGAUUACGUUUAUGGAUUCAAAAGAGAAAUUGAAGGAGGGGGAGAAGUGCUUAGAUCCUCAGCUAUGGCAUGCCUGUGCUGGAGGCAUGGUUCAAAUGCCUCCAGUGAAUGCCAAGGUCUUCUACUUCCCUCAGGGCCAUGCUGAGCAUGCCUGUGGACCUGUUGAUUUCAGGAACUUCCCGAGGGUUCCUCCAUACAUCUUCUGCAGGGUCUCUGCUAUUAAGUUCAUGGCUGAUCCUGAGACUGAUGAGGUUUAUGCAAAAAUUAGGUUGGUUCCUUUGAGUGCUAGUGAGGCUGGUUAUGAGGAUGAUGGAAUUGGAGGGCUUAAUGGGUCUGAAACGCCGGAUAAACCCGCCUCAUUUGCGAAAACGCUGACGCAAUCCGAUGCAAACAAUGGCGGCGGCUUCUCUGUCCCGAGAUAUUGUGCAGAAACCAUCUUCCCGCGAUUGGAUUACUCCGCAGAUCCCCCUGUUCAGACAAUCCUGGCUAAGGAUGUUCAUGGUGAAACUUGGAAGUUUAGGCACAUUUACAGGGGGACCCCUAGGAGGCAUCUGUUGACCACAGGGUGGAGUACUUUUGUGAACCAUAAGAAGCUUGUUGCAGGGGAUUCAAUUGUGUUUUUGAGGGCAGAGAAUGGUGAUCUUUGUGUCGGAAUUCGUCGAGCAAAGAGGGGAAUUGGAGGUGGACCUGAGUCAUCUUCAGGGUGGAAUCCAACGGGUGGGAAUUGUACCAUGCCAUAUGGUGGAUACUCUGCGUUUUUGAGGGAGGAUGAGAACAAGCUAAUGAGAAAUGGCAAUGGGAAUGGCUCGAAUUCGAAUGGAAGUCUAAUGGGUAAGGGGAAAGUCGGGCCUGAAUCGGUUUUUGAAGCCGCAACACUUGCUUCAAAUGGACAGCCCUUUGAGGUUGUUUACUACCCUCGAGCAAGUACCCCCGAGUUCUGUGUGAAAGCCUCAUUGGUAAAAGCAGCAUUGCAGAUCCGGUGGUGUCCCGGAAUGAGAUUCAAGAUGGCUUUUGAAACUGAGGAUUCUUCCCGGAUAAGUUGGUUCAUGGGAACUAUAUCCUCUGUUCAGGUUGCUGAGCCUUUGCGCUGGCCAGAGUCACCUUGGAGGCUUCUCCAGGUACUACUCUCUCUCUCCCUCUCUCUGUCUGAUAACAGAAUGUGCUCUGUAAUUACGGUUCUCUAAGUUCUUGUGGUCAUUUUUAAUUUAGUUUUUUAUAAUCAAUCUCAUUUUCUUCCAUCUAAUGUAAUGAGCAAACAAACUCUUUUCCAUCGGAAUGGAGAAAACUGAUCCCCAGACUGCACCGUGGAACAUUGGCUCAUCAAUCGUCAUUUAAUGUCCAAUUUCGCUCUCUUUUCCUUACUCCUUUCAGUUCACUUUGCCUUAUGGCUCCUCUGUUAUAGUUUAAUCUGUUUUCCGACAAGUUUAUUAGCUUUUAGGUGCUUGUCCAUACCAAAUACCUAGUCUAAAUCAAGUGUUUUUUGCCCCUCCUCACAGAGUGCAUUUGACAUUCAACAUUAUGUUGUUCAAGUUUGAUGAACAAUUGCAUCUAGGAAGAGCCAUGAUUUUUAGCCAUUGAAUUCAAUUCCUUCGGUUCUCUGAAUUCAUAUGUUGCAGGUUACCUGGGAUGAACCUGAUUUACUUCAAAAUGUGAAGCGCGUUAGCCCAUGGUUGGUAGAAUUGGUAUCAAAUAUGCCCGCCAUCCAUCUGACACCCUUCUCACCACCAAGGAAGAAGAUGAGACUGCCUCAACACCCUGACUUCCCAUUUGAAGGCCAACUUCCUAUGCCGACAUUCUCCGGCAACCUCCUUGGACCCAGCAGCCCUUUUGGUUGUCUGCCCGACAAAACUCCUGCUGGCAUGCAGGGAGCCAGGCAUGGUCAUUAUGGUCUAUCCUUAUCAGAUAUGCACCUCAAUAAACUGCAGACAGGUCUAUUUCCGGCUGGUUUCACGCCUCUUGAUCAUGCUGCUACAGCAACUAAAUUCUCCAAUAACACAAUGACUCAAAAACCUACCAUGAGCGAGAAUGUUUCUUGUUUGUUGACGAUGGCACAUUCUACCCAGACUUCAAAGAAACCUGAUGAUGUAAAGCCACCGCAGCUCGUACUCUUUGGUCAACCAAUACUUACUGAGCAGCAGAUUUCUCUGAGCUGCUCUGGUGAUACAGUCUCACCAGUUCUUACUGGAAAUAGUUCAUCGGAUGGGAAUGCAGAGAAAACCGCUAAUCUUUCUGAUAAUUCUGGAUCUGCACUUCACCAACAAAGCCUACAAGAGCGCUCAUCUUGUGAAGGUUUCCAAUGGUAUAAGGAUACUCGGCAAGAAACUGAACCGAGUUUGGAAACUGGUCACUGUAAAGUCUUCAUGGAAUCAGAAGAUGUAGGUCGCACUCUUGACCUUUCAGUGUUUGGAUCUUACGAUGAACUGAAUAGGAAACUGGCCGACAUGUUUGGCAUAGAAAAUUCUGAGACGCUAAACCAUGUGCUCUAUCGAGAUGCUACUGGUGCAGUCAAACACAUCGGAGAUGAACCAUUCAGGUAUGAAUCAAUUCCCACUGAAUUGUGUAAUGGGUCUGUAGAAUGGAGGAUUUAAUCCUUGUACUUAUCAAAUGAAAGGUUUUCGAGGUAAUAUGUUGAUCAAUUUUUUGUUGAAGUUGCAGUGACUUCAUGAGAACAGCAAGGAGAUUGACGAUUCUAAUGGAUUCAGGCAGCAACAAUGUAGGAAUGUAAAGAAAGAAUAAAACCUUGAUUCAAUUGUACAGCUGGUUGAUAAAAUCCUUUGUUUCCAUGCUGACCAUUUACCCUUCCUGAAGUUCUGGGAGAAGCCGCCCUGAUUCAAUUUUUGAGCUUCCAAUCUAAAUCCUUCCGGCUUUGUAAUUUUUUUUUAAUCUUUGUCAAAGAAGGAAUGUUUACAUUUUUAGAACUUGAUAACAGUAUCAUAAUUUGAUCAGGUUUUUUUUCUUCUUCUUUUCUUUGAGGUUUCUCCCUUUUUUGUAAUUUUUUGGCAGCCAAAUCGUACAAGUAUAAGUAGUUUUGUAGGAGUUGGCAUAUGUACUUAAAACCCUUUUGAUAAUGGCUGAAGCCUUCUAAGAAGGCAGUUUUUUUUCAGUGGAACAUGCACAUUAGGCUCCCAUGAGUGAGUUUGGCUUAUUUGUUGUUUUCUAUAUGUAGUUAAAACACUCUCUCUCUCUCUUUUGGUUGAAGAAACAAAACUAAACAAUGACUCAAGGCCUACAUACUCCAAGUAAAUUUUCAUUAAAAAAAGACCUAAUAUUCCAAAUAGUUAGAACACUAUGAAGGAAGUAUUUCUUGCUAACGAUAACAGUUGUCAGAAAGACUACACUAAUUAAGUAUUCUUAAAAUCUGUUAUCUUCCCUAAUUGUGAAUCAAAAUUCAAGAUGCUGCCUCUUUUUCUUUGUGUGUUUUUGUUGCCUUCUUGCAUGAGUUUUUGACACUCUGUGCCAUUCAACCAAUGAGAAAAGGAUCCCAAACUUUCUUCUCAAACAACAAAAGGCACAAGGAUUAAAUUAGUUCCGUGCAUGACCAAGAAAAAAGAGUUGGUUAAAGGUCUAAUCAGUUUUCACCAUCAAAGUUUUCAAGAUAAGUUGACUUAAUCCUCCUCUUAAUCUCAUGGUUUGUUAAAGAGAAUCAGAUGUUUUACACGACAGCAGAUUUUCAGGGAUUUUAAUCAAGAACACCCAACAACUACUACAAGACUGCCACGCGGAUUUGAAGACAACCAUAGUUUUUGUUUCUCUCAGCUGAAAGUUGUAAACCAAACCGAAGCAUACAAGUAAAAUUAAUUAUUUAAUUAAUUGUCCCAAUCUUAACGCCACAAAGUGUGGGAUACUUACAGUAAUUAAUUAUUAAACCACCAACCAUUAUGUGAGUAAAAUAAAUAAAUAAAUAUUGUUUUUUUAAUUAUAAAUUAUUUAUGGGGAUUGUAAAACAAAAAAUUGUCAAAGACAAAGUCAAUAACUAAUACGUGGGGAAAAACAAAAGAAGCAGAAAGGAACAAACAAAAAACACAUUCUGUCUGUUUAACUUAAUCAGCCGCACGUGAGAACUCCGUGGGUCCCACGCGGCGUUCAUUUAAUUUAAUUUAUUAAUGGGGUUCACGUGUGGGCAACGUCAGCUCGGAAAAGGUGAGAGACUUUUUCGCUUGUGUUGCGCCGUUUCGUUGACCGCGCUGUUUUCCUUUGUUUUCACAAUUUUUGCUUUUCCCUUUUUACAUUUUUACUUCCUGAAUUAAUUAAUAGGUGAGAGACGAGACGGUAAUAUCACGUAGGUACGACAACUUCUUCACGUAACAUAUCGACAUAAAAUGAAGUUUUAUUCAAAUUGCAAUUUAAGUGAAUUUGUAUAAAAAAGUUUGUAGUGAGUUUGAGCUUUCACGAACUAACUACCAACCGUGGUCACCUAAAUCACCGACUUUUCGGGUCGGACCCCAUUGCAAAUAAUCCGGUAGGUGUUUUGUAAAGUUACUUCAAUUUGGAAAUGAUGAGAGUCACAUCAUGUGACUGACUGGGAUUAUCUUGUUUUCAAUAAUGUAGAAAUUGAAUUGAGUUAUUUUAUAUAUUAUGGAGACAAUCAUCAAACUCAGUCGUUUUCGUUUUAAUUAAUAGGGAGGACCAAAACACAGGUAAUUCCAGAUAGACAAGUCUUUGGUAGGCCCAACGCAACAUUACCUCUGUCUUCGAUAAGGUUGAAGGAAUCAAAUUUGGGAUCUAUCCAUCAUUUCACCUCAUCUCCUGUCAUAACUUGAAUUGAAAUUCACAAACUAAACACAUCACACUCACGGGUUGGGUAGCUAUAGGUUUUGGAAGCCAAGUUGGGCAACAAAUAUCUAAUCAAAUCUUAUUACAAAUGGCUUUUUAACGUGUUGAUUCGACUCGAGUUGGAUUUGAGUUGAAUUUCACUUUUUAAAAUGAGAAUUGUAAAGCACAAUAUAUUAGACUUUUAUCUAAUUUAAUAAUUUCAAUCUCAAUACGUAUUCAAUUUAAUUAAAAUAAUACAAUCUAAUCUGAGACACCAAGCUUAGCCAAAAUUUAGAAAAAUCACAAGGCAAGAGGUUACCUUACCUUGACCUCAUUGAACUCUUGCGAGUUGGCAUUUAAUUUGACACCCCAAUGGCCCAAAACAAAUAGUCAAAUAAACGGUGGUCAAAGCAGAAACAGAGAGAAAAAGGAGACAAAUACCUUUCCCAAGGCCAAAGCAUUGUUUGUUUUAUUUUUUCUGUGUUAACUCACUUAGUUUUCAGAACCCACUUUCCACCACCAUACAUGGCAUGGUUUCGACCUAGAAAAUUAAACAAAACACAUUCAUUUGUUUCAUAAGAUGAGAUGAGAUGAGAUGAGAUGGGAGACAAUCUCGUCCCUAGGGAUUACUUGACUUUAGAAUUACGUUAAGGAAGUGUCAGGUUUUGGUGCACAGAAAUAUGCACAAGGGAAGGAGGAAGAGAAGGCUUCACUUGGAAGUGGGUUUUCUUUUGAGAAUUGAGAGAUCCAAGGAACGGGAAAUAGGGUAUUGUUCAAGGGACAAAUACGUCAUCAACAUUCAAUGAGUAUUGGCUAAAACCUGUCUCCAUGUCCUUGCUCUCUCUCUUUAUAAUAUUCCACCUCCUCCCACCUCCCAUUAGGGUUUGUUGCCCCUUGCCACUACCACACCAUGUUCUUUUCUCAUAUGUCCCACUUCAAUUCCACUGCGGAAUGAAGGACAAUCACUCACACGCGUGCAAUAACUUUUAGUUAUAAAGCUGUAUUGACAACUACAUUAAGGGUUGAGAGUUGCCGAUACAUGCAUAAAUGAUUGUUACUCAUAAAAUUUUAAAGUUACUGAUUUUUCCUAUGAACUCCAUCCAUAUUCUUUUCUGUAUAAGUAAGGAUUGUAAGGAAUAGUAAACUCAACCAUUUCAAAUUUGGAAUCCCAAAAAAUGCAAUAGUAUUUAGGUUUGUUUGAUGUAUAUAGUUAAUAGUUCCUUUGUACGUACUUAGUACUUUUCUUAUGAAUUUAUUUAUGUAGUUUCAAAAUAUUUUUAGGAGAUUCAUUAUUAUACCCAAUGUAGAGGGCAAAUUUAUAAAAAAAAUCCUACAUAAAAUGGACUUUCGAAACACAUCCAAAGCCCAUUUACAACAUAACAAAGAGACUUCGAACUUCCUAAUAAAUUACAAACUGCCAUCGAUUUCGUAAAACAAAUCCAACCCCAAAACCUCAUAAAAAAUCCAAAACACUCAAUAGGUUAUCAAAGUAAUUUAAUAAUCAAAAUUAAAUUCAAUAUGGCCAACUAUUAAUUUGUUUAUAAAAAUUAAAUGGUGUAGGAUUUAUCUAUAUCACUAGUGCUAAGAAUAAGUAUAUAACUAAAUAUCUCAUCAAUUUUUUUUUUUUAUAAAUUAGGAAGCUUCUCAUGAGUGAAUAAUAUAAAUGAAAUGAAGUGGAAUUCACACCACGAUAACAAAGCAUCCCACAUUUAUACAUAUACAAGUAGAAAUAAGUAUUCAAGAUUCCACCAUUGACAAACAAAACUUGCUAUUGCUAGUGUUGUUUUCAUUCAAGAGAUCAAUCAAUUUGGGUUUGAAAUUCAUAGCAUCUAUUUGAUGUCUAUGAGUGGGGGCUACUGCAAGUUUCGUGUUGCCUCGUGAGAAAAACCCUACGCUUGCAACACAUUCUCAAUUAAAAAUGCACCAUGCGGGAAUUAUUUUUAAUUUGUUCCUUGCUUGCUUUGACAAAUUGUUAUCUUGCCCAUUUUUUUCUGUAUAUAUUUCUCAAUUAUUUCGACGCUUAUCUAAAGUUAUAUUUUUUUUAUAAUUAUUCGAAUUUUAGGAAAGACCGAGUUCAUUAUCGUCAUUGAUGUGAGAGAAAAGUGCUCUAUCAUUAUAAUUGAAUCCUUAUUAUAAAUGAAUUAUCUUUUCAAAACAUGGACAUGAGUGAAUAUUGGUAAGCCCAUUAUUUUUUGAAGAACCUAAGAAGAAGAAGAAAAAGAUUUAGAGGAUUUUCUAAUUUUAUCAUAAUCUAAAUUGUCUUGUCGCAGUUGAUUUUAGGCUUACCAUCUGAGUUAAAAUUUAAUUUACAGGAGAAGAAGCCAUCAGCAGGAGAGUAAAAAAUGAAUUGAAUAUGGAUGAUGGAGGCUUAUGGUACAAGUUAUGGGCCCGCCAACACCUGAAUUUUUUGUUGUCCUCCUCUCUCUCUCGUCCCCUCCCUUUGUCCCUCUGGAGUUUCUGGGGCGUUGUUUGUCUUGGUCAUGUCCGUGUCGUACUCUCUUACAAGUUAACGCCAAAGUCUCUUCCAAAAACGACAGAGAUUCGGAUGACGUGGCAUACUAACCACUCCCCCGUGCUGCUGUGGUCCCCACAAUCUCUGCCUACUAUGCCCUUCGUUGUGACAGCGACGUGUCGUCUAAAUUCGGCAUGCCAUGUUAUGUUAGAAAUUGGGAAUUGAGGCCCUUGAAUGUUUUGCCUUUGGGCUAAUAUUUGGAUUGAGCCCAAUUUCUAAAAAUUCCUAGAACCCAAACAAGAUUCAAAAUGUAUCCACACUGAAAAUAAUUUUAAAUUUUUUUUUAUAUAUAAUUAGAAAAUAUAUACACAUAUCAAUAAUUUUAUAUUCUUACUUUUUAUAAAUUCAGUCCAUUUUAAUAAUUGUUGCAAUAGGGCAGAAAAAUAAUUAUAAAUAAAAAAAUAUGUACAUAAAAAUCAAGUACAAAUACUAAUGCUUAAUAGUUCAAAUGGUUUAAAGGCCCAAACUAUGAGGAGCUGCCAACUCUUUUAAAGACCAUACAAGGAACACAAAGGCCUGCCAAAUUUGGUCUAAAGACUUUGAUAUGAUUUGGAUUUGGACGUGCAGCAUGAAGGGCAAGGCAACAAUAUAUGAGGAGAAAUUCUUAGGUGUACCCAAUACAGGUAAAGAAAACAAGUAUAGCUGGAUGGAGAUACUUUUUUUUUUUUUUAAAGAAAAAUUCUAGUGUAGUCGUGAGGCUCUACUGUUUUGUAAAAUAUGCGAGUAUAGUCGUGGCUAUACUAUUUAUAGAAAAAAAAAAAAAAAAAGGCCCCGCCUAGCGCUUAGGUGCCCACGUGUCAAAACCCGUAUAGCCCCACGGCUAUACUAUUAACGGCUAUACUGGUUUUUAAAAUAAAAAAUACCCGGGUAUAGCCGUGCGGCUAUACUAUUUAAUAUUUAAAAAGUGGGACCCACGUGUCAAAACCAGUAUAGCUGCGCAGCUAGACAAACUUUUGAAAAAAGAAAUACCGUAGUAUAGCCGCCCGGCUAUACCAUUUACUUUUUAAAAAAAAUUAAAAAGUACCCUCCUAGUUGCAUUAGUUUAUAAUUUAUUAACAUUAAUUGGCUAGUUUCAACAUUUCUAAAGUACAUAUUGAAGAGAGAAAUUUCAUAGUAAAUCAAUUUUAAAAUUUUAAAGUUCAAAAUUUUUUUUGUGCGGGUAUGUUUGCUUUGAUCUAACUCGUUUUCUCGAGUGAAACUUGUUGGAGGAACAACAAUCAAUAUUAUUCUAAUAAUUUAAUUGUUUAAAUAAAAUUAAAUAUGGCUAUAAAUUAAAAACUGAUUAUUUUUGCAGAUAGAGGCUUGCAGAAUUGCAAUGUCUUUGAAAUAGAAUUUCAUCCUUACUCAGUGCUUGUAGUUCUGCAGACAUUUGCUCCACCAAGAUACAACUAUCUAAAUCAAAGUCUUGGCACUAGGGUUUUGAUUUCUAGCGAAAUUUGUGUGUUUAUCUCUGAAGCUGUAUAAGAAUGAUGAUAUUAAUGUUCUCUAUGAAUUUGAUAUAAUUUUUUAGAGACCUAGGGCUUGUGUUUAAACAGAGUGGCUGAUACAUGUUCCAACUGGUAUUAAAUCAGGACCCAAAAAAGAAAUUAGAGUAAAGCCGAGCGGCUAUACUAUUUUGGAAAAAAAAAACCCACGUAUAGCCCGGCGGCUAAAAAGGGGUUAGCAAGUAUAGCCGUGCGGCUAUACUAUUUAUAGUACAAAAAAAAUCCGCCUAGCUCUUAGGUGCCCACUUGUCAAAACCAAUAUAUCCGCCCGGCUAUAUUAGUAAAGCCGCGCUGCUAUACGGUUUUGAAAAAUGUCCGAGAUUAUAGCCCCUCGGCUAUACUAUUUAGCAUAUAUACAUAUAUAUAUACGAAAACUUACUUGUCAAAAACAGUAUAACCACCUAACUAUACUACUUUUUUUAGAAAAGAAAUAUCGUAGUAUAGCCGAUCCCAUUUAUUGAAGAAAGACUUCAAUGAAACAAGAAUAACACUAUUUCACUAUUCGAGGCCAAUAACACUAUGAUAUGCGUGCACAUGACAGGACAUUAGAAAUAACAAAAUAGUGUUAUCCUCAUGCUACUAAGUUUUUCUUCAUUUAGUGAUACUUAUGUCCUUUUAAUUGGACUGAGACACGGGAGAAAGCUAAGAUUAGAGGAGGACACGGCUAUUAAGCUUGGGGCAACUGUCCUUUGGCAGGCCUCGACCAAAAGUUGCAUAGCAUUUAAAUUCUCAAAUUCAGUGGAAGCAGAAACAUAAUAAAUAUCAUAACCUGAUUUAAAUCAAGUAUAUAAUGCCACAAACAAAGAUAUACUAUAUAUGUAUAUAAUGAUUCUGCAUAUCACACAGAAGAUCAUUUUUACGAUUGCCAAGGAAAUUCAAUUCAUCCAACACAAUUACACAAAUGUAUGCAGUUAACACUCAGAUAUACAUAAGUAGUCCAAACGCUUCAAAAGAGUUUCUGGAUUACAUAAUCUGCACCAUCCUAGGGCUUUGCAAUACAUGCAACCACUUCUUACCCAGACUAAUCCCACCGCCAGUGCAUUGUUAUAUGAACGUAACACCUGAAAACACAGAAAUUUCUAUGUUAAUAUUCUGAAACUUCAAAAACAGGAGAAGAAAACUUGGGCAAAACAAUUAGGCAGAAGCCACAUACGUAUUUCCAUAGAAACCAUUGAGUGAUGCAUGUAAGCAACAACUAAAGUUCUGUUCAUUCAUUUACUGAAAAGAGAAAGAAUGCUGCUAAUGCAAUAUUUUUGGUGUUUUUCAUCAGUUGGUAUCAAGUAAAAAACCACUUGAGGCUUCUCUAUUUUCCAAUUAAAGGAGAUGGCACAAUUGUCGGCCAAAACCGGCUCUGUGCUGCUAGGCAUAGAGAUUGACAAGGUGGGUACUGUUUCAGAUGGACACUUAAUUUAAAUGAGAUACUCAUGUUGGGCAAAACAAGACUUGUAUGGUAUGUAAUACAUGUUCAGCAUGCCGAUAUUCAUAUAGGGUUGGUUGAUUUCCCAAAUUCCAGAAUAACCCUAGCAACCUGAAUGAACAACAUUUGAAACAAACACUUGCACUCCUACCCAAGCUAUCAAUCAAGCCUACUAUAGUUUUCUCUUUAAUUAACAACUGAACACAGCAAAAACCCCAAUAAACCACCACCAAGCCUCCCUGUUUGAUCUUGUUCGGUCUGUCUGUUUGUUUGUUUUAUUAUAUGAGGAAGGACUGGAUUUGCAGGCUACUAAUGUCUACGGGGACCAAAAGUAUACACAUCAAAGUUCCAGCCUUUGCUUAAUUAGAUCAGAGUUUAUCAGAAGCAUGCAUUACUCAGAAUUACUUCACCGUGUCGCAGACAUAGAAUCUAAUAAUUACUGAAAUUUGACGAGGAAAUCAACUAAUAGAGGAAACCCUAAAAAUCUCAUUAACCCAACAAAUGAAGAAAAUGCGAUAAGAACUUUAGCAUGCAAUACUUUACUAUGUCACAGCCAUAGAAACUAGUAAUCACUGAAAUUUGACAAGGAAAUUAACUAAUACAAGAAACCCAUAAAAAUUCCAUGAGCCCAACAAAAUUAAAAACCCCAAAAAGUCAAUUGAGCUGCCCCAAUUGAGUAAAGAUACAAACUUUAGCACGAGAAUAGAUGUAAUUGCAGAGAAUUCAUCCGAACCUUUAGUUGUAAUAGAGCUCGAGGCCCAUGCCGUCAUGGAUUUCAUAGUCCUUGAGGGUGAUGUGGUCCUUGUAGACGUUGUACCACUUCUGGAUCCGAAUCUUGUCGGAUCGGGUACCCGUCUGAGCAGCCACGAGCUUCUUGAGGUCGCCUAUGGUGUCAUCCUCGUUGCACUUCACUUUCACCUUCUUCCCGAGACGAUCGUUCAGCACCACCUCAAUCAUCUUCGAUACAAUCAACAAUCAAUCAGACAGCCUAAAACCCUAAUUCGCCAACUGAAAGAUUGAGAGACCCAAUUUUACACCACAAAACAAAGAAAAUUGUUUAAUAUACAACUUUCCAGGGGCUUUAUGGUCUUUUAGAUUUCCCGCCGCCUACAAAAGUCUACAAGUCUACUUUCCCACCUCUUCUUGGUCUCCUAUUCCUUCUCACAAUUGCACUCAUUCAAGAUAAAAUAAUGUUAAAUACUUGUUCUAAUUACGCGUGAAACUUUUUUAUUAUUUUGAUUAGAAUGAUUCUUUUUACAAAAUCUGAAAUUGUUUACAAACUAAUCCGAUCGUAUUAAGCAAGGGUUUUGUAUCUCAAGUACUUAAUAAUAUUUAUUCAUGAGUAUGAGGUUUUAGAUUUGAUUCUUCCAAUACUCUAAUAUCGAAAAUUGAAUGAAUAGCUCAUUUUACUAAAUGUUUUAUCAAGUUCAACUAAGCUCAUGUCGCUUUGAAUCAACAUGUUGAAUUAUUUAAACAAAUAGAUGACAUAUAUUUUCAAGUAUGCGUUAAGGAAUUAGUAUGAGAUCAACCAUCUCUAUUCUUGAUUUUUCAAGCAUUGAAUAACGGAUUGUAAUGUGAGACCAACGUACUUUUUUAUUUCAUAUGUGUUAAUAAAAGUAUGAAUAUUCAAAUAUAUAUAUAGAGAGAGAUUCCAAGUAAGUAAACAUACCAGAAUAUAAAACAUGGAUUUAGGUUGAGCUUGGGUUGACAAAUGAUAUUUACCCCUUUUAGUUUUACAAAUUAUAACUUUUUCUCUCAAUCAAAUUUAGCCAAAGGAAAAUACAACUUAGAUUAAAAUAUAAUUUAUAACUUUUGAAUUUUUAAUUGACAAUCUUAUUUUAAAAGCCAAAGAGCCAAAACAAAGAAAGGAUAUGAUCUAAGUCUCAAUGACUUGUUUGGGAGUGCUUCUGAAAAGACUAAAAGCGUUUUCUGACAACUAAAAGCGAAUUUGAUAUCGUUUGACAUAAAAGUUUAGAAGCUCAUUUGGGUCAUAGAAUGGCUUUUUGGCAAAGCACAUGCUAUGUGUUUCUUCAUAAGGCACUCCCAAGUGUUUUUUCGAGAAGCAUUUGGAUUUUUUAAAAUGAAAAUUCAAGAUUUUUAUAACAAAAGUGAUUUUGGUAGAAGCGCUUAUGAGCAUAAGUACUUCUUAGAGAAGCAGUCCCAAACAAGUCAUUAGUUGAGGAAUCAUCCCAAUAAGAGGUCUUGCAAAAUUAAUGGAGAAUUAAAUUAAAAUAAUAUAGCUUGCUAUUUUUGAUGGGAAACAUUGCCCACACCACAUGAAGAUAAGAUGACUGAAAGAGUGAAAGGUCACAAAUUUUGUCACUAAAAAAGAAAGAAAAAAGGUUUCAACUUUAUCAUAAAUCCCAUCAAGGCGAAUUCCUAAAAAAGAUGCGUAUUGCCCGAUCAAAAAAAUUGGAAGAGAAUGAAAAAAAAAGAAGCAUAUGCCAAUUGCAAUGGGUGUACCAAGAACACAUAUACAAACAUAGACAAGUGUUGGGUCACACAACGAGGCAGCAGCACGCCACUGGUGACUGUCGUGAGUCAUGUCUGACGAGAGAAGCUGACAAAUCCCAUCAAUUCCAAUUCCAACCAUUUCUGCUUCACCUUCGUCUACCUCCGACACUCCGAACUGUAACUUCUUCUUACCCGUUUUCAAUUCCUUCAAUUCCGUCCUAUUGAAACAAUUAACAAUCAAAAACCCAACACCCAUCGAGCUGAAAUCGUCAGCUGAAAAAGGACCAAUCUUUGUUGAUUCUUGUUGUUGUUGAACAUGGUUUCAUCAAGAUCUCUUGUCUUUCUGUAGAGCGUGCAGGGAGUCAGGGGAGAGAUUGGAGCGAUGAACGUGAGCCGCCCAUCGGUUCACCCCGUGGAGGCCCCGCCCUUGACUGACUUGGCAGCCCAGAAUGCUCUCAGAGUGAGGAUGAAGGACGUUCAAGGCAUGCCUGGCACCACAGGUGGUCUCGUGUUGCGUCUUUGCCAGCUCGGCUUUGCAGCCAUUUCUCUCUCAGUCAUGGCCACCACCUCCGAUUUUCCCUCUGUCACCGCUUUUUGGUAAUGCUUGUUUUGUUGUGUUCAUGAUUUCACGAUUUUUACUUGAUUAUAGACGUUGGUUUUGGUUAAAGUCAAGUCUUUGAUGAUUAUUGUGUUUGCUUUUUUCUGGGUCAGCUACCUUGUUGCUGCUGUUAGUGUGCAAUGUGUGUGGAGCUUGUCACUGGCGAUUGUUGAUGUGUAUGCUCUUUCAGUGAGGCGGAGCUUGCGCAACUGCAAGGUUGUGGGUUUCUUCACCAUUGGAGAUGGGGUAAGAUAGGAUUCAAACUCAUUAAGUCUUGUUGCAUAACUGCAGCAAAGCAAUGCUGGUAUUCUUGUUGAAUUAACUAUUUAGGUUCCAUGUGAAAUUUAGCCCAAGCCUGCUAAACCAGUUAGAAGUAUAUGAGUUUUUCCUUCUCUAUGGGCAGAAUCUUAAGCUACCCCUUCUCUAUUGCCUGUUUGCCACCCAACCCUUACCAAAUGUGGCAUUGAUAGAUUUCCCCAAACUUGAUAACGGUGCUUUAUGUCAGAAGCUUCAUGUGGAUAUGUUUUGUGAUUUUUUUUAUCUGAUUUCUGGUCUAAUGUUUUAUCUAAUUGCUAGUUGGGAAAUAGCAUAGGGUUCUUUGCAUCCAUUUGUUAGCUGCCUUGUUCAUAUCUGCUUACCCAAAUAUAUCCAUAUACCAUUGCUUCGAAGUGGAAUUUGCUACUCCGGGGGUCCAUAGACACAGUUGCUGUUCUAGAUUAUGCUGCAGUUGAUAGUGUUACCAUCAAUUGUCUUUUAGUACACCAAGACGCUACUACAUCUAAGACUGACUAAAAUGUUUCUGUUAGUUGAUUGGCCCAUCUUCUGGUCUUUGGAAUAAUCAGGAGCACAGUACCCAAUUAGCUUGCCCUCUUUACCCUUGUACAAUGAAAUAAGGUUGCAUUUUUACAAACUAUACAAGAGUAAUAAAACCUUUAUAUUCAGGUCUCCACCUGUGGAUGAUUAUUAUUCUCAUGUACAUUUGAAAAUACCAGUUGUGGAUCUAAUUCAGAUAUUUAACAACCAAUAUUAUAACAAGGUAAAAUCUCUGCGACAUGACAUGUUACAACUCGUUCUUCUGAAGUUGCAGUUUCGCCUUGUUUCUCUUCUUGAAAAGUGUUACAUAUUUGUCUCAUGUUGCUUAGGUGUGUCUACGAGCCUCUAAUGUGCUCAAUCGUCUUUUGUUCUAUCGUUGUCUUGAUUGUGAACAUUACCUUGCCUAUCUUUCAUUUUUAUUUCUUCAAAGUGGUAGCAUACUCGUGACCUUAGAGAUAUGACUCCAUGUAUGUCAACCACAUGUUUUAAUUCUGGUUGUGGAACCUCUUGAUACCACCUACCAUUUGUAGGCUGCUUAUGAUGACCCAACCUAGUUUCUCUCAGUGCCAAGCUUAAUCGCAGACAAGUUUCAGAGUCUCAGCUUGGGCACGAUAACUAGAUCCCUAACUGCCUUGCUCUGAUACCAGAAUCUUGAACAAAACAUGUGGGAAGCCAACAGAAUUUGAAUAACUUGCAUACUACGAAUGCACAACUAUAUUACACACACAAACAAAGACACUUGUGCAGGCACACUCAUUUAAAUAGACGCUCUUACUUACACCUGACACCUCACUUUCACUCAUGCUCUGCUACAGGGAUAAUCAGAGCUGAGCUCUCUAUAUAAUGAUGAUCAAAGUCAGUUCUGCCAACUUUACUUUGUUAUUUUUUUUGCUUUAUUUGUUCAGAUGAGCAGCUGCAUCCAACUCAAAUGGCUAGCAUAAGUAACUGGAUAUAUCAGUCUAUCCUCAGCUUACUGAUAUGAUGUGUUGUUUUAGGAAAAUGUUAAGUCAAGUCUUACUCAAUAGCCAUCUCAUCCGUUUCCAUAUGUGAUACUAAUAGAUAUCCCUUCUUGGGAUUUUGUCAAAUUUGAUGCGUGGCCUUCUUUUUAUGGAAGAUAACUUAACAUCAGUCCUUCAUUCAUUUUGUAACAAUAUGCUUUGUUAAUAUGUACUUGUGCAAAUAUCCAUUUGUUUGGAAGUUGGAAAGUGAAAAUUUGUGCGUGAGGAGUACAUUGUCCAGACCUAGUACAUCCGCAGCUUACAGAUCUGUGGGUGUUCUUUUCAUGCAGAUCACAUCCACGCUUACAUUUGCUGCCGCAUGUGCUUCUGCUGGAAUUACUGUCCUCAUUGCCAAUGAUCUUAACAAAUGUGAUGUGAACCAUUGCAAAAGGUUUGAGACUGCCACGGCUAUGGCUUUUAUCAGUUGGUUUGCUGUGUCACCAUCCUUUCUUUUAAACUUCUGGUCACUGGCUUCCCGGUGAAACACGGCAGGGGGGGAAUUCAUCAGUGAGCCGAGUCUUCUUAUAUUCUAAAAAAAAAAAAUUGGCCUCUUUUAAUGGCUGUGCAGGGUAUUUGUUUGAUUGCCCUUAUUCUGUACAUAGAAAUAUUCUGGCAGAGUUUGUUGAAGAAUAAUAACAUUUAGCAUGGAGAUAUGUAUAAUUUUGGAUUUUGAAUCUUUUUCCUCAUUGUGGGUGUCAUGUGAUAGUUUUUGUUGUUCUUCCAAAAGCGUUUUCCUAUUGGUUUGCUUUGAAACUUCUUAGGGUCUAUAUGCACCGAAAGCAGCAUUGGAAAUUCUGCAGGCUAAAAGCUUAUAGGUGCCAAGUGGGAACCGUAAAUAUCAUUCUGCUUCCUUGAAAUGAAGAAGACCUAAACCCAUGUAGAUUUGAUCAAAUGACAUAACCCAAUGUCAUGGCCAAGAAUCCCACGUGCAGAAGAAUGAGGUCCCUCAAGAGUAGGUAUGCAACAUCACCUAACAUGACAUGCUAGUCUUUUCGGUUGAUUGGCGAGCACCUAGCCGGUUAGGAGUAGUAUUCGAGCACCCCCAUUUUUGGUUAAUUGGCAAGCACAUAACCUGUUAUGGGACGUAGAUGUAUUAACGGUGAAAUCAGUUACCAAAUACUGCCUUUCCGAAAGGAGAAGGAAAAAAAACACAUAUGUAGACGUCACAACUUACAUUAGGUUGUGCAGUGGUUAAUAUAAUUGUAACUGAAGAAGUUCAACUUUCUAAGAAUACAACUUUUUCUUUUUCACUUUUUUUGUUAGUGGUUGGUUAUAUAUGGGAAGUAGUUACAGUUUUAUUAAGAAGUCUCUUCUUUUGGUAAGUCUCUAACUCUUCUGUUAGCUUCUAAUCUCCUUUUCUGAGUAAGUGAUUAACUGAGGAUUAGGCUAAAUCUUGACACAUCUCUCAUCAACACAAGAUUAGUGUUUAAUCGAAAGCGUAAGGGAAAAGAAAUGGCAAGCAAGAUAACGGUCUCUCAUCCCUUUUCAAUUCUCUGCCUAGAAGAACAGUCAAGACAGUUGGUAACGGCCAUAAAAGAUUUAAGCAAAGAUGGCUUUCCGUGCUAUUAACCUGCUCCUUGAGCAACUUGACCAUCUAUAUAUAUGUUUCAACCUUUACUGUUAUCUUUGAACAAUUUGUCCCAAAGAGAGAAGGGUUUAGCGGGCUUGAAGUUGAAGAUUGGAGAAGUAUGUCUAAUAAGGAAGUUGAGGAGGAAAGAAGGCUAUAUCAGUGUGCAAGGAAUUAUGAAAAAAUUGUAAAACAGGUAGAGUGUGCAACGUAGUAUGUUUACUUUUACCAACUGGAUUUACCUUUCCCUAAUUUAAAUUUAACCAUGUUUGAAAAUCAAAAUUACUGAGAUAAGUUAGCCUGGAAAUCAUAAUGCAUCCCAACCCCUUAGUUAGAACAUUGUUUCUUUCUUUCUUUCUUUCUUUUUGGAAUGACAUUUUGUUCCAACUUAUACACAAAUUGAUUAGGAAACUUGGGUUUGAUUUCUGUUCUUCAGUUUGAUGAGCUGAUUGAGAUGAUGAACACCCGGAGCAGACUGCCGAAGCGACGAAAGGUAUCUUCCGAUAACAUCUCUUAUAUAAUUCCAUCUUCAUCUUUAAAUCUCACGUAUGUUCAUGCAAUUCACAGAAUUCUACAACUGCUGCCCCUGCCCCGGCAAGUCAACAUGAGGACAAUGAAGUGUUUGCACAGACAAUAACAAGAUUUCUCCAGGACCUGAGAACCAACCCUGCAGAACCUGACUGCUCCACAGCCCCCGGAGAUGGAAAUUAGUUAUCUUCCUGCGGGGAAAAGAUUGCUUGUAAAGAUGAUUAUGAUCUCACUGCCAUCUUAACGAGUAAUUGUAUUUAGUGGUGGUUAGUGGCUAAUAAUUACUAUUUAAGUGAAUGCUUGACUAGCUAUCUUAGCAUGGUUAAAAAUGUAAUGAUAUUCAUCUCUUGAAAGUGCAUGACAGGUGUUCCAGGCGAAACUCUCUACAGUAAAUGUUUUUCCUUUUUGUCAAUGCGGUAAUUUAAACUUCUCUAAUCUACAGAAUCCUACUCUAAACUACAGAGAGGAUUCGGAAGUUAGGAGUGUGUAUAUUGCCCUAGCCAACUGGCCUAAGCACAUUUUUAUUUAAGAAAAAGAAAGAAUUUGACUUAACAAAAAAAUCCAUGUACGACACGCAGAGUCUUUUGAAUAAAGGCGCACAAGACACACAAUCGGACAUCCAAAAUUUCACAUCUUUCAAUUAAAUGAAUUACAGGGUCCGAAAUUCCUGGAGAUCUAUUACAAGAAGGAAUCAUUGCAGGAAAAGAAAAACAUAAAUUGAAGAUUGAACAACUUACAUUGGUUCCUAAGCAAGAAAAUAAAGGUGGAAAAAAGUCAUUGUAUAUUCAUUGUAGAAAAGCAGAGUCAUUUUAUCGAACACCUCUCAGUUUCCUAGAAAGCAGCACAAGUUAAGAGUAGUAAGGGGCCACGCGCAUCUCGUGCAAAAAAAGGUCUCUCGUGCUUACCAUUGGAAGUUGCAAAUUUGCAAAAUGGAGAUUGAGCUCAUGAAAUUAGUUUCUUGGUGGGGAGCACAUGGAUUGGACAAUAAUGAAAAAUGAGGUAAAUUUGGUUAUGCUGAAGCUCUUGACCCUUGAUGAUCAGAAAACCUAUUGCAAGCUGCACUUCAGCUUCUCAGCCUCAAGCUCUUGUUUCAUGGCUUCCAUCCGUUCAACCAAGGCCAUAUUUUCCUGGGCAUUUCAGGGCUUGUAAGAAGAGGAACACGAUUCAAACCUAAAGGAACUUUUAAACACACUAACAUAUCAUUGUCUAUCAGAGCCAGCAAGGGAGAAGAAAAGGAAAAAAACCAGACUUUCAUUUAACAUCAAAACAUGCAGUUUAUGCAUAAGACUUGGGUGCAUAACAUAAGUUGAAAUUUUAAGUCUGAUAAUAUGAGCAAGCCAUUCUCAGCAUUGUUUUUACUUAGCUCCUUAAAGUGGAUGAAUGAAAAAGAGAAAGAUUGCAUUGAAUCUUACAGCUUUUAGUUCUUACCCUCUUUUGACUGCUUGGUUAUAGGACUUGUUAUGAGACAUCAUGAUAAUUUUUGUAUUAAAUUUUGUACUGGAAAAAAAGGGUCACCUUUUGUAGAUUCACCAAUUUCUGGUUGAGGCUAGCAGCAUUUCCAUCAUCCUCCUCAAAAGACCCCUUUAUCUGCGAGAACGACGAAUAAUUCAUCGGUCCACAAAGAGAUGAUUACGAUAGGCACAGAGAAUCUAAUCUUACCCUGGGGUGGAGGGAAAGACAAAGACACCCAAUUCUGUGCAUAUAUACUAUUGCUAAUGAGAACAGACCCGCUUAUCAAAUGCCAAAACAGAUAUAUGGGCCUCAACUACUCUUAACAGCUAAAGACCCCUGGUAAUUUAGUUGAGGACAUACGAUGGUUAUGAAGGGAUUUGCUCUAUCACCAUUCAGUGCAAAAUUCAGGAAGAUAUGUGUUGAAGCAAUAAUUUGACUGGUGCCCAGUCCAGAAAUGUGCUUUAGAAUUAUUAUUAUCAUUGGUAGGUGAGAGGUUUUACCACAUCUGAUCUGGACCAGCAGUUUUACCACAUCAAAACAAUAAAAUAAAAAUAUAGGAAAAAGGUUUAUUAUUUACUUGACAAGAUCAUGUUGUUAGACUGAAGCAUUGUUUAACAAGUCAUUCAACUCCAGGAUGCCCUUCCAAAGAUUGGACCCAAACGCUCUUCUACAAUUUUUGGCCAAAACCUCAUGAAUGCUAAAAAAAAAAGUGAUAAAAACCAUACUAUAGUUUCAAAAGUGGUUUUAAAUUUAAUUAUCUUUUGGGUCAAUGUAGAGAUCAUUUUCAAAGACUACAUCUUGCUUUGGCAUCCUUACAAUUCUCAGCAUGCAAAGUCAACCUCCAAAGUGCAUAUGAAAAUUAAUUUGCCACACUAAGUAUGCUCCAAUGAGAUUCGUGAAAAACAGCGAUAACAUACCGUUUUCUACACAGAGAUAUGAAGCUCUAGUUAUACAACAAAUCGUGAAAAAUAAUUGAAAAGAAUUGGCAAAAUCAGGUGCGGACCUGUUUGAGUUCGUUCAUACACUUGGUAGCCCUUUCUGCUUCUACAUCGUAUUUCAGCCUCCACUCAGCAGAUUCAUCCAUUGCUUCCCUAUUAGCAAGGUCGAACUGCCGCCUACCAUAUUUUGAGAGAAAAAAUAUAUGUAGUUGACUAAAAAAAAUCUUUAAAUCAUAAUAGAAAUAACAAAGAAACUCGACCUAUAAACCCAAAUCAACACUGAAAAUCCCAUUUCAUUUUAUGGCAAACACUACUAAUUUUUUGACAUAUGAAACUCUAGAAAUGAAAAGGGUACAUGUAAAAUCAUAUACUACAAAAUAUAAAAUAGGAGCCAACCCAGAAACUCAACUUAGGAUUUAUGAUAAAUUAGCUCAAGAAUCAAAAGAAAGUUUCUGUCUUUUCUCACAACUGAUAUUCAACUAUGCCAUCAGAUCAGAAUCACUAUAAUGGGAAGUAAUGCAAGAACUUGGGCUUAAAUUUAUCUUAUAUAUAAAGGGCAAUCAUUUUUUCAUUCAUUCAUUCACAAAAUCCACAAAAACAUGAACCCUUAAAAACAAAUUUGAGGUUGACAGAGAGAUGAGAUGGGAAUUAAAGCAAAGCAAACCUCAAGAGCUCAGCUUCAUCGGAAGAAACGGUAUAGUCGAUGGUCCAAAGCUUCAAGUACACUGCAACCCCAAAAAGCAUCAGCACCACCAAACCCACCAAUAUUUUCUUGCUCCCACCACCACCCCCCAUUUUUUGUUUCUCUCACUCUCACUUCUGUUCUGCGACCAAACCCAAGACAAACACGCGGGUAAGAACCUGGCUUCAACUACUCGUAAAUUGGGCCUAAACUAGGCAAUGGCCCAUGACCCUAUACUUUUGCCUUUUUGUUGAGUGAUUCUAUUUUGCACUCAAAAGGGUCUUUGGACAUCCCUGAAAGUUCUUCUAUUUUAAAAUGACAAUUAUACCCUUAUGUACAGUCGCCACAAAGUACUUUUGCCCUUUUGGAUUUCUCAGGAUACCCACACAACACAACACUAUCGAACCGAACCGAACUCACCAUGGCACCAUCUCUCCCUUUCUAACCCUAAUUUACCUCUUUCUCAACUGCUCUGAUGAUCAUGAGGAAGAAAGUGAUGAAGAAGUGGAUAUAUUGAAUGGUUCCUUAAAACUAAGGAGGAGUUCUCCUCAUAAUAAAUGGGAUUUUGACACUUAUCAAAUUCCCAAAGAAAUAAAAGUUGAAGGAAUUCAAAAGAAAACAAACAAGUUAAAGGAAUUUGACAAGUGUGAAAACCCCAUUUGUUAGGAGGAGGAGUUCUUCCAAUUAAAGCACAGAUUUCUUAUCAGUUUUUCGUUGAGCUUUCAAUUUGACCUCCUGUAGGCUGUAGGUUUACUUGGAAUUUGGUGAUCGCAGAUCAUUGUAUGGAUGUAUUAUAAAGCUGACCGGGUGAAUGAUGAUUUAUCUUUCAUAUUCUUGUUUUUCAGGGACGUUCAGUUCUUGAUAAAUGCUUACAUUCCCUUCAUUCUUCAGUUUCUGGUAAAUGAUUCCCUUCAUUCUCCAUAUUAAUUACUAGCGUUUGAUUAAAUAAGUAUUUAAAGAGUAUACGGCUAUACCUUUUGAACGUAUUAAAAUAUUAAAUAGUAUAGCCGCGCGGCUAUACACUUUAAAUGUAUUAAAAUAUUAAACCGUAUAGCCGAGCGGCUAUAUUAUUUAAAUAUAUUAAAAUAUUAAAACUUAUAGCCGCGAGUUCAUAGUCGUUAAAUGUAUUCGAAUUAAACGGUAUAGCCGGGCGGCUAUACGCUUUACAUGUGUUAAAAUAUUAAAGAGUAUAGCCGGGCGGCGAUACUCUAUAAAUAUAUUAAAAUAUUAAACUUAUAGCCGACGGGCUAUACCCCUUAAAUGAAUUAAAAUAUUAACAGUAUAGCCGCACGGCUAUAUGCUGUAAAUAUGUUAAAAUAUUAAACUGUAUAGCCGCCUGGCUAUACUCUUUAAAUAUAUUAUGUUUUAAUUAUUAUUUAUUUAUUGAAGAAUUAGUAUUUAAAUACUUUAAUUAAUUUUAUAAAUUACUUCAUAAAUAGUAAUUAAUUAUAUUUAAUCAUCUUUAUAAAAAAAAAUUAUGGAAUUUAAAAUUAUUUUAGUAUUCUAAAAAUAGAGUUUAGCCUCCAAACCCGAAAUCCAAGUCUCUAUCCAAAAAGCUUAGCUUUCGAACUUAUCUGAACUUGUUCCAAAACCGUUCGCAAGCCUUGAACCCUAAUGUAAACCUAUCGUAGGGCACUUAGGACUUGAUUAGGCUUAGAUUAUCACUUAACUCGACCUAGAGCUUUACGAUUUAGGUUUUGAUCCCAGUUGGUUUUCUUAACACCACUUAUCUUCUGGAAAUUAGAAAAUUCGAAAUCAAAUUAAUCUAAGACAAGUUUAUAUGAAGAUAAGAUAUAAGUAUCUUCAUCCGCAAGUUUAUUUGAGCAUUGCCCGAUCCAAAAGCUGCUGGGACAUCUUUGCAGACCUGUGAUCUAUAUUCUAUACAAUUAAUGCCUCCUUCCACCGCCACUGGAGUUCAGAUAACAGAAGAAGACGCUGCAAAAUUGACAACCGCCAUUCCCACUAUUCACUUAGAUCAUGAUCUAGUUCAGUUAUAGUUGAAGGAAAGAAAGACAGUGAUGUAAUAUAUCAAGUAGUUUCCCCGUGAAAGAUACAACUAAUUUGUUUCCCUCUUCACGUGUUAGAUCAGUUUGCUCUAAAGCACAUGUGUAAUGUGACAAAUAAUUCUCUAGCAUCGGACACAUGAAUGAUAAAUAAUUUGUUUUCCAUGCAUUUUUCAAAGACAAUAUGCAUCAGAUUUUCCCGAGGAAACAUGUUAGACGUGUAAUUGCAAGUUGAACUUAUCAAGCAUAAACACGAGAAAAUGCAACUUGAUGAAGACCUUCUGUCAUUGACAGACUCCAAACCAAAUGGUUCUGUAGAUCUUUCAAAUGGUCAAAUGCAAUUUGAUGAAGAGUUUCUCUUUCACCAGUCAUAAUCCUUUCCGUCACUCCAAUCGCAAGAAGAGCGGAAUCUAGAGCAUACCACAUGUGCAGGAAAAUCACUGAGUCAAUGUUUUUACCUUUUUCAUGUGAGGGCAAUGAUUCAUUACAAACUAGCAUAGAAAAAUAAAAUACCCGGCAAACCCCUUAACGUAUAUAAAGGCAAGGUGAAAACUGCCGUGGGAAUUGAAAAUCGUCAGAGAUCAAAAGACAUCAUUUCUAUCCAGAGAAAUUUAUUUAUUUUCGAACCGCCCAGGCCGAUGAUCUAGGAAAACAAUAAUGAGUUGGAAUUUUAUAACCAUACCGAGUCUCCUCCACCACUCCAUCCACAUCACCAUCGUUGUUUCAAAUCCUCCUUUGAACACCGUUAUCGCUAAACCCAAAGAACCACUUGUAUUUUAAAUAUAAAAUUAGAAAAUUAGUUUAAUAUUUGUAAUUAUAGUAAUUAUGUUUUUAUUUUUAUUUAUUUAGUGAAUAAUUAGUAUUAGAAAGUAUUUUGAAUAUUGAAAGCGUAUAGCCGGACGGCUAUACUCCGUAAAUAUAUUCGAAUAUUUAAAACGUAUAGCCGCCCGGCUAUACUCUUUAAAUAUUUUAUUUUUUAAUUAUUAUUUAUUUAGUGAAGAAUUAGUAUUUUAAUAUUUUAAUUAAUUUCAUAAAUUACUUAAUAAAUAGUAUUUAAUUAUCUUAAAUAAUUGUGUGGAAUUUAAUUUUUUAUAUUAAAAAAUAGUUUAAUUUUUGUAAAAAAAAUCCUAGAAAAUUAUUUUAGUAUUCUAAAAAUGAAUUUUAGCUUUCAAACCUGAAAUCCAAGUCCCGAACCAAAAAUCCUAAUUUUCGAACUCAUUUGAACUUGUUUCAAAACCGUUCGCAAGCCUCAAACUCUAAUUGUAAACACCAAUUUUUUGGAAGCCACUUUGUUUCAAAAACUUGUUCUAUCUAAGUGGAUAGCUAUGCAAAGUUAAAAAAAUAAAAAGAAUCGUUUAGGAUUUGCGUGUGCAAAUAUUAAGUUUUAGACCCUUAUGGUCGGGACAAGUUUGAGAUAAGGGGAAUAACAACCCCACUGUUGUACCUGUAGCAGCUUAAGCAUCUAAUUCCAUUUUUUAAGCAUUAUUCUGGGGGCCCAAUAAUUUGAAAACCCAUUACACUCAGGCCCACAUAUCUGCGAAAAUACCAGCACAUCACUGAGUUUUGUGUCAAAUCUCAUCAUCCUGCCUGCAUCCCACAAUUUCCUUUCAUCUUCAUCUAUUGCUUGUCGCAUCUGUCAAGUUUAAAGAUACAUAAAUUAUUGAGGUUUCUUAUCAUCAGUUGCCCACGCACACCGUGAUAGUGAGCCGUUGAUACACACAAGUCUUACAAUGCAUAUAUAACUUACAUUCAUCCACAACCAAUUUCAUGAGUAAUUAUAAACCGUUAAUACAUACAUGUCUCGUGACGUAUCAACGGCUUACAAUCAUCUACUAAGCUCACAGAAACAAUCAAUAUACACAGGCCCACAUAUCUGUAAAAAUACCAGCACAUCACUGAGUUUUGUGUCAAAUCUCAUCAUCCCACAGUUUCCUUUCAUCUAUUGCUUGUCGCAUCUUUCAGGUUUAAAGAUACAUAAAUUUUGGAGGUUUCUUAUCAUCAGUUGUCGACACACACGGUGAUAGUGAGCCGUUGGUACAUUAUACACAAGUCGUACAAUGCAUAUAUAACUUACAUUCAUCUACACUCACGUGCAUGAGUAACUAUAAACCAUUAAAACAUGCAUAUCUCGUAACGCAUCAACGGCUUACAAUCAUCUAUUAAGCUCAAAAGUUCUUCCAAUCUACCCAACCCAAAAGCUGCUUUAUUUGUUCACUCACCCCAGAUGGUUUUGGCAGUUCCAAUAACCCAUCAUGAAAAGUGAAAGCUAAAAUAAACGUGAGGCAUUUUGCUUGUUAUUGUUGUCUAUAUCCUUUUCACUCAACCAAAACGAUCGGUGGGGAAGAAACAAAUGGAAAUUGGAAACAGAGGGUGUGAAAACAAAUCAAGCAGCGCCCCUGGUUUCGUUGGUUUAUUACUAAACCUAUAUAGAGUACUACUAUUUAUUAAUUGCAGUUCGUUGGAUUGGAUUGGACAUAACCAUUUGAUGAUGUCAAAGUUCAAUAAAUUUUUAUUAUUGCAUUUUAUUUUGGGCUCAAGAGAGAGAUGCUCUUCUUUUUUUUGUUUUUUUUUCGUCUCCUGGUGUGGAGAUGCCCAGCUGGUCAAGGAUUAACUUUGACAUGCUGCUGCUUGUCGUUUUUCAAUUUAUAUGUUCAGUUAUUAACUGAGGCUAUAAUUAGCAUAUUGUUUAUAGGGCCUUCUAGAGAGGUUGACAUAAUUUUAAACUUAUUGCUGCUGCUGACUGCUGAGGGUUCUGGCUUUUGGUGAUUCAUGGACAGGAAUAGGUUAAAGGAAAAUUUAAAAUUUUCAUUGCACAUAACAUAAAUGGCUCCAUUUUGGAUUGUGGGAUUUCAUUUGCAUUUUAGUUCAUGUUAAGGUUCUUAAUAACGAAAAAUUUUCCGAAUUCAAAUCUCUCUUCCGGUCUUUUGAUAAAUAUAUAAAAAUAUAUAUAAAGUUGUGUGAGGGAGAAUAAUGUGAAGGAAUAUAAUGAUUCCAAUUGAUUCAUUGAACUUAGUCCUUUCAAGUCAUGAAGAAAUUAAAUCCAACUCUCUAUAAUACAUUUUAUUGCUUUUAUGGUUAACUUCUUUGAACCAAUAUAAAGUUGUUGCUUUUUAUUUUAUAAAAAGGCGACAGAAUCUUGUUAGAUUCUAUCGCACGAGCGAACAGUAAAACUGAAAUGAUCUUAGAGAGAAUCACUCUCAAAAACAAAUUUUCUAUGACUUAUUUCUAUCAUCAUAAUUUUCCGCAAAUUUAGUCCAAUGACAUCAAGGACAAAACUGGCCACUAACGGACAUGAAUCUCCUAGAGAGACUAAAAUACUCAACAAACUCAAUUAAGUUUAUGGGAAUUAUGAGAGAAAAAAACACAUAAAACCCAUAGAGUUUGUGGACCAAAAAAACCAAGACUACAAAUCUAAAACAAUGCCGACAAAAGGAAGAACAAAUAUCACUCAUUUUUCUUGGGAACAUGACAUAGAGAACGCCAACUAAUCACUCCAUGGCCCCAACACGGCAACGCCCUAAUCAACAAUAUAUCUAUCAUAAUCAAGCAUCAACACCUCAAAGGGUAGCCCCACAAUAUGAGGCACAUUUAAAACCAGCUCAUAUUCAAUGCAAAGACAAUAGAUUUGUCAAAGAAAAAUCAUAUCAACACACAUCCACAAAAAUUCAAAGAACACCAAAUAUGAAGCUUAAACCGUAAACCCGAAAUUGGUUUUGAAUGGGAAUUUGAAUUUAUAAAGUCAUCGUUAAAAUCCAAAUUUGGUGCAAAUCAACCUCAAAACGUCUUGAAUCUAGUUUUCCAACCUCGUCCAAGCCCAAUGAAUAGUAAAUCUAUGUCAUCAUAAGUUAACUUUAUAACACACUUCUCUUCUAACUUAAUAACUUUUUUUCUUUUCUUUUUUUUAAUUUUUUUUUUUAUAGGGCCAUUUGGGUAUGCAUGUUGACAUUAUGGUGACACAUUCAACUCCCAAGAGUGUAUCUGCCUAGCAAAAGUUGAUAGACACUUUUUACGACUGUUUUAAGCAUGCAAAUACCAGGUACAAACAACGACCGACUACGAAAACCAACGUUUCUUCUUCUUCUUCGUCUUUCUUUUAUUUUUCUUUUUUAUACAUAAAAUGAAUGCCAAAGUAGCUGUGGGUCAUUUGUCAUCCCAAGGGAGCAUAAAUUUCACUUCAAGGCUUCUUCUAGCUGCUCUGUAUCUUUUACACCUACCACCCCUACCAACCAAACCUUCAAUUUUUUUAAUUUCCUCUGCAAUUUACUCUGUUUCAAUCCAUUAACCCCAUAAUAACAAUAACACCAAAUAAUAAAUAACAAAAAUAUUUAUAAAAAUAAAAAUAAAAAUUAUCAUUAAUAUUUCCAUCCAUUGUCAUCAUCAAUAUGACAACCUGGAGAAGAAGAUGAAACACAAAAUGCCAUCAUCAUCUGAUCUCGAAACCAAAAUAUCAUUAAGAGACUUUGGGCUCUGCAAAACUCAGGUCCUCCCAUAAAACUCAGGCACCCAAAGCAACACAAACCCAGAAAGAUCAAACCAGCACCAGAGAAAAAAAAAAAAAAAAACAUAAACGUUGUUAAUAAUCAAAAUAAGAUCAAGAUCCGUUGCCAAGUCGCUUCUAAAAUAUCAAACCAGUUUAACGGAGAUCAUAGAUAUAAAUUAAAUUAGAAACCAGUCAUCGUUGAUUUCAAAUUUUUCUUUGCUUGCCCUACCAAAAUUUCCAGUAAGUCUCUGUUUUUUUUUUCGGCCUUAAGUUCUAAAAUUUGCUACCGAUCAAUCUUCGAACCCAACUUUUUUCCAAAUCGCGUUUCUCACUCGCCUCAAGUCUCUGCCUUUCAAGGUCCUCCCAAUCCCUUCAUGAACAGAAAACGAAGCCCCUCUCGUCCUCGCCAAGUACUCGUGAGGCGGGACCCUCCCAUCUCCGCCAUCAUCAUCAUCAUCGCCACCGUCAAAAUCUUCUUUUCCGCGGUCUUCAUCGCUGUCUCUCUGCCUCUGGUCUUUGUACGCCUCUUUCAGAAUAUUGGACCAGUCCGGAAUGUUCACCGGCAACGACGCUGACGUCACCUUGGCACUAUUUUUCUGAUCAGCCAUGCUCAUCAGCAUCGUCGUCUUCCUCCCCAUUUUCUUCAGCUCUCUGUAACUGGGUAUGGCGUUCUUCUUCUGUUCUGCAACUGGGUUCGACGAGCUCCAUAUAUCGGCCUCGUCGAACUCGAAGAGCCCGUCUGAGCCAAUUGGGUUGUCGCCGAUCGACGAGGUGGGGAAGAUGGCCUUCCUCGACGCCAUUGAUGAAUGAAGAACCGAGUUUUGAAGCCUUGGCUCUGUUUCUGCUCUGUUUUCAGUCUGGACUAUUUUUCUUUGCUUCUUUUUUGGUAAGAAAAUUUUAUGACCGAAAACGUUGAUUGCUCUGCAUUUUAUAAUGGCGAGUGUAAUGGAUAAGCUCCCUUUUUCGCUCUUCGUACAAAGUUACAUUUGUCAUGCUAAACGACAAAAAAUGGUAAAUGCUAGAAUGUGGGCCUCCUCAUAUGUUUGGUAUGGAGACGAGAUGCUACAUCAUGUCCAUGCCCUAAUUGCUUCUUACUUUCUUUCUUUACCUUUUUUAUGCCACAAGAUGAUUAGUGAUGCACAUUAAAACAUAUGAUAACGAUUAAGUCAUACGUAAGCAAGUGAAUAAAAAAAAGACCCUCAUAAUACACAAGUUGUUUAUGUUCGUGUGAGUGAUUAUUAAUCUUUCAUAUGUCGGCAUACAGGUCAACAAUCUUUCAAAACGAUUGAACUCAAAGUCUGAAUAUUUAUAUGUAUAAUAUAUUUUCUCAAAUUCAAUUUCAAUCGAUUAAGUAAAUGAUACGACAAAAUCUUAGUUGUGAAACUAACAAUAACCAAAUAAAACAAUGUAACAAUAAUUGGUAUCCAAAUUUUAGGGUUUUAUCCAUAAUAUAGGACCUUAUCCACAGUUUAAGAGCUCAAUUUAGUUGGACUGCUCAACCAUUUUUUCAGUUUUCAUUUUAAUAAUAUAUUUAUUAUGUUCUUAUCCUACAUAAAGCCAUUUUUUUUUAACAGUUUAGAACAUGUUAGGUUAUUUGUCGAACAAAAUGCUAAACAACACCUUCUACUAGUAUUAUGAUGUUUUCCCCUUAUUAAAAAAGGGUCAUGCUAGGGAGACCAACUUUAGAUACCAACUUGUGUACCAACUCUCUAAUAGAGGUGGAGCCCACCAAUACAAUGGGUCCCACACUCUAUUAGAGAGUUGGUACACAAGUUGGGAUCUAAAGUUGGUCUCCCUAGCAUUUUCCAUUAAAAAAUUCCUCAAUUACAGCCGAAUCACACGUAGGACAAUAUGUGUCAACUUAAUUAUAAGUUGAUUACAGAUUAGGCAGGCAACAAAGUGACACGUCAUUCUAGACAAUUAUCGAUUAAUUAUCCGUACAUAAUUUCCACACAAAAAAAUCGAUUGAGCAAGAUGGGAUAUGGACGAAUUUAUCCAUACGCAUGUAAACGACACGUGGACCAACCAGCGUUUGGUUUUCAACGACUCGAAAUUCAUUGGGACUUAUGAUUGAACCAGUAAACCCAUGACACGCUCGGGUUUCCGUAUAGUCUUUAACCACGCUGUAGGUCAAGGGCGCGGGCCCCGCAGCCCAUUCGACGUCUAUAAAGGGAUCGGAAUGUCCAUAUCGUGCCACGUCACUUACGCAAUUUCUUUCAUUUUUGGGGUAACAAAAUUAGGCCUUUUGUCGCGACAAGGGCCAAUCUGCUGUGACUGUGAGCUCUGUAAUCAAAAUGAUCAGCCUGGCAUUUCCGUGAUUGACAGCAAUGAAGAGCUGUUGGGAUUUUUGAGAUGCAUGUUAUAUUUGGAUAAGAACUUUAUUUUUGGGGUAAUUUAUUAUGUACUAUAAACAUUUUUUAAUUAUUAAAUUAAAUUUCAAAAGAAGAAGUUUGUAGUAAUAGAGAAAAUUGAAGUGAAGUAUUAUUUCGGGGAUGUCACAAGUUCAAAUCUUAUGAGUGAUAAUUGUUUCGAGAUUUUCUGUUGAUUAAGCAUUUUUUAAAGUCAGAUCAAUCCAUCAUUGAUUUGUGCAAAUUAGAAAGAUGCAAGAAAAUCAACAUUUCUUGCAAUCUUUUAUUAAUCUUUAGUGUUACUUGGUGACAACAUCAAUGAAUUGCCAUCAUUUUCCGUAGUUGGUAGUUUUGGCGUGUUUGUUUAUAUUUCUUACACACACAGAUUUAAUAGUCAGUUCAGAAAAACUGAGUUGGAGAUCUUUGUAGUAACUAACAUAGAUUGAUAAUCUUUCUAAUUGUCAUAUAGCGGUAAGGAGCGCGUAUAAACCACUUCAGAUAAAACACGAAAAUUGAAAGCAUGAGCAUUUUUCCACAAUGUGAUGAUGGGGAGUAAGAUAAGACACAAGUGCCUCUGCCCAUGAGUUUGAAACUUGUUGGAAACUGAUGCCUCUCAAGAAAAUUGAUCGAUCAUGACAUGGAUGAUGUUUUGUAUAUAUGAAAAUGAGAAAGCAUUGGUCUCUUCCCAACAACUUCACCCCCCGUUUAAUGAAUGCACUAUAGUAAAGUCACCAUCUUCUAGUAAACGUCUUAUCGUCAAGUACUAAUUAAUAUGAUUUUCAUUUUCAAAGAUGCGGCCUAUGUUGUACGGACACGAAAACGCGAUAUAGAACACGGCAAUUAAAAUAAUAAUAAAGAAUUUUGAAUCCUUAUCACUUUCAUUCAUCUCCAAUAUCUUAUUCACCAUACUACACACAACUUUGUGAUUAUAUGCUACAUUAUUUGAUAUUUAUAAUGUUUAUACAUCAUUUGAAAAAACUAUCCUAGUAAAAAUGAAAAAAAAUAAAUAAAAGUCUUUUUUUUCUAAUUAAAUUGAAAAUUAUGAUUAUUAACCCCAAGCGGCCCCUGCAAAACCAGAAGAUGUGUCUCUCACAAAUCCCAAUUGGCCCCCGCAAAAUUCGUGAAAUUGUCAGCUCAGCACCCCUUUCAUUACCAUUUAAACGAGGAUGCCCUUUAAUCUGAAACAAACACUACCAAACUUAAAAUAUGGAAUUCCCUUCGAUUCCUCAAGGCUCCACUGAAUUGAAUUUAUCUCUUGCUCCUCCUCCAACCCAAGAAACAACACAUGAAAAUGGUGUGUUUCCACACUCCACCUCAAGGCUCCACAGAUUUGAAUUUAUCUAUUGCUCCUCCAACUCAAUAAACAACACAUGAAAAUGUUAUGUUUCCACACUCAAUUUCCAUACAGGUUCUACCUCUGUGCAAGCUGCAAAUAUGCACAAUGAAAUCUCAACAACUAUGGUAAUGGCGAGGAGGUCUGACAAGACUGCACUGGAAGAGACCAAUUUUUUCAAUGCUCACUGUGCUGCUUCAGUAGAAAAUUUAGGAUUGCGUCUACUAGCAAGGAACCAAAAGUGUGCUUCAUUGACUGCUUAAAUUGCAUCCUUGAAGGUUGAAGUUGAUGAAUUGCAUAGGCUCCUCAAACAAUCAAACCGACAUAUAGACGUACUAAAGUAGAAAAAUAGAGACUUUGCUAAACUGGAGGAAGUUUUACAGACACGAGUAUCAAGAAGAAACAGAUAAGGAUCUGAGAUGAAGACAAAAUGUCCCCCUUUUGAAAGUCUGUAUCCCCUUUAAUUUUAACGACGCAAAAUAACAUGAAGGAACAAAGAAAAAAAAAACAUAUUUAAAAAAAAAUAUUGUUUACAUUUUUUACCUAUUUUGUUAAAAAUAUUUCAAAUAUGUCCGUGUAGUUUUCAAUAAUUAUGUUUUGACCCCAGUUUUUGUUUUAUAAUUUUCAAAAUGGUUUUUGUCGUGUCUUGACUUCUGUUAACCGUGUCCAAAAAUGUCUUGACCGUAUCCAAAAUGUGUCUUGACCGCUGACCCAUGUCCAAGGCGUGUCCAAUGCGUGUCCGCUUGUACAACACUUCAAACUAAUGAAGUGCCUGUGUUACAUUGGACACGGCAUAUUAUUUUCUUGCGUGACGAGAAAUUUUUUAACCAUCCUUAUGAGGAUAAGGUCUUAAGGUAAACUAGGGAUAACAGUUUGUUAAUUUAGUUUGCUUAGGGAAAUCAUGUUGGGAUCCCAAGGAAUAUGGUGAUAGAAAUAAUGGAUUAAGCCCAAUAAUCGUAGUGUUUGAGAGCUUUUUAAAUUAACCAUAUCUUUUGAGAAGAGAUUUGGUCUAUGGACUCUGGAUGAUUAGCAGACUGAUUGUGUUGAGAAUCACGACAAUAAUAAAAUAUUAUAAUUUGUUUUGAGAAUAACGAGCCAUUUAUUUUAUCAAUUUAAUGAAAAGUGAGUAGUAAAAAAACAAAUCACACUAGUUUACGUCAUUGCAUGUAGAGUUGUAAAUGUGCGGUGGAAAACGCACGUUGCAUGCGUGAAGUCUUAUCUCUCGUGAAUCACGACUUGUGUAACUGUCGUUGCUGGUGAAGUGUAGCAUCUGGCAUGUAAAGAAGGGUUCACUAACUCUUUACUUUACCCAAAAACAACUUUAUCCUUGAUUAAUUUUUUUAAUUGCAUCAUCGUUUUAUAUUGAAUUCUUUUGAGAUUCAUAUCAUUCUAGUGCCUCGAGACUCCACGGACAGGACUCAAAAUUUAUAUGUGAUGUCUAAGCCGACUUACCAAACGUGCCUCAAUAAUAAUAAAAUUGGAUAACAUUGUAACAUAUUUGUGACAACAAAAUUUCCUAUUCAAGAUUGGACGCAAUUCUAAAUAUCCAGUCUUAGCCACAAACGAUUCUAGGCUAGAUCAAAUCCAUCGCAUGUCCAAUAAUUAACUACCUAACACACUUUUAUCAACUAGGUUCGGGACCGGGAGGCUAUAAAUAGGAGUUAAAAGUGAGAAGGAUAUUUGAGGAGGUCAAUCUCACCAUCAAUAAAUGUAAAACAACAUUAUUUUCUCAUUCAUGAUCAAUUUUUAAUGAAAAAAAGCUUAGGGAUUAAAUCUAAAAAUCAUGAUUUAAAGUACAAAAUUCAUUGGCAUUAGAUAAAAAGUUAAAAAAUUAGGGAUUCACCUGAUUUUAUAAGUUUCUUAUAAUCAUGCCUUCAAAUGUCAAAGUUUGCAUAAAACAUCCAACUUAGAGAGCUUUGGUCGAAUUGAAUCACAAAGUUUUGGUUCAUUUGAAUAUUAAAGGUUCAAAAGACGUUUUGGAUGAUUUGAAGAAUAAAAGUUCAAAAGACAGAUUCUGGAGAGAGAGAGAAACUAGAAGAAAGAAGAACGAACCAGAACAAAAAAAAUCUGAAACACGUUAAAAAGAGAGAGAGAGAGAGAGAGAGAGAGAGAGAGAGAGAACCAGAAAAAGGAAGAACAAACCCAGGAAAAAAAAAAAUCUGUAACACGUUUAGGGUUAGGAAAUUGAAAACAGGGGGCCGUUUUCUUCAGUCAAAAGGCCUCCUUUUUUUAUCCUUUCUUUAUCCUUUGUUUGGUGAUUGUCAAAAGGCCUCCUUUUUUAUUUAUCCUUUCUUUCGUCUGAUUGUCAAAAGGCAUAAAGAUUAAAAAUUGAAGUGUAGAUAAGUAAAGGGCUUUUUGGGUUUCUUUUAGAAAUUGGCUGGAAAAAAAAUUGGAGGCCCCAAAUAUUUGGGGCCACUGUGGCAUCGCCCAACCUGCACAGGUUAUUUGUCGCUAGUUAAGCCCAAGAACUCAUGACGAGAGAUUCUAUAAUGAGAGGCUAUGUUGAGGGGUUGAAUAACGCAACACUUGAUCGGACAAUUAUUAAUAACUUUGCACAUUGAACGACUAUUAAAAACCGUCUCAUUAUAACCCGUCACUAUAGAUGAGUCAUCAAAUAUAUGGAGACUUGGACCAAGAGGAAUUAGGCUUGAACACAAUCACCAUAUUAGGAUGGUCGAAUGGACCCACCCACUAGCAAGUUUGGACUGAAUGGGGCUAAAGUCCAAUAGAUCGGUGGUCCGUGGAUCAAUGGCCGUCAAUGACACAAAAGAUAUGGGUCAACUUGGGCUAAAAGUGUGGCGACUAAAUUUUGGGUGCGGAGAGGCAGAAUAUUUUUGGGUUCCAAUGCGAUUACUAGGAACAAGCCCAACAAAAGCCGAGGAGAUCAUUGUCAUUUCCAUUUGGCAAUCUCUCAAUCCACAAAACCCUAGCGUUAUAUGUAGCUCCCCUACAAAAACCACACAUUCACUCGCAAGCUGCCUCCUCCAUCCAAAACCCUAACCCCUCCAAACCCAGAGCGCCGCCGAAGAAGCCAUGCCUCCAAAGUUCGACCCAUCUCAGGUGGUCGAUGUCUACGUCCGCGUCACCGGAGGCGAGGUCGGCGCCGCCAGUUCCCUCGCUCCCAAGAUCGGUCCUCUGGGUCUCUCCCCAAAGAAGAUCGGAGAAGACAUUGCUAAAGAGACAGCCAAGGACUGGAAGGGUCUGAGAGUCACCGUCAAGCUCACCGUUCAGAAUCGUCAGGCGAAGGUCUCUGUGGUGCCUUCAGCUGCGGCUCUGGUCAUCAAAGCCCUGAAGGAGCCAGAGAGAGAUCGCAAGAAGACGAAGAACAUCAAGCACAGCGGUAACAUUUCAUUGGAUGAUGUAAUUGAGAUUGCUAAGAUCAUGAAGCACAGGUCCAUGGCCAAGGAGUUGGCUGGGACGGUGAAGGAGAUUUUGGGCACUUGCGUUUCUGUUGGGUGUACUGUGGAUGGUAAAGACCCCAAGGAUCUGCAGCAGGAGAUUGCUGAUGGAGAUGUUGAGAUUCCCUUGGACUGAGCCCUCUCUGUUUUGGGUUUCUUCACAUAUUUAGUCAGUUUUUUUCAAAUAGAAUGAUUUUCAUAUUUUUGGGUUUUGUUUUAUAAUUUCUCCCAGUUAUGGAUUGAUAAUGCAGCGAAUGUUUUUGAUCAAAAUGCGGAGAUGUAAUGCUUUUAGUGUUAAAUGUCUUUUUUUCCUCUGAUAAUUUCUGGACGUAAAAAGUUUAGUGCUUUAAUGUUGAAAUGCAUUGCUUUUAUGCAACAGAGGAGUUGUGUGGAGGUGGUUGAUGUUCAUUGGUAUGUUGUGGGUUGCUGAUUUGGAAAUGUGGUAUAAUUGUGCUUAAAAAUGGGUGCUUUGAGGUGAAAAUUGAAUGAAUUGUGCACAGGUUUUAAGCUUUGUAUGACUAUAAAGCAUCACUCACUGGUUGAAAGUUGUUCUAUCUGUGCCUCUUGAGUAGAUUAAGGAAUUCCUAUGUUUUCAAUGUAAGCCAUUUUCGAAAACAUACUUGAGGGUUGAAUUAUGAUCAAAUCCGGGUCCGGUUUGUGGAACAAUUGUUUAGGCCAUGGUGUUAUUAGGUGGUUCCACAAAUCAAUAGUACCGUUUAGGUUUGGAGCUUUGAGGUUUCUUGAAAGACCUAAACACCAUUGUGAGCAAACAUGUUUUAGUUUCAUGGCGAGGAAAGGGCUGAAGGGCAUAUGAAGAUCAGAUGUGAGGUAAUAAGGGGGAUCCUAUAAAGCAGGACACACUAGGUAGUUUCUGUUAUCGUAGCAUGAUUUGAAAUUGAUACUAUUUUAAGUCUCACAGAUUUUAGUUUUUAGAUCAUGUUUUCGAAUCGGGGCUUGAAGCUCCGAAUUUAUCCAGUGUCAGUCAUAGUGCAGUUUGUGAAAUGAAUCCUAUGAUUGUUGAAUUAACCUUUCAAACGUUUCUGGAAGGAUAGCUCUUCCAUUUGCUGAUUUGCAUUAGCCCUAUUGUUUAGGUCUAUAUCCACAGGUAUAUUAAGGAAAUUGUAACUCGGUAACAUGCUUCAUGAAAAUACUGUUUGAUUCUAGCCCAAAUAAUUGAGAUGUUUAUAUCAGCCACCCAUUUGAUAAUUUGGUUCGAAGAAAAUGUUAACCGCCAUAGGGCCGGAUGUCCAGAGGGCUCCUUGUCCUUCCGCUUACAGUUAGAUUAGAUGAGUAGUUUUUGGGACCGAAUAAUCACUUGCGCUACAAGUCUCUUCGGCAGUAGUUUUAGUUAUCAAGGAAAAGGCAGAUGUAAGUUACGUUAAUGAGAAGUUUCCUGUGUAACGCAUGGAGAUCAUGGUUUGGUGGCACAGAAAUGGGAAGGGAUAGAAAAUGUGGUGGAUUCAAUUAUACAAUUAUGGUGGAGGGUGUUUUGCUAGGUUCUCCUUCUCAUUACAUUACUUGCACGUUUCUUUAAUUCUUCGGUUUAAAAGAAACUCGGUAAAUGUUGGGUUUGGUCAAUGCCAAAAGUAGGCUUAACCUCAUGUUUUUUAGGUUCUCGCUACGACUGCGGAUUACCAUCAAUCAAAAUGGGACCCUUCACUGAUAAUCACGGCAGAUUUCCUGCUAUAUAAGGGCCUGCUCAUUCAUACCCUUCCCAAGUUCUUUUGCUCUUCUUGUAUAGACAAAAUCUCUUCUUUGAUAGAUCUCAAGGAAAUUAAUUCUCUCUUCUUUCUUGACAUAAGGGGGAAGAGAGGCCAUCUUUUUGCUAGUCAUUUGUAAUUAGAAUCCAUUGAACAGAAGCCCCCCUUUUCUUCUCCAAGUCCAAGCAUAAAUGGCUAAGGAGAUGAAGAAUUUGACUGGAUGGAUGGAGGUUCUUCCAGCCCCCAUCAUUUACCCACAAAAGCCUUCGAAUUCCCCUGGUUUGGAGACAAUUUUCGAAGAGAGCAUCGAAGAAUCUGACGACGAUUCAUAACUUUUUAAGCUCAUCUUGAUUCUUUGGUUAUGGAUCCUUGAUGAUCACAUAUUUGAAAAUGCUUUGCUUUGGAUGUGUCUCGCUACGCCUCGGCAUUGGUUCGGUGGAAUGCUUUGAUCAGAGCUAUGAUCUAGCCAUCUGAAAGAUCAGAAAUGGAUCAGGGAAGCAACUGCAAUAGUUUAGAUAAUGAAUGGCUUCAAUUCUAUCCUCCUGACCAAUGCAGUGGGAGUUCUUCCUCUCUGAACAUUGUCUAAUGAACCCUGUAUUGUAAAUAUGCAAUUACUUUCCGUCUUGUUGUACGUAAAUAUAGUUUCCUAAUAAAAAGUACCAAAAUAAUUAUACGUGUCAGACUAUUGGGAAGUAUGUGUAUUGCUUACGAAACUGUAGCUUGCAGUUACAGCUCUUAGGAGGAUAGUGAUGAUUUGCAAGCUAGCAACAAGACAAUUGAGUGCUAAUUAAAUUAGAUUUGGUAAAUAUAAGGAAUAUCAGAAAUAUUGUACUAAUCUAUUUAUUUCAUCAAAAUUAUUUAAUUAAAUAACUUUUGAUUUAACUGAAUUUUUUCCAAGAGCAUAGCUCCGUAGUGUAGUAUAGUUAGUAAAAUACAAGACGAGUAUAAUACGUACGUAUAUUAUUCGGUAAUUCUUAAGAACAUACGGUGAAAAGUUCAAUCAUUAUAUAAAAUUUAAACUUAUUUAUUCAAAUAGUUUUCUUUUUCAACAAUAUAUGAAAAAUACAGAUAAAAUAUGCGAAUAAUAUGUGUAUUAUUGCAAAAUAUCGGUAAAUAAUACAUAUGUGCGUGAAUAAUACUUUUGCAUUAAAAAACAUUUAUUAUAUGUACAUAAAAUGUUAAUAUUUUUAAAAAUGUAUAUAUAUAUAUAUUUAUAUAUGUGUGUACGUGAAUAAUACACGAAUUACUGUAACCUAGAAAUGGUUUUGGACUCUUUUUUUGAAGGGUAGGUGUGGAUUAAUUGGCUUUAAAGGUGUCGGUGAGGAGGAUGUUGAAAAUUUACGUUUUUGUGAAAACUAGAAGAGCCAAAAAUGAUUGGGAUUUUAGGUACUUUCUUGUAGUGUAUUGCAGAAUUUAAGCAAUUUGGUGGGCAGUCACCAUAGAUUGGAUGGGAUGGGAGCCUUGGACAUUAAUAAGAUUCAACGUAGAUCGAACACUUGGCGUUGCUAGAAAAAUUUGCCAUCAUAGCUAUCAAACGUGUCACAAUUAUUUAUUUAUUCUCAUUUUCCAUGUUCCUCACAUGCCUUGUAACUUUUUUGUGCAGCUGCUGGUGUAGUUUCCUUCACUCAUUUUUCUCACCAAUAUCAUAUGAUUCUUGAACUCCCUAUAAAAGGCCACCUUCUUCUACUUUCCCUUCAACCCAAAUCAUUCUCACAGACUGAAACUGUUUCUAGAAACAAAACCCAAAUCAAGAAUCUGCAACAGAAGCCCUUUUUGUUUGUUUUGAGAGCAACUUCUUGUUCAUUUUCAAGCUUGGAAGCAGCUGAUCAGAGCAGGAAAGAAGAAAGAAGGGUUUUUGUUUUGUUUGAUUUCAAUGGCAAAGGAGAUGGGAUUGUUGGGUUCUUGGGUUGAGGUUGCUCCUGCCCUUCUGAUAUCUCCCAACAAGACUUCAACUUGUCCUGAAUUGGAGACAAUAGCUGAAGAGUGGGAGCUGGAGGCAGAGGAGUAUGAUCAAGAGGCAAAACAGAUUGAAAUUUUACUGAAUUCUUCUGUGCUGAUUAUGUAGUUUUAUUUAUUUAUUUUUGGGGUUUUUUUGUGUGUGAAUUUGUAUCGAAACAAAUGAACAGAAUUUUGUAGUUCAAUGACUUCAAUCUUGUUUGCUACCUUUGGAACUUGGGAGGAGUUAAACUAAAUAAUUUAUUUCUCUUGUUGAUGCAAUUUUAUGGCUAGAUCUUUGGAAGGAUAUCAAGAAGUUGCUUUCUGCAAUUCUGCUAAAAUAAGAGACGCGUAAAAGAUGGCAGAAGGUACACGUCAAAAGUUUAAUAUUCUUCAAGGCACUCAACCUCCAUAAAAUCAUUUGCAGUUUGGUGAAUAAUAUUAGAGAUAUAACUACGUAUCAUAUCAUUUUUGAAGUCACAAUUUAUAGAAAAUAAUCCAAUACAUUUGUCACCUUUCAAUCUGAAAAACCAAAAUAAAAAAUAAAAAAACUUGUUUUGAAUCGAAACUCAACCAAUUCAACAAAUUCCAGUUCAUAUAUUUUUUUGGUAUCGAUAUUACACCUAUACUUAAUGACAUCACUUCUUGCAUCUAUCUCCUAUAAAUUAAUCGAGUGGGCCGAGUGCACUUGGUAACAGAGACAUCCUUCUUUAGUGUGCGUGCGUGGCGUGCUAUACCACGGUUGCAAGUGGAUGUGGGUAUGAAUGAGCACAUAAAUGGGGCUCUGCGCUAUGGUCUUGACUUCUUUUCGAGUCACUGUAAUUGAGAUAGGAAUAGAUUCUCGGUCCUAAGGUUCUAGGCCUCGACCACAAGGCCUUUAGAAUGAGAUGAUGGAUGGAUAGUGUCAUUGAGCUCGGUAGCUUGGUGGUGGCACUAGACUCGGUAGUUCAAUGGGUUCAUAUAUCUUAAGAAAUAUGAAUAUAUCAAAAAAUCUGGAUGGGUUGAGUGGUGCUUAAAAAAUCACUAUGUAAACGGCAAAUAAAGAGACUCUUGUUCACAUAUAAAAUUGACGAUUGAAAUGGGGAAUGCCCAAUAACUCACAACUGUUACUGAGUUUUUGUUAACAAUAUUUACACUAAUUUCUAAGGAAAAGUAUUAAAAACCAUGAACUACAUGAUAAAAGGUUAAAAGGUGUAUUUGAGCAGCUAUUGGGCUUGAUUUGUUUGAUUGGUGCCGGACCUUUCUUUCGUUGAUUUUGCAUCGUUUCAGCCGAGGUAAAAAAUCUUGACAGUGCUCUGACACCCGUCCAAUCACCUUUCAUAGAUUUUAUCCCACGUUAUUGCUUGCGAUUGGCCAAUCUCGACGGUGGAAAAGGUGACCAUUAGCUCAACCUCUAAAUCUUGUACUCUCAGUGAGGCAAUUAUUUCCUUGACCAUAAGAGCAACUCCACCCAUUUGCCCUUAGCCAUGGCAAGGGUGGAGCUAGGGCAAGCACUAUUCACGUGAAUAGUGGCUGCCCUUGCAAAUAGUAAAUUGUGUCUCCACCCGUUGCCCUUAGCCAUGGCAAUUACUAUUCAUUUUUUUGUUUUUUCCUCCUAUUUUUUAAUGAAAAUAAUUAAUUUGGGUAAUAUUUUCAGAUAAUAUUUUUGGGUUCGUACAUAUCAAUAUUUAUUAUAAAAUUCAUAUCUCAAUCGGAAAUUUUUUUGGUAUUUAUAGAAAAAAAAGAGUAUUUUUUUGGUAUUUUUUUUUAAAAAAAUUCAAUUUGUUUUCAUUUUUUUAUUGCACAAAAAUUGGCUGCCGUUGGAUUGGAGAAAAAAAUCUGAUCGGAGAGCUCAGAGUGCGACACGUGGACUUUUAGUGGUACUGUAGCGCGCAGACACUGUAGCAUCACUGUAGCACUGCGGUACUGUAGCGGCACUGUAGCUAUACUGUAGCGAUACUGUAGCACCAAAACGAGGGUUGGAGCUCGGGCCAACCUUGCCCUCGGGCCAGCCCAGGUUGCUGGGUCCCACCUUGCCCUCGGGCCUGGGCUGUCCGCUGGAACACCUUUUUUUUUUUUUUCCUCCCUAGCCUCGGGCUGGGCUGUGCCGCUGGAGAAGCUCUAAGAACAACUCCCCUUAUUUGUCUUUUGUCGGGGUUAAGGCAACUACUAUUCACGUAAAUAGUAGUUAUUCUUGCAAAAAGUAAUUUUUGUUUUCACCCGUUGUUAUGGCAAAGGACAAUUAUUAUUAUUAUUUUAUUUUUUUCACAAAUUUUUUUAUUUUAAUAAUUAAUUUGAAUAAUAUUUUCAGAUAAAAUUUUCGAAUUCCUACAUAACCAACAUCCUUAAUGGUGAAGCCUAAACUCAACACGGUAAUUUAAAUUUUAUGUACCCCAAAAUUUAGAAACUUGAAGGUUCAAUCCCUAAGAGCAACUCCACCCAUUUGCCCUUAGCCAUGGCAAGGGUGGAGCUAGGGCAAGCACUAUUCACGUGAAUAGUGGUUGCCCUUGCAAAUAGUAAAUCGUUUCUCCACCCGUUGCCCUUAGCCAUGGCAAUUACUAUUCACUUUUUUGUUUUUUCCUCCUAUUUUUUAAUGAAAAUAAUUAAUUUGGGUAAUAUUUUCAGAUAAGAUUUUCGGAUUCCUACGUGUCAAGACUAUUCAUAAUCAGAUAAAAUUUUCGGAUAAGAUAUUUGGAUUCAAAUUUCGGAUUAAUUUCAAAGUUCAAAUUUCAGAUAAAUUUUUGGGUUCAAAUUUUGAAUGAAUUUCAAAAUUCAAAUUUCAGAUAAAUUUGGGUUCAAAUUUCAGAUAAAUUUGGGUUCAAAUUUCGGAUGAAUUUCAAAUUUUGAAUUUCAUACAAAUUAGGGUUCAAAUUUCGGAUGAAUUUCAAAUUUCAGAUAUGAUUUUCAUCCAAUAAAAUCAAGCCACAUGGCAUGUCUAUCUUGCCAAAUUUUUCUAUAAAACCAGAGUCUCAGCUCAUACCUCUCACACCACAUCUUUCUAUAUUUUCAUUUCUGAGAGUUUAUAAUUCAUACUUCAUUCAUUCUGAAUGGAAGAAUUUAGGAGAUGCUUGGAGAGACAAGAGAGAGAAAGAAGAGAGAGAAACCGUAGAGCAGAUGAAGUCAAUGAGUUGCAGAGACAAGUCGAUGAGCAAGUUCUCAUAACAGUGGCUUUGGAAGAAGAAGAGAACCAAGGUCGCCGCCAUAGUUCACAAGCCGGCCGCCGCCGGAAUGUGGAAAGACAUAGGCAUUCUAGGGGUAAGAAUCUUUUGGAAGAUUAUUUUAUCCCAACUUCUUUGUACUCUGAUGUUGAUUUUCGAAGGCGAUUUAGAAUGCAACCUCAUUUGUUCAAUAAAGUCAUGCAUGAUAUUUGCAAUUAUGAUGCAUACUUUGUUCAAAAGUGUGAUGCUGCUGGGGUUUUGGGGCUUCUUCCGGAGCAAAAGCUUACAGCUGUUAUACGAAUGUUGGCGUAUGGAGCAUCUGCUGAUCAGGUGGAUGAGAUUGCCCGGAUGGGGAAGUCCACUACGUUGGAGGCUUUGGUAAGAUUUUGUCAAGCUGUUGAAACUCUGUACACUAGGGACUACCUGCGUAGACCUACUCCCAGGGACCUCCAAAGGCUUCUGCAAAAAGCCGAAGCUCGAGGAUUCCCUGGAAUGAUUGGUAGCAUCGACUGCAUGCAUUGGCAAUGGAAGAAUUGCCCAACUGCCUGGCAAGGUGAUUAUGGAAAUCGAAAAGGCCAAAAAAGUAUCAUCCUUGAAGCGGUUGCUGGUUUCGACACAUGGGUUUGGCAUGCCUUCUUCGGAGUUGCAGGAUCACAAAAUGACCUCAACGUGCUGGGUCAAUCCCCCGUCUUCAACGAUGUAUUGAGAGGUCAGGGCCCCAAUGUCACCUAUGAAGUCAACAAUACAGUAUACCAGACAGGAUACUACCUAGCUGAUGGAAUCUACCCGAGGUGGACGACUUUUGUCAAAACCAUUCCAAAUCCCCGAUCCCAGAAGCAAAAAUUAUUUGCUACAUAUCAAGAGGGAUACAGGAAAGAUGUCGAAAGGUGUUUUGGCAUCCUUCAAGCCAGGUGGUUGAUUAUUCGAGGUGCGGCCCGCAUGUUUGAUGAGGAGAUCCUCAGAAGCAUUAUGAUGACUUGCAUCAUCCUCCAUAAUAUGAUUGUGGAGGAUGAGUACGAUUAUGAUGCUUUAGAGGUCUACGAACCGGAUCCAAUGAACACGGCUUUGACACGGAUUUAUGAAAGGCCCAUGGGGCCAAAUGGAGAACCGUUUGAGCCGGAACCGUUGGUGAGGGAUGGUCAUUUGAUGACCCGAAUGAUAGAUCGAUAUACGGAGAUGCAAUCUUCGUAUAUUCAUGAAAUGCGUCAAUUUCACUUGAUGGAGCAUCUAUGGGCGGUGAAAGGCAAUGAAGAUUAAUAAUGGAGAAUAGAUGCUUUGCUUAUGUUUUAUUUAGUAUGGUUUGGUUGUGUUUUUAUUUUUAUUGUGCCUUGUUUGUACUUUUAUUUUUAUUAUUGUGCCUUGUUUGUACUUUUAAUUUUAAUUUUAUUAUGUUUUGUUUGAAGUAUGGAAUAUGUUGAAUAAAAAGGUAAUUUAUUGAAUGCUUUGUUUAUUAAAUAAUGAAAUGUAAUACAAGUCAUUAUGAAUUACUAAUAAAAUAAAAUACAUGAAUUAUAACAACUUUAAUAGAAAACAACUAAAAUACAAAUACAUAAAAGAUAUGCUAACUAAUUUAAUGGUUUCCAUCAUUUAACCAAUCCGUGUUGCUAGGCCCAUCAUCCCGGAAAAGUCUUCUUCUCAUAACAUCCCUUCGUUCUAGCUUCCAAAAUUGUUUUGUUUCAGGGGACAUAUGACUUGUAUUCAUCGCCAUGGUUUCCCGAUCUGUCUUGUCCAUAUCUUUUUUGCGCAAAUACUCCCUUUCACGUGCAAACUCAGCAUCAAGGGCCAACUCGUGCUCUUGGCGUUUUUGCUCCAUUUCUAUUCUUAUGCCGUUUUGCCUUGCAAUUUCCUCCAAAAAUUGUGAAUUUUGAUUGCUUGAAUUACCCUUCUUCUUUGCCUUCGCGGCCUUUCGGCCAAUGGGCCUCGGCUCCUUUUCGAUGGGUGAGUCUUGACUCAUAGGAGAAUCAAGAGGUGAAUCCGAUGUCAUUGAAUCACGGAGUGGCGUCUCGUUUAACACAACCUCCGGACCCGUUGGAAUAAUUACGAAGCGUUUGCAAAAUUUCACCACCUCCCAACAUUCAUGAUGGGUGAAACUUUUUUUGCCACCCCCGGUUGCACCGAACCACAUUUGUGCUUGAAUCAUCUAUUGAACAAAAAAAUGGAAAUGCAAUAAAUAUUUAAAAUAUAUUGGAUAUGCAAGAAAUAUUAACAACAUAUUAAAAAUACAAGCAAUAUUAACAAAAUAUUGAAAAUGCAAGAAAUAUUAACAACAUAUUGAAAAUGCAAGAAAUAUUAACAAAAUAUUGAAAAUGCAAGCAAUAUUAACAAAAUAUAUACAACAUAUUGAAAAUGCAAGCAAUAUUAACAAAAUAUUGAAAAUGCAAGCAAUAUUAACAAAAUAUAUACAACAUAUUGAAAAUGUAAGCAAUAUUAACAAAAUAUAUAUAUAUUAGGAGAUUAAACUUAAUAACACAAAAAUUAUAAAAUACUUACCUCGUUAGUACGAUUUUGCCCACUUCUAUAGUUGUCCAUCGCUUUUGCUAGGGCAUUUCUCCAUUUUCCCAACUCUUUAUUGAGAAUUUUCCACCUACUGGAUAAUGCCAUCUCCGUACGAGUAGACCCCGGAAUUUUUUCACAAAAUUCGGCAUGAAUUUUUUUCCACAUAUGAAAAAAUUUCAUUUCAUUGCCGGACACGGGACAAUGACAAAUUUGGAGCCAAGCCUCACACAAAGAAACAUCUUCCAUUGUGCUCCAAGCCCCUCCGGUUUCGAUAGAAGAAGCCAUAAAAAUAUGAAAUCAAAAUGCUAGAUGAAAAAGAGGAAAAUGUUGUGUAAAAAGAGUGAAUAUUAGUAGAAGUAUAAUGAAAUGUAAGAGUAUUGGUGUUGAAAGUGAAGGGUAUUGAUAGGUAUUUAUAGAAAAAAAUACCAUAAUUUUUUAGAAUUUUUUUGAAUUUUUUUCACCCAAAAAAGCCUCAGCCGUUGGAUUAGAAAGGAGAAGCAGAUCGGAAGGCACUGAGCGCGACACGUGGCAGCCUACCGUUGGCGCUGGCGUCAGCGCUGACGUCAGCGCGCGCUGAUUCAAAAUUUUUUUACCGUUGGCGCGUGCAUUGCACGCGCCAACGGUAAAAAUUUUUUGACAGCCCUAGCUGACGUCAGCGUGACGCCAGCGCUGACGUCAGCACCCGCGUUUUGGACCUGGGGCUGGUUUGGCCUUCGGGCUGGCCCGAGUUUGUGGGUCCCACACCAAACCCGGGCCUGGGCUGCACGCUGGAGCGAAAUUUAUUUUUUUUUCUGCCCUUGCCUCGGGCUGGGCUCCUUCGCUGGAGCCACUCUAAUGCCUAAAGUUUGUUUGCUUUUCUUUUCCGUUAAACUAUGGUCUAUGGUCUUCGCGAAGCUUCUUGCUACCGUCCACCAGGCACAGAACAGACGUCACCACCAGGGCAACAAGACAAAGGUUCAGGACAAUGCCCUUCCUGUUGUUGCACGCGGCCUAAUAAGAGCCAUACAAUUUUGCUGAUAGUUUUGGGUAGGCAUUUUAAUGUCUCUAAUUUGUCUUUCGGUUAUUUAUUUGUAUUGGGGUAAUGUUGAUUAUAACAAAAUUAAAAUUCCACUAAACCGGUUCAUCCGAAACAAUGACUGCUAAUGGGCCGGUGCAGCGAAACGUGGCAGGACGUGAGUGGUUGAGAGCAUCAAAGGUGAGGUGGGUCUUUUGAAUUGGAAACUUUGGAUGGGGCGGUGGUGAAUGGUCGGUUGGCUCACUCACGGGUCCCGCUAAGUCCAUUUUCUCACCAUACUCACAAUAAUCAUGUGAUUUUGACCUCUCCUCCUCCAUUGCGGCGGCUGCAAAGAUCAUGAGACACGUGUCACUCCAUUAACGGUUCAAAGUCUGAGGAGAUUGCUGAUUAAUCAGCUAAUUAUCCACAUCAUCAUCUAGCUUAAUUAGUAUAAUCAGUAUAUGGGUGCCAUAAUUUUGUUUGAUUAUCGAGUUUAUAGUAAACCUUGAAUAUGUGUAAUUACAUGUAAUUCAUAUGUAUUUGAAAUUUUUUUUUUGAGUGUAUUUAUGUACUCGCAAAAGUUUAAACUUAGGACUUUUACUAACAAACGUAUAUACUUUUAGAAGACUUGCUCUUUUAUCGAGUGUAAGGUCUUAAGAUAACUUGCAUAUUUGUGUUAAAAGUUAAAAAUUAGAACGUUUGAGUAUGUAUAUUGUCUCAUAUUCGGUCUAUACCAUCGAGGGUGAGCGAUUUGUCAUAGUUUUACACAACCUUACAUGAAUACGCGAGUAUAAAAACAUGCUAUUAACAAUUUGGUCUAGUCAUUGGUAGGGCUCUAAUCUCCUAAACAGUAGUUUAGCUUAUCCUUUAGAAGUUUAUCGAUCAUUAUAGAGCUUACUGGAAUUGUCUUUUUUUUUUUUUGGGUCUGAAAUAGUGGAAUUGUCUUUAGAGAACUCGAAUUAAACAGAAGAAAAUGUAGGGUCACCUAAAGGAAGAGAAAAGAAAAGAAAACUUGUGAGCUUGAAGCUUUGGACGGCCAACCUAAAGUUUAAUAAUACCACUUCCACUCUCAUUCAACGCUCCAUAUAAACCCCAAACCCCUCCACUUUCCCCCAUCACAAACACCAAACAAUCUCUUCCAAACACACUUAAUUUUCAUCUCUCUCUCUCUCUCUCUCUCUCUCUCUCUCUCUACCUAAGCUAAGAGCUAGCUAGCUACCCAAUUAGCCAUGGCCAAAGACAUUGAAGUUGGUGGAGGGCAACAUAGAUUCUCAGGAAAAGACUACCAGGACCCUCCUCCAGCACCAUUGAUUGAUGCAGAGGAGCUUGGACAGUGGUCUUUUUACAGAGCCAUCAUAGCUGAGUUCAUAGCUACCCUCUUGUUCUUGUACAUCACUGUGCUCACAGUGAUUGGAUACAAGAGCCAAUCUGAGGGAGACCAAUGUGGUGGUGUUGGCAUUCUUGGCAUUGCUUGGGCCUUUGGUGGCAUGAUCUUUGUCCUUGUUUACUGCACUGCUGGCAUCUCCGGUGAGUUUUCAUAUUUGAGAUACUGACAUAGGUUUCCAAUUCACUUGUAUAUUUCUUAACACUAUAAGCCAUGUGUUAUAAUUUGAGUAGAUUAGGAACACGAAAUCGAUCAAACGGAAAAAUUUCUCCAAUUUACAAUUUAGCAUAUGGUUUACUAAUGUGAGCAUUUAUGUAUGCAGGAGGGCACAUAAACCCUGCUGUUACAUUUGGGCUGUUUUUGGCUAGGAAGGUGUCACUGGUCAGAGCCAUAUUGUACAUGGUGGCUCAGUCCUUGGGAGCCAUAUGUGGUGUUGGGCUUGUGAAAGCUUUCCAAAAUGCGUACUUUACCAAGUAUGGUGGAGGGGCCAAUGGGCUUGCUGAUGGGUACAGCCAAGGCACAGGUUUGGCUGCUGAGAUUAUUGGCACCUUUGUUCUUGUCUACACUGUCUUCUCUGCCACUGACCCCAAGAGAAAUGCAAGGGAUUCACAUGUCCCAGUAAGUACCAUAAAUACUUUUAAGAAAAUCUAAAUCCAAUUUUAGUUGAAGAAAAUUGAAUUUUAAUUUCUUAAUCUCUGUUUAUGUUUGGUUAAUUAAAGGUUUUGGCACCACUGCCAAUUGGGUUUGCUGUGUUUAUUGUGCACCUUGCCACAAUCCCAAUCACUGGCACUGGCAUAAACCCAGCAAGAAGCCUUGGAGCUGCAGUGAUCUACAACAAUGACAAGGCUUGGGAUGACCAAGUAUGCACCUUUGACCUUUUUACCAUUUUAAUUUCACAUAUAAAGAAACUUGCUUGACCAGGAAACUAACUUACAAAUUUUUGAUUUUGUGAUUUUUUGUUUAAUCUAGUGGAUCUUCUGGGUUGGGCCAUUCAUUGGUGCUGCCAUUGCUGCCUUCUAUCACCAAUACAUACUGAGAGCAGGAGCUGUUAAAGCUCUUGGCUCUUUCAGGAGCUCCUCCAACAUAUAAUUUUUCAGAGGAUUGGUUGUGUUUUCUGAAUGGAAGCUUGGAAUUUGUAAAUCUGUGUGUACAAGGCACUCAUUUUAAAUGUGCCUCAAUGUUGCUUUCUGCUCUGUUUUUACAAAAUCUCAGUUUGGUUAUUGUGUCAUCAAGAAGUUUUAAUUAUGAGCAAUUACUUUGUUGUGAAUUGUGAUGGAAAACUUUAGUACUUGUUCCAUAAGUAAGAAACGAAAUUAUGAAACCCUCACUCGAGCGCUAAAUCUUAAACCCUAAACUAUAAACCUUUUGUUAACCGUAAAGCGUAUUAUUUCGGUCUCAUAGUACCUUGCAUCUGAUUUGCCAGAUGGAAAAUUAGAGGUAAUGCAACAGCAAGCGGAAUCAACAUAUGUGGCAAACAGUUGUUUGUUGAGGUUCUAAGAGACGGUUAGAAAUGAUGAGGGGGAUUUAUCAUUUAUGCUUCUUGUACUAUUUACUUGUGUUGUAUUGUACUGCUUUCAUUUUUUGUCACGAUUAAAAGGUUCAUAUAAAUUCAUACACAUCAUUUCAACUUCUUUUUCCUGGAAAUUUCUCUUAAUGGGUUAAUGCCAUGACUGAUACUUAUGGUUAAUGCCAUGCCUUAAUUAGCCUUCACAUUGCAUUAAUUAUCCAAAUUAAGAAUUAAAAACUGGAAAAGGAAUAUUUUCUUUUUCGUUUUCUUUCAAUUUAUUCAGAUUGAAGAGAAAAUUGAACCCAUGAUUUGCCACCAAUUAAUGCAAUUAACUUAUCAUAAUUGCAACCUGAAUCUCUUCUUUGAUCACCUCUAUAUAUAAACAAAGAGCCCUCCUCCAGAAUCCACACCAUUCAGCAGCAGAAUUUCACAUUCUGAAUCUUACAAAACAAAAAAUCCUUAACCAUGGCAUCAGCUGAGCUCUCCAAGCUAUGCAUCUGCAUUGUCACAUUGCUCUCUUUGGCAAUGCAUGCUAUGUCUGCACAAACGCAAUCCCAACCCACAAUCACAAACGACGUCAAGCCUACAGAUGAGCAGCUCAUUUCCCUACCUGCUUCAUCUCCAUCUCCAUCUCCUUACCCCGAAAACCUGGCUCCCGAAAGCGGAGGCUAUGUGGUCUCUUUACCAGAACCAGAUUCGUACAAUCCUCCACCACCACCACCACAAGAACCUUACAUUGAAGCCUUGUCCCCUGAAACUCAAGAUGACCAGCUUCUCCCUCCAGACUACUCUCCCUCCCCUGCACCUUCCCUCCAAGAAUACUUGGGUGCUUCCGAUCAAAUCACAGACUACCCUUCUCCUCCUCCUCCUCCUCCUCCAUACACUGAAGUUGAAGCUCCUGAAGGUUACUCUGAGACUUACAGUCCAGUUCAAUCUCAAGCACCUGCACAAUCUUCAAAGCCGGGCUCUAAUGAGUUGCCCUUCAACUACAAAGCUGACUACGAGAGUGAGUUUGAUGCACAAGAUUUUAAUGAUUCAGAUGAGAGUAAGAACAGAGGAACAAUGGUGGGUUUUGUUCUUGGGGCUGUUUGCUUGGUUGGCUUGGCAGGUCUUGUGUACAAGAAGAAGGAUAAGAAGUACACUAAGGCAAAAGCAGAGUAUGAGUAUGAAUUGACUAAGAGAGAGGAUGCUUGAGCUUCUGGCUAGCUUGGUGCUACAUGCAACUUCCAUAGAGGCUUCAAUUAUAUAGUCUAUAGUUGAUCAUCAAGUUUUGUGAUUGAACACCUCCUCAACUACUUGUAUUUGCAUGUAUUAUUAUCAAUUCUUACAUAAUUUAAUUUUUAAUCUAAAUCAAAGGUUUUUUUUAUAUAUAUAUAUUAAGAAUAGUCCAUAUACUGUUCCAAACACUUCAUACCGAUUAUUAUUUUUCAAAUUCCAUCACUAUUAUUCUCAUAUUCUAUUCCACACAUUAAUAUCAUUCCAGAAGUCAAAUUGUGCCUAAUUUUUUCGUCAAAGUUAAGAGUAAUACCGUCAAAUUAGACAAUUUUAUAAUUUUUAGUUAGCAAGAACAGAUCUUACUUACCACAAAUUAAUUUUUAGUCACAAUAGGUUUGGUUCUGUUCUUUAGAUAAAAAAAAUUUAAAUUUGUGCGUGACGCCAAAAAUUGGAACUUUUUAAUUCGCAUGAGCUUGGACAUGGAGAUUAGAUGAUGAACACGUGUAUAAUGUAGAUAAGUUCAGAAGCUCAAUUCUAUUGGGAAUUGGGGGUAAAAAGACCUAAAAACCGAGAAGGGUAUGUCCAAACGACACCGUUUACCGACCUGAGUCCUGGCCCGGUCUGGUACGGUCAUCUCCGUUUAUACAUACACGAAAAAUCUCUCGCAUCUGUGCCCCCGCUUUUUUCUGAAUCUUUCACUUCAACUUCUUAAACCGGCUCAAACUCUCUCUCUCUAUCUCUCUCUCUCUCUACUCUCCAAAGGUACUGACUUUACGUUGCUCUGUCUGUGCUUUCGUUUUGUGUGAAUUAUUUUGACCCAAUUGUCUUCAAUUUGUUUGUAAUUAUUAUGAUUAUGCACUAAAAUCUCUUGAAUUACUUUGUGGAAUCUGAGAAACUCCGAUCUGUUUGUGGUUACUUGAAACAAAUCACCCAAUUCACGUUACUGGUCUGAGUGCUUAAAUCGGUUGCAAGAUUCUUUUGUUCAUUGAUUUUUCAGUUUAGGUUGGAUCUCUGUAUCCAAAUAGGAGAUCUAUUUAGUUUUAUGCAUGAAUUGGGUAAAUCAGAUGCUAAAAAAGAUAAGAUUUUUCUGAGUACAAUUGUUUCAAUGCAAGCACCUGUUUUGGUGUGAAUUUAUGUUGUUGUUUCAGAAGAUUUUUGCUUAUUGCGUUUGGUUUAGUGUUAUAAUCAACUGUUGUAUGUUCCAGAAAGUAUGGCAUCCAACAGGGGUCAAGGUGGAAUUCAGCAACUGUUGGCUGCAGAACAAGAAGCUCAACACAUUGUCAAUGCUGCCAGAAGUGGUAUGUUUUUCCUCUUAGAUUUACUUUUUCUAUUGUCUGUUUGUUUCCGCAUUUUAUUCGCAAACUUGAUGCAUGAAUUUCUGGGUUUGCAUUUUGCAAACAGAAGGGACUUUCUAUUUGUUGCAUUGUUUAUGAGUUGGCCUCUUGCGAAGUUGUGUGGAAGGAUGAAUUCUUGAUUUUAAUCGGAGAAGUUUUAUGCUUCCAACUUCCCUGUUGGAAGAUAUUUCUUGUUGUCCAUGAUGUGGUGUAUCACGCAUGGCGUUGUCAAAAUAUGAAUCAAAAGCGUUAUUUGGGGGAAAUCAUGUAUGAAUUUGCAGUCCUAAUACGUUUUUUAAGGGUUAUUAGAUCGUACGCCAAAAAUUAGCAGUUUGAGUUGCUUCCUAAUUUCUUUGGUGGUUGGUUUUCUGUUUUCUGUUGCUAGCAAAAAUGGCUAGAUUGAAACAAGCUAAAGAUGAGGCUGCAAAGGAGAUUGCUGAAUACCGUGCCCAAAUGGAGCUUGAGUUCCAGAAGAAAGUUGCAGCGGUAUGUGUAUUUUGGUGAAAGCUAUGCAUUGAAUGUUCAUUAGGUCUGGCAUUCUAAGUUUUCCAAUGGCUUGGCCAUGUCAUUUUCAUAUGUGCCUUGAAAUUUCUAGAAAUUGAACAUACCAAUUAUAAAUAUCUCCCCCAUAGUCUUUUUAAUACCUUAAGCUGUCCCUAGACUUUUGUUGUGGAUACAUCUGUGCUAAUUCUGCCCUUCUGCUCCUGUGUUUUCACACGGCCACCAAGCAGAGCAGUGGAGAUUCAGGGGCUAAUGUGAAGCGUCUGGAACUUGAAACCGAGCAGAAGAUCAAGCACCUCUCGGCAGAGGCCGCAAGGAUUUCUAGUGAUGUUGUGCAAAUGCUUCUGAAGCAGGUGACGACGGUGAAGAAUUAAUCCCAUUGAUCGCACAAGUGUAAUUCCAGACUCUUGCAAGUAUUGUAUUCUUUUUGCCUGAUUCAUCCUGGUCUUUAGACUUGUGGCGUUGUGGUUGUUGCUAUCCGGGGAUUGGUUAUUUUAGAAUGUGGUGGAUCACUUUGUUCAGCAAAUAAGCUUAUAAUAUUGUAUCAUGUUCAGAAAACAAUAAUGUUGCAGAAAUUGUUGGGCCUGUAGGAGUGAAAUCCAAUGUUUACAAUUGUUUAUGGAAUUCUAUGUUAUUAUUUAGAUUAGUGACUUCUAGAUGCAUGUAGCACCGGUUUGAACUUGUUUGGGAUUUUAUUUUAUUUUAUUUAUAACUUUUAUUAUUGACUGGGGCGAUAACAUAUUAAACUCACAUACACUACACGAGUGUUUGGACUUGAAUUCAGAACUACAAACCAUUACACUAAUGGAUCAUUUGUUGUUCUGAAAUUUUAUUUCCCAUAAUAAAUCACGUAACUUUUUGUUUUCUUGAAUAAUUUCACCAAAGUUGUACUUUUCAUCCAUACAGAACUUGUUUGAGCCCCAGUUUUUGAAUGGAAGGGUUUGCUAUAUUAACCUUCAAGCUGGCCUAUAUUUUGGUAUCAUUACGACAGGUUCAAAACAGAUCCAUCCAAUCAAGAGGUUAUGGCUAAUGCCAUUGAAGAAUAAUAUGUCGAAUCCAACCCACUAUCCCAACUCAAAAUCUAACGACUCUGAAUUUUUGCACCAGAAAAGGAAUACCAAUAAAGUAAUGCUUCAUAAUUCUAUGUGGAUAAAGAAUAUUUGAUUAUCCAAUCACUCAGGCUAAAACUAUUGAGCUAGUGAAGUAGAUUUUCUAUGACUUUGAGAGCAAAAAGAACUUUUCUCCCCACCCCAGUCUUCUCUUCCAUUUGCAAAAGAGAAUGACGCUUCGUGAGGACUAUCAGUAUGACUAGAUUUUUGGGUUUUGAAAAUGCUACUAUCAGUUUUGCGCGAACGAAUGGAGCAUUUUUGGCUAUUAAUGAAUGUGCUGGGAAUAUAAUCACCUUUUUCUUUCUUGUACUGAAUUAGAAGCACAUAGUUGAUUAUUAAUUUAAUACUCUAAAGGAAAUCUUGGCAUUGUGUUAAAAGUACACUUAAAUCUUAAUAAAGAACAACCCAUGUAGACCAUACAGAGAUACAAUCUUAACAUACUGCAAAAUGCAAACAAAGAAAAUCUAAGAUAAGGUUCAGGGGCAUCAUCUGCCACGGCAGAUCACAUGGAAUGGAUGGGUGCCAAAGAAGCAACUAUGUCCCAUUCAUGUUCACCAAGUAAGCUGCCCCCAUUCUCCAUGCCCUUUGAUUAUUUCUUGUAUUUUAUUAUGGAUCUUGCUGCUUGAAGACUCUCACAAAAUGGGCCAUUGCUUAAAAUGGGGAUAGAGACAAUUGCACAGUUAACAUGGUGGCAUCAUUGGCAGGACCCACCAUUUCAACCCGACGAAGAAAGAUUUUAUUUUUAAUCUCUAAUCGUAACAGUACCGCGCGAGUUGUUUGUAGUUUACGUGUUAUGAUAUAGAUGGAUAAUAAAUAUAAAUAUAAAUAUAAAUACAUGAGUGAUAUUAAGUUAAAAGAGAUCCAUAAAACUUUUUAUUUGAAUUCAUAUGUGAUACUAAUAACAGUCAUAUAUGUGUACACAUAAAUAACUAUCAAUCGUGAAUAUAAUUAAAAUCUACAAUGUAUAAAUUAGAUUUUUGGAUAGAGCAGCAGAUCGUUUCAAAGUCCCCACCUUACUGCUUACUGUACCAACAAGAACAAGUGAUUUUGUAACAAUAGGAUUUGGAGACAAACCCAUUGGGAUUGUUUUAACUGAAACGACAAGAGGACGCAAAUAAUGUAGGGACUUGAAGCAAGUGUUUUUUACCAGAGACAUUAGGGCUGGGGAAUUCCAAAUAGAGGCCAGACAGAUCUGACCUAGCAAUCACGUGAUAUAAGAUCACAGUUGAGAAUUUCUAGGACAUCUUAUUUGGCACCAAAUGUACCAGCACAAAUUACGCAUACAAAAAGCUCCAAAUUUUCUUUCUCAUACACUAUCAAAAUAUUAUAACCGUUCAAACUUAAAAUCAUUGAUAUGUAAAUCAAGACCCUUUUCCACUAUGCUAGACAAUUAACUUAACACCUUUUUUAUUUGUUUAUCUUGGUCAGGUAAUUGGGUUCAAUGAAAAAGCACAUAGCAAUUGGAUUAAUAUAAUAUAUUUGUCAAGUGGGCCACUUUCUCCAUUACAAAAUUGGUAAAUUUCUUUCAACCAAACCCACUUUCUUACUCAAUGGUACUAGUUAUGAUUUUUAAUAGCAGCUUUUCAAUAUGGUCUCAUUCAAUACAUCAAAUGCAGAUCAAACACGAUCUGCACAUGUCUAUUAGAUCCUCCAUUUUCUUCAUUUUUGCAUAUUAUCUUAUUUCAUGAUGUCUUAAAAAUUGUUUUCAAGUGUAAUCUUAUGUGUAUAAGAGCUUGAACAAGAUAUUCUUAAACAAGUUUAUCUUACCACUUACAAAGUAGAAACACAGCAAAUGAAACAAGAUUGUGCGGUUUUGUGCAAUCUGCUUUGCUAUCUGACUGAUAGUGAAGUGAAGUAUCAAGUUAUCUAUCUAAAUAAUUUAGUCAACUUGUGCUUCAUAUUAGAUGCCACCCCAUGUUGGUGGCCUAAUUAUUUUAUAAGAGUGAUGCUAUAUAUUAUAGAAUACCAGAAGCAUUUGAUAUAGGCCAUAGUGGGAAGAGAGAAAAUGAAGCACCGAAAAAGAAGAGUGAAAAUGAAUAAAUGAAAAUCAUGAAAUUUGACCUCAACUAUGUCAAUAUCAAGUAUCAAAAAAGUUUUAAGGAAAAUGUUGGGCAAUGUCGAUAUCAUAGCCGGUAUUCGACACGAAUAUCAACGUUUUAAUUCUAAAUUAUUGUUGACGAUAUAUAUUCGAUACGAACAUGACAACUCUAAAGAGGUGUUAAUAACACGCAUUCGAAACUAACAUGGCGGAUGACAGAUUUGUAGCAAUUGCUUCAUAAAUCACCAAUUAAACAGCUAGCCCAAUUUAUAUAAAGAAGUCAAGUGAUUUCGAUAGUCAAAUCGCACCUCCCCCAACUUGUUUAUGCAUGUACCCGACAAAGUGGCAGACUAAUCCUAGUUUAACGCUAACACAGUAAGAACACAGACUGAUAGAAAACCCAAUCUUCAAGCUUUUGAAGUAAACUAAAAGAAAGAUGGAGGCAAAUAGCAUUAAAAUAUAGUCGGGCGCAGUAACUACUUUCAGUACUUGACGUUCUAACGGUCCACAAAAACACUGUAAAAAUGGCUGCGACACCCACGUUCUUUCAUCGUCACCAUCCUCACACUCACAGCUCUGACUCAACUUCAGCAAAACCAACAACACCAUCACAAACACCAACCGCACCAUGCAAGCUCACCAUCAAACCAGUCCAUGCUUGCGCUGAUCCAAACCCAGGAAAACCAUGCAAACCCACCAAGCCCUUUCUGGGUUCUCUCGCUCUGCACCUCCUCUGCUUCUUCUCCUGCUCUUAUGCUCCACAACCGCAUCUGGCUUCGGAUCAAUGGGCCCCAUCUCUGCUUCUUUUGGCAAAGAUGGCUUUUUUUGUGCCAUAGACGCUAGUGGCAAGCAGGACGUGGUUUGCUGGGGAAAGAACAGCUCUUCAUCUACUCCAUCUUCGGCUUCUUCCUCGGCUUCGGCCUUUCUCAGCAACAUUCCAGCGAUGGCUGCCCUCUCGGGCGGUGAAGGCUUUCUUUGUGGCAUUUUAGCGAACACGUCGCUGGCAUAUUGUUGGAGCUCCAUUGCCCCAGGUAUAGAUCUCGUACCUCCCAUAUUCAAGACCACUGCUUAUUCUCAUAUUGCUGCUGGGAAGAACCAUGUGUGUGCCAUUAGAGGGUCAUAUUACUCUGAUCAUGAGUUUGGUACAGUGGAUUGUUGGGAAAUUUUUGAAACUUGGAACAAAAGUUUGAGUUCCAAACAGAGCACUCUGUUUUCUGGCCACUCUAUUAGCAAUCUUGUGUUCAAAAAGGUUGUUUCUGGUGAAGGAUUUAGCUGUGGUGGGGUUAUAGAUGGAGGGUUUAUUUGCUGGGGACCCAAUUCUUCUAAUCUAGGGGUUUCAGGUCCAGUAGAUAAUUUCACAGCUUUAGCUUCAGGGAGGGCCUCACUUUGUGGGAUUUCAGAUUUUGGUGAGUUGAAAUGUUGGGGUGAUACUGACUUGUUAGCUGGUUAUCCAAAUGGAACCCAGUAUGUGUCUUUGGCAGCUGGUGAGCACCAUUUUUGUGGGGUUCGAGAAGACAAUCAUGGAAUUGAGUGUUGGGGGAUCUUUAACUCUUCUUUGAUUCCAAAGGCUUCCGGAUUCGUGGCGAUUGCUUCAUCAGAUUUUACUACUUGUGGGAUCAGGGAAGAUGAUUUGGUGAUUGAUUGCUGGGCUGCUAAUGCCUCUUCCUCACCACCUGAGUAUGAUCCUCCAUUGGAAUUGUGCAGUCCAGGUCUUUGCACUCCUGGUUUUUGUGGGGAAGGGAAGUUUGCUUUCAAUGCCAGCAUCCUUAAUGAGGCUGAUUUGACAAGCUUGUGUGUUAGGAAAGAUCUAACCAUUUGUUCACCUUGUGGGUCAAAUUGUUCUGAAGGAUUCUUCUUGUCCAGCUCAUGUACUGAACAUGCUGACAGAGUGUGCACAGCUUGCUCUCUUUGCCAAAACAGCUCUUGUUGGGAUAUUUGUGGGCUUCAAACACCACCAGAAAUGAGGAAGAAGCUUUGGCAUCAUGUGCGUAGGUUGGUGAUCAUAUUUGGGUCUUCUGCUUUGGGUUUUUUGUUGAUAUUAGUUAGUUGGUGUCUUCUUCCCCGAUUAACAACUUCUCGAAAAGAAGAAGGGAACAAAAAGCAGUUUAAAUCUUGCAUUGGGAAAGCAGAGUUGGAAGCUGACAAUAAUGAGGAUUCACACCCUUUUCCAUCUGUAGUUUCCUGUCCUGGAAUGGCUCAAGUUUUCCGACUCUCAGAACUAAAAGAUGCCACCAACGGAUUCAAGGAGUUCAAUGAGCUUGGCAGGGGAAGCUAUGGCUUUGUUUACAAAGCUGUGCUAGCAGAUGGACAGCAAGUUGCAGUCAAGAGAGCAAAUGCUGCCACUAUAAUUCACACAAACAGUCGGGACUUCGAAGUGGAAUUAGAGGUCCUUUGCAAAAUCCGCCACUGUAAUAUUGUGAACUUGUUGGGUUACUGCUCAGAGAUGGGGGAGAGGCUGCUUGUAUAUGAGUAUAUGCCCCAUGGGACACUUCAUGACCACCUCCAUGGUGGGCUUUCUGCCCUGAACUGGGUCCUCAGGUUGAAAAUUUCAAUGCAGGCUGCUAAGGGGCUUGAGUACCUUCACAAGGAAUUUGUGCCUCCCAUCGUUCAUCGGGAUGUCAAGUCCUCAAACAUUCUUUUGGAUUCUGAAUGGAAUGCACGAAUUGCAGAUUUCGGGCUCCUUACAUCUAAUGACAAGGAUCAUAGUGGAGAUUUAGAAAGUGAUGUUUACAACUUUGGAAUAGUAUUGCUUGAGAUGCUCAGCGGAAGGAAAGCAUUCGACAGAGAUUACACUCCUCCUAGCAUUGUCGAGUGGGCAGUACCUUUAAUUAAACAGAACAAGGCAGCUGCCAUAAUUGAUCGUUACGUAGCUCUUCCAAGAAAUGUUGAGCCAUUGCUUAAGCUUGCUGAUAUAGCAGGACUGGCUGUAAAGGAAAAUCCUACCGAGCGUCCUGCAAUGUCGGAUAUUGCAUCUUGGUUGGAGCAUAUUGUGAAAGAUGGUUUGACCUUCUAAUUUCUGAACCAGGUCGCCGGAUAUUCAUCAAAGAUGAAUUGAACAAUUUGUGUUACAACUGUUCCCGUAAGUACUGCUCCUCUGCAACUGUACAUCUUACGAGCUUCUUGUAAAUGAAGUUGGUUUACUCCCUCUUUACUCUUUUUUCUUUGUUUCUGAUUUUCCCUUAAUCCUCACAAAGUGAAGGGAACACUAUUUUUGUACCAUUCUACAUUAGUUUCCACAUGAAGCUUUAUUUAAUAACUUUCCUUCUCAUGUAAAGCAUUGGAGAGAAAUUUUUUUAAUGCUUGACCAUGCCCUGAGAUUCUAUCAUUUUGUUACAAUGAUUUCAAGCAUCUGAGACCUCAUUGCCUUUUGAGUGCUUUGCUAUGAAGGUAAUAAUGUCCUGAUUUAGAUUUGUCAACAAUCACCAUCAUACUUCUUAGAUGUUUUUACUGCAAAAAUGCAUUUAUUGCACAAGAGGGAAAUGCUUAAUUAAUCAAUAGUUGAAUUACUUGUCAAAUAUAUGCUGUGAGUCGGAUAUAAUUUCUGGUAACUGACAUGGAAGUGGUGCAACAUUUCGGUGCUCUCAUUUGUUCGACGCAUGUUUCUUGUAGGCACAUGAACACAGAGACUACACACAUUACUAAUUAAACCAGAUGUAAAGCUAAUGCUCCAUGCUACCCCAAAAAGGUUCUACUUUAAACUGCAUCUUUCCUAUCGUUGAAUAUUUUGCUAGCAAUUUUAAACAAAACACCUUGUAGAAUUAAGAAAUGUGAAAACUACAGUGUAUUCUGAAUUGAAUAGAUUGAGAGACCAAUCUCUGUCUAGCAGUCCCCAUUUGAGAAAUGGGAAUCCAACUCAUCCAAGCACUCUAAGACAAAUGAGUUUCAGAAGAGAAAGAUAACCUUAACUUUAUGAUGCACAAAAGAAUGAAAGAUCCCAGAAACUUUAUGGUAGCCUCUGAAAGAUUUUCAACCUCAUCCGUCCCUUUUCCAUUUCAGCUUCUGUCUCUCUCUCGUAGCCCCACAUUACUCGUGCAACCUUAACCAAGUUGAAGACAGAUAGAAAAGGAAGUACCGGCCGUUCAGAUGGAGUGGUUUGUUGAGCUCUGUUUGCUUUAUGCAAGUUGCCAACUCAAAAGCUAGUUGAUAGGUAUAUGAGCCCUGAGGAAAUAGUGGGGAAAAAGUUAAAAGGGAGGUAUAUGAGGCGUAUUUAGUCCCUUUUAUAAGCUUACUUUAUUAUGCCUGAUUUCAGCUAUAGAAAAUGACAUCCACUACUUUUUUUUUUUUUGGUUACAUUGGGAGGAAAGAAACCCCUUGGGGUUUCUAACCUGGGUGUCAAGCAAUAUAAGUGAUAGUCUAAAUUACAAGAAUGAGAUGAUUUCUCAUAUACACACUACCAAGGUGCCAUGAGGUUCGAACCUGAGAUCACUAGUGUGCAAAUUAAGGCUUUUUCCAUUGAGUUACACCCUAUUGGCUUGCAUCACAUAUCUAUGUGCAUGCAUAUAAUGGCAUGCCUGGUUCCCUGUAUGCCAUCUGCUAAGCCCACCAGAAAACUGGCGGCCAAAGUGAAUGGCAUCCAUGGAGCCAUGCAUAUCAUGUGUCAUCUACUUGGGUAGAUAAUGGGACACUACAUUAUAAUAUCAUUUUGUUGAAGUUUACCCUUCUGUAUAUUUCAUUAAAUUUUGCUUUUUCUUUUUGUUAUAUUUACUGUUAUGAUUCAUUUUGGCUCAUAUUUAAACAUGCUUCCUCAGCUACUAAUGUCUCUGCUGCAGUUUAUGAACUUUAGGCACAGUAAAUAACAGAAACAGCUCGAGAAAGUUAAACACCUGAGAAGGUGGCCGCAUUAAUUUAUUGGAGGUAAUUUUGUACACAUCUGUGCUGCAAUGUACUAUCAACAACAGCAAGAAACAAAGUAAAACUACCUCCACAUCCCACAAAUAAUUAACCAAUUUAAAGCCCAAAAAAAAAACAAAACAAAAAACAAAAAACAAAAUUGGUUGUCUUGAGUUAUAUAUCUACAUGACUUGUCCAAUUGGAGUUGGCGUGCAGAUUAUAUACAUACACAAAGACAUCCAACAGAAAACAAUGUAUCUUCUGUAGGCUCACAUGAUCUUCCUGGGACAAGUUGAGAAAAAUAAGCCUUGCAGGAUGGUUAUAAGGACAUCACAAAGUCCUCAGAUCUACUCUGGUUUUGCGUGCUACUGGCUGUGGAGGCUUUGGAGAAAGUGCUCUGAUCACAUGACUGCUGUUGCCCCAUUUUGAUUUCCAUGAUAUCAGAAAUAAGUCCCGGUUCUGAAAUCUGAGAAUCUUUUAUGUCUACCUCACCAGACAAAAUCUUAACAGCCCUUGACAUUGGCGGCCGGAGCUUGGCCAUCUCUUGCACACAAAGAAGGCCUAAGUUUAAGAACCGGACGGCUUCAUCUUCAGGAAAGUUCAUUUGAAGGGUAGGAUCAACUAAUUGUACAAGAUUACCGGCCUUGAAUGCUUCCCAUGCCUGCAUAUUCACAAACAACGUGGCUUCAGUUCUGCCUUAUGACAGAAUAAAAAUGCAUGGCCAAAGCGGGUAGUGAUAAAUUGCUCUAAUUUGCUUACCUUCUGAACCAGGUGAUGCUCCCCAUGUUCCAAGUCGAAAUCCACAACUGCACGGCCGCUGACAAUUUCUAACAGCAGUACUCCGAAGCUAUAAACAUCUGAUUUUCGCGUCAAACGCCCACUAAUUGCAUAUUCUGGAGCAAGAUAACCUCUUUUGGAUUAUUGUGAGACACCCCAUUAGCAUGCAAUAGCAUUUCAGAUAAUAAUCCAAAGGCAGAGAAGCAUGAAGCAAGAAGAAUUUGCAAUUUAACAACUUACAUUGUCCCUGCUACACGAGUACUAAUGUGAGAAUGGUUGUCUCUUAACAGCUUUGAUAAGCCGAAGUCACCAACUUUUGGUGUGAAAUUCUCAUCAAGAAGUAUGUUACUGGCUUUAAUGUCUCUGUGCAGAAUGUGAGGUUCAACCUCCUCGUGCAGAUAGGCAAGUCCUCGAGCUAUCCCUAAUGAAAUAUGCCUCCUUGCAUCCCAACUAAAUCUCAUCCUGUUCUGCUCUCCACCUGUUAAUCAACAAACAUUAUUACACAACUUGCCUAAAAAUAAUAGUCUUUCAUUUGCAUUCAUUGUAGCUGUCAAUAAUUUUCUUCAGAUACAUAACAAAAUCUCCUAAAAUAAACAAAUUAAUAUACCAAUAUGAGAAAUUAAAGUCUCCUAAAAUCAUAUUCUUUCAUUUGCAUUCAUUGUAGCUGUCAAUAAUUUGCUUCAGAAAAAUAACAAAAUCUCCUAAAAUCAACCAAUUAAAAUACCAAUAGUUAAAAUGAGGAUCAUUAAGGUAAUCAAAUUUAGAAAUUAGAAGCAUAGGUUUACCAAGUAAAGUGUGUGUGAGGCUAUUGUUUUCCAUGUAAUCGUAGACCAAAUAUCUGCCAGCUCCAUCAACACAACACCCUUGAAGCCUAACAAGGUUUUCAUGUCUGAUUACAGACAGAGUAGACAAUUCUGCAAUGAACUCCCUCUCUCCUCUCAUAGAUUCAAUUUCAGUGGAAAGCACUUUUAUAGCCACAAGGCUGCCAUCUCUAAGCCGACCCUUUAAAACUCAACCAAAAUUUAUCCCAUAUCAGCAAAACACAGCUAAAUUACACACACAAGCUAAACUCAACCAAAUUUGCAGAAUUUCUGUUUCAGGCCAAGAAAAAAACCUUAUAGACAGAGCCAAAGCCACCUUCUCCAAGCUUUUUUGAGGAAUGGAAGCCAUUAGUGGCAGACUUCAAUUCCUUGGAAGAGAAAAUUCUGAAGCUUUCUUGAUUUUCUCCAUCUGGGUAUUUACCAAGUACAAAAAAGCAAUCAAGAACACAGUAAAUCACAACAAAACCCAAGAAAAACACACAAAACACAGAGGCAGACAUCUCAUUGAUACCUUGCAUCCCGUUUUCCACGACCUUUUCAGGUGAGGAGAAGAAGCAACUUGUGCAGGGAAUUGAGAACUUCAUUUUGCAGCUCUGUAUUUCGCCCAAGGUAAAAAAAGGUAUGUACUUGAAAGCUAAAAUCUUGAAACUUUGGCCUAAUUAAAAUGGAUUAUAGUUUAUAGAGAGUAACCCAAGAAACAAUAAGCUUUGGGAAAAACAGAAAUGGAGGACGCAGAAUUAUAAUUAUUUUAUUGCCCGCGGCCUUUGACUUCAGACUUUCUCGUAGUUUGAACUCAGUUUUCCAUCAGAAUUUUUAUAUUUCUUGUUGGGAAGGGGUCUCUGUCUGUCUGUUACUGUACGUAAUUUGGCCUCACCCACAUAUUUGGUUGAAGUAAAAUUAUUUGCAUUUAUCAUGGUUUAGUUAGUAACCAACUUCUAUUAUUAGUUUCAUUAAAUGGAAUUUGGCCUUUUAAUUAUGUUUUAAAUAAUAUCUUAUGGACGCGGUAUCAACUUAGGGCUAGUUUGGCAUUGUUGUGUUGUGAAAAUAAUUGUUGUCAGAUUUGCUAUAAAAGAAAUCAGCUGUGAAAGAAAACAGUUUGGCAUUUGGUAAAUUUUUUGUUAAUAGUGUUGUUGAUAUUGAUUUCCGCAUAAUCAGAAAAUGAUUCCCGCAUAAUCAUUAAACUCAGCACAUCUUCGAAAUUGAUUCAUGCAUAAUCAGAAAAUGAAAGUACUUCAAUAACUGCUUUCCAAUAUAGAUUUCUCUUACAGUAAUUUUUAACAAUAAGUGAUUUUUUCAUAAUUUACCAAACGGGCUGGGCUUCCCAAAUUUUUUUUAAAAUCACUUAUCACCCCAAAUAAGUAAUGCCAAAUGGGCACUUAAUUCAUCAAGAAAUAUUGACUUCAAAUUGUAUUAGGUUUAGAUAAAAAUACAUUUCAUGCUGACAUGGGCUUAGAUAAGUUGGCUAGAGCGAAUGUACCCCCCACUCUGCAUCCAAGUUCAAAUCCUCCUCCCUGUAGUUUAGAUUAAUUUAAAGUAUAAUAUCACUUGUAGUUUUAAAAAUAAAAAAACCACAAUUCAUUGGUUUAGAAAGUUAAAUGUCUAACUGCCUAACAUCAACACGCCUAAAAAGGAGAAGCAAGUCAUAUUACCAAAACGUGCAAAGACAGUUAGGAGACCAAUUGUUAAUACUGAUUCUUUGGAAACUUAUACGGAAGGAUUGAAUCAGCCAUCCCUUUUACCCUGUUUUUCUCUCCUAAUUAACAAUUCCUUCCCCCAGAUUAUGAAAUUCUAUUGACAACAUUAUAAUAUGUUGAAGAGAUCGUAAUUUUCUCACAUGUUUCAGACGAUUACAUAACGUGCUAAUGUGUAGAAAGCCUACUCUUUAUUUCUAGUAUUUAUUAAUGUUAACAUAUUUCUUCUUUCUUUCCUUUUUUUCAUUUCUAUUAUCUGUUUUUUUUAUUUCAAUAAAUAUCGUUCAUGACUUUAUUUAAUAAAAUGAAAAGUAUGCAUCAAUAAAAAUCACUAACUUUACAUCAUGUGAUUAAUUCAUGAAAUUAAAUGUUACCAAAAAAAAUGAGGUUUCUCUAGCAUUACUCAGACGGCCGUCAUCAUCGUGCCGAGUCAAAGCACAGUCAUGGUGUCAUGUGGCAAGUCUGUCAACUUCAUAUGACAAAAACACCCUUGUCUACCCAAUGAACAAAGUACACAAUCAUUAACAAACCUGGCUUGUGUUGUGUGUUUAUAAGAUAUUCUUGUUCACACAUUUGAAUGAAUCAAAGUUUGAAAGCAGGAAUGGAGUGUUGUCAACAGUCUCUCGUAGAUGGUUCACAUAUCCAAAAUAUUUAUGUUUGGAAGUUGGGACCGGUCUAGUAAACUAGGAGGUCUAGUCUAUGGUCUAUGGUCUCUUCGACACCAUAUCUAAUAUCUAUCAUACACGUUGUGGUCUCUUGUUGGACAGUACAAAGUCCUACCCUACACGGUGGAAUUGAUUUUAUAAAGAAUCGCAUCGAAAUGUUUCAUUAUUUAGUUUGAAGUCAAAGAAGUCAAUAUCCGCCAAAGUAAUGCCAAUUUGGUAUAUGAAUGUGCAAGAAUAAGACCUUUCAAGAAUAAGAAACUUCGACAAAAUUUUGAUUUGAUCAAUUCUAUCUCUUUUGACAAAUGACAAAAUUGGCUAGACCAAAUUUCCACGCCAUUCAAAUCCAUUAUGAAUCACCCUUCUUUAGCCCAAAAUCCUCUUGGUUUUGAGUCAGAUAUUUAAGUAAAUUGUUGAAUUUGUAAGCUCAUUACCUUUAUCAAUUGGCCCACUAAUAGUGUGCUUGUUAAGAAAAAGGAGCUAUGUGUAUGUAUUCGUUGAAAACACGGGAAAACAUGUUUAAUGUGUUCUCAGUUUUACACCGUAUUUUUAUUUCGUUUCUUUAAAAUAGUAUUUCAUGUUUAAAAUGAAAAAAAAAAACCACCAAAUAAACGCCUAUCUAAUGAAUUUUGGAUUUAGAAAAUAGAAAAGGGGCUUGGAAAACAUACCAAACGCCCCUAAGUACCCUCUCGCCAAAAUCUCCCUCAUUGUAAAAGCUCCCAUGAAUUCAUGAUAUUCUGGUCACUCUUAUCAAGGGAGACAAUAAUAUUCUAUGUAUGAAUUCAUGAUCAACAAGGCAUUUAACACACUUUAAGAUUCUAUUCUCACACACCAACUUAGCAUUUUGGAUUAUUAGUUUGGAUGGCUUUAAUUACAAGAAGCAGUUGAAAUUCCCCCCUUUCUUUGUCACCUUUUCCUUAUCCUUGGACCUUAAUUGGCUUUCCUUGCAUCUUUUGUUGAAACAGACCUAUACAAAUGAUACAUUACAGAAGAUAGCCAUCAAAAUCGACACUCAAAAUCAAGCAUAUCAUAUAUAAACCCCCUUCAAUUAAAUUGGUUUUCUUGACUUUUGUCCAACGAUAUUUAUCUUUAUGAGAUAGAUGAGGGAUUGGAUAUGCCAUCGUCUUCAAAUUACACAAGUAGGUUUGUUGUCAAGUCUCAAUGUUAGGUUGCUUGUUUAGCAAGGAAACGAGUAAGCCAUGUAAUGGGAUUAGGUAUCCUGAAAAAAAAAAAAGGAUAAUGCAUGGGUCUAGAUAUUAUAGUGGACUACACGUGUAAGGCAUAUAACAUAUCCCUUAAUAUUCUACCACAAGUGCAAAAUUAGGCACAAACAGCCUUUGGGUAAGUUUUUUUUGCUGGGCUUGUAAAGAUGCUGAUGGAGACUGGUUUUGACUUUCAACAAGGUAGAGUUUAACUAGAGAUGGUGAAAUAAGUGCUGCAUAUUACUUAUCUCAGUAAUUUAUACUUUAAUGGUUGCUAUCAGGAAAAAGAAGAUGGUAAAGGUAAUAAAGAUCAGAGAGUAAUAGUAAAAAAUGGAUUUUAUUAUUUUGAUGUAAAACUUUAACUUGGUUGACGACAACGAUAUUCAUGGGAGUGAUUUUUUUUAUUUAUGAUUUUGUAUGUAUUGAAAUAUGUUAUAAAAUCACAUAAAGAUUAUGUAUGCAUAAUAAUACAUAAUUCAUGACAUGGGGAGAUAAGGGGCAUGCAUCACUCAAAAUAUCUCUUGUGGGGUGGGGGUGUCAACACACUUGGACUGCCCAGUUGCUUGUAAAGUGGGAACCACAUUCCCCUUUGUCUAAAAAAGAUAAAAAUUUGUAUGUUACGGAAUAACAUUGUUUUGUUUUUUCUAAGUAAUCACGUUUUACUAUGAUGCGUGAUAAUGAUUUCAUAUGAUUAGAUUUGGGUAGUAAAAUAGUGUUAUCCUCAUGACAUAUACAAGUUCUUUUGGAUCACAAAUGCAUCAUUUCUCCUAAUUUAUUUAUAAAGACAUAAUUUUCUGUGAAAUUUUCAAUUCUUAUCAAGAGAAAAAGAUGUCAUUGAAUAUCAAUAUGAUAGUAAUUUUCAUUUUAUGCCCAUCUCCAAUGCAAACAAAUUGACAUCAUCAUUCACUGCCUCGAUAUGAAUAGCAACUUGGCAACCAAAAUCAGGCAUAUCAUGAAUCAUGAGUCACAUGCCCAAGCAAGCCAACUUGUAUUCUUCUUCCUCAAGACAAUUGCAUACAUGCAUGCAUGGUAUGAAUAUGAUGCUAGCUUCAACAUGCGCAGAUAUAACAUAUAUAUGUCAAGUACACAGUUAGAACUUGUCCUUGCAAAAUCAACUUACAUUACAUAUUCCGAAGAACUCCGGGCAACGGGAGACUUAUGCGAACACUCGCCCAGAGCGUUAAGGUUGGAGUCACUCGACACUCCCUCUCCAUGCAUGAUGCACGAGAACAGAUACAAAUUAAGCUCGUGAAUAGAGUUUAUUCUGGCAAUUACAACCUCUUUCAUGUACUUAAUCUUAUCUUCUUUCUUCUUGGUCUGAGGAAUUCAUGUGUAAUCUAAUAAAGUUGAUACACACACAGAUUAGAAAAAGGAAAAAGCUGUUAGCUUUAGCUGUGGAGCAUAAACUCUUUCUGGUCUCAAUUUCCAUCAUCUCAUAUGGAAUUAUGGAUGGUGUUUUGGGUGGAGCUUUACGCAACCCAUUCCACCCAAUCUCCACCCACCCAUUAUUAUUACAUAACUCUACAAGAUUCCUCUCUCUCUCUCUCUCUCUCUUAUUUAUUUAUUUAUAUUUUAAGUCCCUUUCCUAUAUAUUAUUAUUAGUUUUUUAUUUAUUUUUUUAAAUUUUUGUACUCCUCUGUUAGUAUCCAAAUUUCUCUUUCACUUGGAACAGCACACGAACAGAAAAACAAAAACAAAGUUCCAAUCUUUCACAUCUUCUCUGAGCAAAAAAAAAAAAAAUUUCUUUCACAUCUUCUAAAUCUGUCUGGUAACACAACAUAAGGUUUUCAGGCUGAAUUUGUUUGCUUCCCGAGAAAAAUUUCAACACCACCAAACCCAACAUGGGAAACAGCGGCAGCAGAAGCAACGGCGCCCGCCGGCGACAUGGGGCCCGCCAAAACCAUCCGUCUCCGCCGCCUCCCGCGCCACCUCAGCCCGAAAUCUCUCCAAACCGAUACGUAUUCGCCGCGGCUACCCCGUAUCCGACUCAGUACCAGAACCAUAAUCCGAACCCGAACCCGAACCCGCCACAGUACUACCCGGGCUACUACCCGCCGCCGCCUAUGCCGAUGCCUUUGCCUGCUCCGUACGAUCAUCACCACCGUGUGCCCCACCCGCAUAUGGACCCGGCCCAUCCAAAUUGGGCCGGGGGCCGGUACCGGUGCGGUCCUGUAAUGCAGGCUCCGACGCCGUAUGUCGAGCAUCAGAAGGCGGUUACUAUAAGGAACGAUGUGAAUCUGAAGAAGGAAUCUCUCAAGGUCGAGCCCGAUGAGGAAAACCCUGGAAGCGUCCUUGUCUCUUUUACUUUUGAUGCCACGGUUGCUGGGAGGUAUCAUAUGAAGCUUAAAGCUUUUGUCUUGAACUUGAAGUUUGCUUUUUCACUAACUUCUGUUUUGUUUCUGCAUUAAAUGCCUAAUUGGGGGCUGAUAUUUGGUUUUAUGUGGGAUUAGCUUAAUUGGGCUUUAUUGUUAUUGGUUUGGUUGUUUUUAUUUUGUUGUGUUAGCUUGGACUGGUAGAAUGUGGAGAUUGAACUUGUAGGAUUGAGACAGUUUGGAAAAGUAGCAGUUUAUUGGAUAGUAGAUUACUAGUUAUGGAAGUUUGGAAGACAAUUUUGAUGAGAAUCCAAGUGUUAUUGAAAAGCAUAUAACUUUCAUCACCAUUCUGAAGUGAUGAUUGCCAUUCUAGCUUGAUCCAUUUGUAUUGCUUCUGAAGAAGGCAAGAUGGAUAGGUUAACAGGAUGGAUAGGUGACUUGAUGGUGUGUACCAAUGAUUGAUUUUGUUGGUUUUUCAGUUCUAAUUGUUUCCAAAAGCUUAAGCUGUUAGGAUGCGAGCCAUUUUUUUUUUUAUAAAUAUUCUAACACUCUCCCUAACAUGUGGACCUUUCCCUACCCCUAAAGAUCCAAAUGGAUGAAUUUUAACAUAAAUUCUUAUCUUUCAGUUUUCAGGAUUUGAAUCAUAUUCUAUGAUACUAAGAUAAAUGUUGUUGGUUUACCAAGGUUUUUGGAACUGUGGCAAACCAACAAUAUGUAUCAAGUGACCUUCAGUCAUCUAUGAUCUCAGUGAUGAUUAUAGUAUAUAAAAUAGGUAAAAUUGCCUCGGGGAACAUUUACUGAAGUGAAAGGGCAUAAGUGUCUAGAAAAUUCAUAUGGGAUAAGAGCGUGAUUGGUGACAAUGAGUUGUUUGCUUUUCUCAGUAUUAUCUUUUAGCAAUAAGGAUUUGUGGAACUCGUUUAUAACUGGUGAAUAGGGAUUAAUGAGGGUGUUUACCUCAGAAAUGUCGAUUGGGAAAUAUAAGAUGAUGAUGUGAGGACUUUAGGUUUCUAUAUGGUUUUGGUGGUGUUGAGAUAUAAGAAAUUGUUCUCAUAUAUGUGGCCAUCUAAUCUUUCAGCUCGGUAUAUUCUUUUGGUACUUAAAUUCCACAGCCUAGUAUAUUUCCCUUGUUUGAGGUACACAAGGAAUGAUACUUUAUGCAUCACAGAUCAUACUCAAAUACCAUGCUGUGAUGACAUUUCCAUGUGGAAUUGUAGUAGUGGUAUCUUUUUUUGGCCAAGGUGUUGAUAACUCAUUUGAUUUACAUGCAUAACUGUUGGAGGACAAGGCUUUAUUAAGAAGAUCCAUAAAUUUUUAUGUUCUUUAACAUUAUCUGAUCAUCUGGUUAUUUUUAAUCUUAAUAUAUGGCUCUGUGAAACAGCAUCACCAUUAUCUUCUUUGCGAAAGAAAGUGAGGACUGUAACCUGACACCAACAAAGUCUAACCUUCCACCUGUGACGGUACAUUUUCAACAAGGUCUCGGCCAGAAGUUCAGACAGCCCUCUGGAACUGGAAUUAAUUUCUCAAUGUUUGAGGAGACAGAAUUACUGAAAGUAACGGACUUGGAUAUCUAUCCCAUAGCUGUAAAGGCAGAGGCAUCCUCACCUAACCAGGAUGGGUCAGAGGGAAACCCUGUAUCUGUGACAACGAACUCCCAGAUAACUCAGGCCAUAUUUGAGAGGGAGAAAGGUGAAUUCCAGGUGAGGGUUGUCAAGCAGAUUCUUUGGGUGAAUGGGAUGAGGUAUGAACUACAGGAGAUAUAUGGCAUUGGUAAUUCAGUUGAGGGUGACUUGGACGGGAAUGACCCAGGAAAAGAAUGUGUCAUUUGCCUGUCUGAACCACGGGACACAACUGUUCUUCCAUGCAGACACAUGGUAAUCAUACUUCCCUGUUCUUCUUUUCAAAGUUUGUCACAAUUGCAAAUGGAAUGAGCUGAGGAUCUUUGUAGGUUUUAAAAGGUUACAUUAACGUGCUUCCAUCGAGUUAUCAUCUUGACAAACUAAUGAAAUUCACUCAACAUGAAUAAGAAAUUCUUCUUGGCUGAUUAUUGGUUGGAUUUUCUUUCUUGCUGCAGUGCAUGUGCAGUGGGUGUGCCAAGGUUUUGAGAUUCCAGACAAACCGUUGCCCAAUUUGCCGACAACCAGUUGAGAGGCUUUUGGAGAUAAAGGUCAACAAUGGUCUGGAGGAAUGAGAGGAUGUGUUCUGCCACUAGCAUUAUGUAUGGUUAAUGGCACCCUCCUUCCACACCCCCUCCUUUCUUCCUCCUCAUUUAUUUUUCAAGAAUCAAAAAGGCAAGUUAUAUGCUGUAUGAAGUGUCAAGUGGCAAUGCUUCAUAAAUAUACAUGUUCUACAUUUGGUUUGCUUCUACUGUUGUAAUUAUUUCUUUCAAGAAAGGUUAAUGUAGAUAAUCAUUUGCAGUAUUUGGCACAAAUUUUCCAGUUCCAACUGGGCAAAGAGAAGUAUAAGACCUAGUUUUUUUCUUGUCCAUUUUACUUUUUUGGGGGGUCUGAAGUGAGUUUGUCUUAUCACAUUUUUGUAGUUUCCACAGGUGAGCAGGUAACUUGAGGCUUCUAUGCUUUAAGGUAAGGUGAAAUUACUAAAUCAGGCACUUGCCACUGACGGCAAAACAGCUUAAUCACAAUUUAGCAAAAGUCGAAGAGAGGUUUCAUUAUCAACUUUUUGUGGCCAUAUAUGAAUCAGUGAACUUAAUGGCGCUAAAUAAUUGCUACUAAUGACAACAAUUUAGUGCGGUAGAUCGUCUAUCACUAUCAUUAUUUUAUAUCAGCAAACAUGGAUGGAUGUGUUAAGUCUCUUAAAGCUGCCAUGGUCCCUUUUUUUUCAAAGGUCGUCUCCAAGUGUGCAUUUUCAAGUAGAUUGUGAUUGGCUUUCAAGAGGUGUGAUUUUGGUCUCCUAGUUUUCGCUAAGUUUCAUUUUGAUCGUUGUGGUUUCAAUUAAAUGACUUAAUUUUGUCCAUUUCUUCAACAUAAUUAGCCUGCUUGCGAAAUAGGAGAGGGUAAAUUGGCCUUUUGGGAGGUAUAAAAACGCCACCCACACACAUGCUAAUUCCGUUGAAAUAGUGGCUGAGUUAAGCCAUUUUCCUCACAUUGCAACAAUCAGUAAACUACAGAGGUUAAAUCGCGACAAUUGAAACUAUAUGGAACAAAGUGAAACUUCACUUGAAACUAUAAUCAAGCUUAUGUGCAGUUUUGGUUCUACAUUUUAUGUACAGUUUAUGUUAGUCUACUUCUUUCUAACGGUAAAAUGGGUGUAUCACUUUCUAGUGUUGAUUGUAGCCAGUGAAGUCGCUGAUUGUUUCAAUCCUCGAGCAGUUGUAAGCCCUGAAAUAAUGCCAACAAAGUGGUCAUACUUAAGCCAGGGUGAGCACAAAGGCGAGGGCCAAAAAACAAAGCAAAGAAACUUUGCAUUCAUUUGCAGGGUAAAAACAUGAAGCUCAUAACAAAGUCCAUCACCACGCUGUGCUUACGGCAUAAACAAAUAAUUAUAAGAAGAUAAACAGGAGAUUGAAUCAGAUUAAGGGUUAAGUCUUCCUUCCACCACUUUAAGCAUAUCAAGUUCUUCGGCGGCGGGGCCUAGAAAGCAUUUCUAAACGAGUUUUCAAGAACAAGAAUCAAAGGCAAAUCAUAUAAAACACACAUAGAACAUACGAUUAAUAAGUUACCAAGUUGGAAAGCUCAAAUGGCCAACCAAUCAUGAAGCAACAACUUGGAUGUUUUUCAUCCUACACAAAGUACUUAAACAGUACACACCACACAAGAUAACAAUGGUUGUUUAUUUUAACCUAAGUGCCCAACCAUUAAAGCAACUUUUGAUGUAGGGACUAUUAAUGUCCCCCACAUCCUACAUGGUAACUUACCGAGUUCAACAACAACAUAACACAACAGCACGGUUGAAACAUGAUCAAACCCAACAGAUCACAGAACAUCAACAGGGUUGCCGUCUCCCCACCACUGAUGGACAAAGACACCACUGCUACGGAGGCUUCCGAAGAUGUCCAUGCAGUCCACCGGCAUUGCACCUCCUGCAUCAACACUGCCGGAGCAAUGAAGAAACAGCUCGUCUACAAAGCAUAUGGCUCCACUUUCAAACAGCUCCGUGAGGAACUUCAGUUCUACAUUCCCUGCAUUCAUCUUUAGGACCACGAAAUCUGCAAACUGCACUGUUUCCUUAAACCAGGCAUGGAAAUCAAACCCUUCAUCUCCCACAUAUGGCUCUGUUUCUCCAUCAGUUGUAACAUUGACUUGAGCCUUAAUUCCAGCCAGCCCUGGAUGAUAAACAAAGGUGAUUCCUGGCUUUUUGACAUAGGACAAUAGAACAGAAGUGUUGUGGUCAACAAAAUAAGUAUGGAAAGCUUUGCGUUCGACGGGAUAAGAGGGCAGGAACCAAUUUUUAGCAUUUGAGUUCAGGUGCUCCGCUGCCCCAAUAUCAACAUAGACCAAGCGCUUCUUUGAGGAAAGAUCAACAAUAUUAGGCAAAUAAUUGAACUUCUUUCCAUAAUCGACUGGCUUUUCCUUCACAAGAGGCUCCAUUUUCCCAAUGAAAGGUCGAUUGUUUGUGAGAGAUUGGCAGUCAGCCGGAAGGCGAUACUUCUCAAAAAGCCCUGCAUUUUCAUAAUUUUUCUUGAACACAACCAAAGUGAAGUUACCGAUGUGGUUAACAUGCACAACGCUGGAACUUUUCAAUAACGAAGAAAUUGGGGUGGCAGACCUAAUCAAGCUAUUCGGGGCGGAAAUGCUGCUACCCACAAGUAUUGCCCCAAUCCCACCAGGGCUAAGUACACGCUCGAUCUCGAGCACAAGAAGCGCAGGGACAGAAACCUUAUCUAGAUCCCUGGAGAGCACAAAAUCAAAAGAUUUGUCCUCAUAGUCAAUUUCGUAAACGAACUGUUUGCGCUUGAGUGAGAAGAACCGGCGUUCAUAAACACCACGAGCAUUGGGGAAACCCAAAUCUUGCAACGCCAACACGGUUGAGGCGGAGCCUUCUCCAAUACAGAGAGCUUUUGUACCAUAAUUCAAUAACUGCUUGCCCAUAAGCUCUCUGACCACACUGACAGUCAAGUUCACAUCUUGCAUGCACCGGUCCGAAUCAAAAGAGCCCCAAAAGGGAUUCAGGUAACGACUCUGAAAGUUGAACUUUCCCGGGGCCAAGUCGACAUGGGUAUGGCCCAUUUCGGAGGCGCAGUCACCCGGAUUCACAAAAGUGAACAUUGUUAUAUAGGGUCCUGACAAAAUGUGAAUCAAGGGUAUAACGGACAUGGCAGCGGCGAUAAAGAAAGCGCGGAAAAACACACGCCUGGCCAAAGACCCAUGAAGGAUCUGCGAUUUCAGAGCCUUUAAAUCCAUCAUUGUCUUCAUUUUGAAAAUUCGGCUCUGAAACAUACGGCCCAAAUCGUAACGCAAGCAAAUGGGGUUUCUCGAUCAAAGAUCGGUUCUUUGAUCAAAAAGAGUAAAGUUGGGAACUUUGUUUAAUUGGUAAAGAAUUCUAUAAGAAAACUUUGCGAGGGGAAAAAGCCAAACACAGAAUGAGAGAGUAGAUUAGCGAGUGCAAAACCUGGAGGAGGUGUGAUUCCCACCCACGAGGAGCCCCAUCGUUUUUUGAAUUACUAGCCACACCCUCUUUGAAACUUUUGCUGGCUUCGUAUCGUACCAGACCCAAUCCAUAUUUGCUGAAAUUGAAACCCUACAUUACAUGGCGGAGGAGAGUGGCAUCAAUUAUGGUGAAUUUUGGGAGCCGAUUCAGAAACCCUAGAAUCCAAUUGAAAAUUCUGGAUAUCCAAGUUGGGGAUUUUAGGGCUACUGGGAGCUUUUUUUUGAGUGAAGUGAAGCAGAAGAUAAGAUCUGGUUUAAUAUAAUAAAAGAAAACACUCUGCAAGUAGCCCAACAUGGACAGCGAUAAGGGCACCGACGAAAGAGGAGACACGUGUCGACACCAGGAAGCUUCUCAACUCCAGCUAAUCUUUUACCGGGGGUCCAACUGUAAAAAGCGCCAAUAAUUAUAAUGAUGAACCAAGUUAUCGUUACCGCCAGUCACCCAGGAGAGAGAGUGGAAAAUCGAGGCCGUUGGUUGGUGUGGGACCGACAGAUAGAGCAACGGCUCGAUAUUCGGAAUCUAAUAAGUAUCAGAAGAUAAUAUUUAAAAAAUGAUGGAGCAACGUGGCUGAUUUGGCGUUACUGUAGAUCUGACAGAAGCGUGUGGUCCCCACUGGGAACUGUUUCAUUGCAAAUGAAGAUUUGAGAUUGAUAGGCAGUGCCGCAGUGGUUUUGGUGAUGUUUUUAAGACUGUUGGCUGAAAUCGCUCGGUUGGAGAAAUUGGUAAGUGUGGGUGAAGAGUCCCUCUUGCCACGUGGGCAGGACUGAUGGGAUUAUGACGUGGAAGCCGUACAAUCAGUAGACGUCGGAUAAUCCAUCUAGUUGAAUUCAGGAUUAGUGUGUUGAUUGGCCAUAAUCUGUGGUUCGCAGUAUUGAUUUGACUCUUUUCAUUUAAUGGUCCUCUUAAUUAUCAACUCAAGUUCAACUUGUUUAAUUAAUUAGUUUUCAUUAUUCCCGAACCAAAUUUUCACUCAUGCACCUCUCUCAUAAUAAAAGAAAUCGUGUUCCUAUUCCAAUGACCGUUGUUAGUCAAUUUCGUUAGUGAGAGAUUUCUCAUACACACAUAACUAUAAUAUCAUGAGGAUUCGAAUACGAGACUUUUAAUAUGCAAGUCACGACCUUUUUUCAUUGGAUUAGACCCUAUUGGCGACUAUGUCAAAUUUUUAAUUGAACUUAUAAAUAGAGAAUUGUUGCAAUUACGCCUAUAAAUAGAGAAUAUAAAUACAUAUUAAGAAAUGGAGAGGAAAUAGAUUAUGUGCGGUUGACGCUAAUCCAAUCCAAUAUUUUCAAGUUGUAUCAUUGCGUUGUUGAUUUUAUAAUUGUCUUUAUAGAGUUUUAAGUGAUAUGUAUAAUGUAUGCCAUAACCUCGUAGGCUCGUACCCAAAAAAAUAAAUUAUUGAAAACGUAUCAUCUUAAUUGUUUUAUUUCUUGGUAAUGCAGAUUAAAGUUAAAGUUGAUGAAUGUGAUUGGUUCUUAUAACAUAUAAAGAUUCUUUGAUGCCAAACGUGGCUGAUCCUAAUAGGAGCAACGCUCAUGAAGGGGAACCAAAGGCAUCUCCCUCGUAUUAUUGGGGACACAAUAGUUACAAGACAGCCUGGAGAAAUCGAAAUCAAAAACUCCAUCACUUGUUCCAUCCAUCUAGGCUUGAAAACCUCUACACACUUCCAAGUUUUCCAACCAUGCCAACUCAUAAUAAUAAUAAUAAUAAUAAACUCAUCUGCAUAUGAGAAGAAACCAUAAAUUUGCCUCCACAUUAUCGGCUUAAGGGCUCCACAUACUGGUGUCAUGAUGAUGGACCAUUUCCAACUAACUCCGAUACAAUAUGAUAGAAUAUGAUGAGUUAUUUAUUUAAAUGGUUCUUAAAUUUAUAUCCGAAUUUUAAAUGGUUAUUAAUUAAAUUAUUCGUUCAAAUAAUCUAUCAACUUUUUAUUAAUCAGCGGAUUAAUCAUACUAUUACACUCCAUCUAUAUUGCUGUUAAUUUGAGGGUUAAAAUUGCCAAUUUAUACUAAAAUACUAAAUAAUUAAUUAAUUAAAACAGAGAUAGAGGAAGGACGCAGAGGGUGAGGGCUAGGGCUGGUGGGGGUGGGGGUGGCUCUGCCUUCUUCUCUUCUCUCAUCAUGGAGAAAACAUAAAUUUCUUCAUUCUCUUAAUGAAGAACAGAUAAAAAAACAAGUGAUAAAUAAAAACAAGAAAUAUCCCCUUCAUCUCAUCCCACAUCCAUCCUACAGAGCAACAAAAGAGAAACUAUUUUUUUCCUUUUCCAUUUUUGCAACUCCAGCGAGAGGAAUCUAAUACCAUAAAUUGAUCAAGGCACCCAUGUGCCUUCUCCCUCAAUCCUCUGCUCCUAUUUCUUACAAUUUAGCUGUGCAACAAGUCGGCUCCACCAUUGUAAUUUGUCUUAGAGCUCAACGAGUGCCGCAACCUUGGCCAUCGAAGUCGGAGAAUUCAUAUCUGAACGAAGCCACUGUCAUUGUCAUCUCUCCGACGCCAACUAGUUGUCUUUCAGCACUGCUGUCAUUUGGUUGUACAGGGAGGGAAGAGGAAGAAGAAGAAGAAGAAAAAGGGAAACGAAAACUCCACUAUGUAAAAAGUCGCAUUUACCCUUCCGAUUCUCCUCACAUGCAGUUCACAUGAUUAAAACUCACAGAAAAUGUAACGGUGGACCAAUUCACUAAAUAAUAAAGAGUUGGUGGACCAUUUGAAAGAAUAAUUUAGUUGAGAGACCAAAAUGCAACUCGGGUAUAAGUUUGAGGACCAUUUGAGUAAAUAACCCAUAUAAUGAUAAAUAGCAGACAUUACUUGUCUCCUUUCGUGUAAGGAGACAUUUCUCUUCUUGCAAAUCACAAUUUAAUACAUAUACAGUAAAAAUUUACAUACAUACAUCAAACCGUGAUUGACAGGAAAGUAUAAGUUCCUACUUACAAAAGGAAAAUAUCAUUUUUACUAUAUUAUAUAUCUUCAGCUUUCAGUGGGCCCGACAGGCAACCAGACAGUCCUACUACAUUAUUAUUCACCUUAAACCAUGAUUCACUACAAGAAAAAUGUUUAUUAAUGGCCAUCAAGUUGGUCACAAAAAGUAAAGAUUUUGGUCACUGAAUAUAAUUAGUGUCUAAAUAAUGGUGGUAGAAGCUUGUCACAAAUUCUAUUCAGUAGCCAACUCCAAAUAUUGGUCACUGAAACGCAAACAAUUAGUGACUACCUCUAUUAGUCACUACUAUUAGUGACCGCAAAUUUCAUCACUAAAGGCUUUUUAUUUAGUCACUAAAACAUUCAAUUUGGUCACUAAAACCUGAUCACUUGCCCAUAUUUUACUCUUUAUGUAAACUCACAUCUAUUUUUUUUUCUUCAUAAAUAGUCUACUAAAGAUAAAAUCAUGAUACCCAAUACAAUGUGUAUCAUAUAUCAUUCCAAAAACUGUAUAGGUAUCAACAUUCCUCCAACAAAUUCACAAGACAUACAUCUCUCAAAUACAAAAUCUAAAAAUAAAUUGAUAAAUGUAUUUCAACCAGCACAUCUCUUGCUCAAUAUCUCGUGUUUGACCACACCUUCGUUGACUGCUUCCUGAAUCUGCAUGAAAAAAUUGAAGUAAUUUAGACUAUCAGAACACACAAAUAAGAGAGAGUCUAAACACAGUUCUGCAAUGUCCAGCACAAGGGUUUAUACUAGGAUUGUUAAAAGGAAUAAAAGACUUAAACUGGAUAAUCUCCACAUGGCCAUAUUUAUUGAGUAGAAUUCAGAAAGAAAGCCCACGCAAGUAACAGCUAAACUGAAUCUUUCAAGCAAUUAAUUCAAAACAUGAAGAAAAAUCGUGUAAAUUAAUGAACUGUUCGGAUUAGUAAUUGCAUAUAUACCUCUAGUGUUGAUGUCCCCUUUUAAAGUAGGAGUGAGCUACUGAGGAAGACUCAGAAAGUUCAUUAUCCGGAGGAAUCACAAUGCACCUAAGCAGAGCAGGAUCACAUCCUUCAAAAGUGAGGUUCAUGCUUUUGAACGAUAUGCUGUAAGAUGGCAGCAAUGGAAGAUAUGAGAAGAUUAAGCAUUGUGCAUGAAAAAUAACAUGUGUUAAGUAAAAGGUUCACAAUCCCAAAUUUCCCUAAACUUGAAUGAAAUCAUAAUGACUUUUAAUUCUUAUGAGUGCGUUGUCUCAUAAAAGGUUCACAAUCCUAAAUUGGCUUUUGCCGGUUAAAAAAUAUUAAAAUGUGUUAGGUAAAAGUCAACCACAAGAGUCUAGCGGUCAAAAUGCAAUUACAUAUACAACACAACGCAAAGAAAAGAACCUGAAACACGAGUGCUUUUCUAAUCAUAAAAUUAGCACAACCUGCACUAAUUACUCAAGCCAAAGCUAACAAUCAACCUUAUGUUCUGCAUCCUGAAUUAGUAAAAGUUUAUCCAUUGUUGAGAAGGGCCCUCUUGAUGCUUUGCUAUGUAUUAAUGCUUAUGAGCCCAUUCCAACAAACACAACCAAAUACAAUGAACCUUCUGCUCAAACCCUUCUCUAUUGUCUACCAUACACAUAUUUCAGCUAAACAUGCAGAUCAAAUCACUAAUCUGCACUAAAAGUGUGCACUAACGGAUAUUCCAUGUAUGGAUGGCCAAUGGUGAAAACAAAAAUAUAGAAUCUGCAUACCAUCAAUGAAUAAUAGAAUGAUAUUACUGAUUCUUUCAUAAGAAAAUGAAAAAUAAACAAAAAUUUGUAUACAAUCGUUAUAUUCAUGAAACACAGAACUGAUAGAGAAAUAAUGACUGAACCACCCAUGUGCAGAUGUAGAGCAAAUGACAUUUUGAUUAAAGAAUUGUACAAUAAUAAUAAAAAUUCAUGAAACUCGAAACUUAAAUCAGAGCCAUAUCUCAAAUCAAAGAUAAUUAAGACUUCAGUUAAGCAUAAAAACAAUCUGAUGAACAAACCUUCAACUUCCCAUAGUUGAGCUAAAAACAGGACUGGAUGAAAGGCAUGUUGAAAAGAAACAUAUAAUAAGAACAAAAUAGGAGAAGAAACCGAAAGUACAAAAUAGUAUUGUUCAUCUUCCCAAAAUAGUAUGAACAUAACUCUUAAGAUGAUAUUUCCUGAUCAAAUAACUAUUUCACGUCCACUACUAAUUGAUCGUUUGACAAUUUCAUAUCCCAAAAAAAGACAGAAUUUCAUAGCAAUUCAGCACAUCAAGCAUAAGUUCCAUAAUUCAAUAUCAAAAUUCCUUUGAAAGAACCCAACUUGAUAGGUGAAUACAGCUUAAACAAGAUUUGACGAACUCUUUUAAUUCUUUCUUCACCCAUGUAGUAGCUCAACUUCUUAACUUCACACGCUCAAGAGAUGAUAUUAAACGGACAAAAGAUGGCUGCCCAUACCACAGAAAGCAUUAGAUUAAAAAAAAUGAAACAAUCAGAGCAAGAAUAAAUCAGAGCAAGAGAGCAUAAGCAAAAGUCACCAAAAAGAGUAAACAAAGGCAACAUCAAGAUGAAAACCAAACAGCCAGAGAUCCAAGAUUUCUUACCAGGGGAGCUCAUGGUCUCAAAAGCUGCUUUCAGAAUAGGAUCUCACUAGCUCAACGUCGUUUCUCAAAUCGAAGCAUGCAUCUGCAACACCAAUUAGGAAGUUAGGGCAUCAAGCUUUUGGGAAUCACAACUCAAAAUCGAAAUUUCAUAUUGUACUUUUAGCAUACUUUCAUAGCAAUCACACCACUCCGUCUCUCAAUUUUAGAAACCGUAAACCCACCCAUCCAUCUAUCAGUUUUCGAAACCCCAACCUCUGCGUUAACUCUAUGGUUCAAAUCAGAGCAGAGAAUUUUGGGGAAGAAGCUACUCUACUGUAGUUUUCUCUCGACAAAAGUAAAGGAGGAGCUACUGUAGUUGACGGAAGGAAAAACAAAGAGUGAUGCUAAAUGAAUAUUAAAAUUAACUAAGCACACCUACUAUCAAAUUAUUUAUUGAAUUACUAAUUUAUUCUAAUAUAAAAUGACUAAAAUAAAUAUAUUGAAUCGUAGAACAAAUAUAAUUUAAAUAAAUACACCCUACUCACCAUAUUCUAUCUUAAUCAAACAUAAAAGAAGAGAAAGAAUGAGGAAAGAAGAGAAUGGGAUUGGAUUGGAAGUAUUGAAGUAUGCAAGAGUCACGAAGAAGAACAGAGAAAGAGAAAAUAUGAUAAUCAAGCCCAUUAUUUUGCAAUACCCUUUAUUGUUGUAGACUUCAAUGGUUUGAUAAUUUUAUACCUAGAUCCACUGAUCUAUUAAUCCGGAAGGCUACUUUUCUCUUUAUCGGCUGAUUAUGAUUGCUAAUGAAUUCAAGCAAUAUAAUUAUUGAUAUUUAAAAAGGGGGGAAUUCCAGUGAUACAACAGGAGUAAUCUUGGUCUUUUUUGGGGGGUCACAGAAGAACCAAAAAGAAGCAGAGGAAAGUGUGAUUUCUUGGCCUCUUUGAUCUUCGUCUUGGGCUAACCCCAUAUUCUUUUCUUGGAUCUCGGGUAUAAACGUAAACGGUCUCUUGUUGCUUCCUGUGCUAUCUCUGUGUAUUUUGAUUUGUGUCUGAUUUGGUUUUUCCAAAGAUUAUAAGUAAUUUGUCAAUUUCUUGGCCUAUUAUGAUCUAGGUCUGUUUCAUUUGUUGUACUCAUAAUUAACUACUUAGGAUUGAUAUUAGGGUAUUGUGUAAUAGAGUGUAUUAGGGUGUAGGGGUAUUUUUGAUAGUUAAAUAGAGUGUACUUAGUUAAUUUUACAUUUUGAUUCAAAUAUUAUGGUGUACUUAGAUCAUAUGGUGUACACAAUUAAUUUUAGGGUUCGUUUAGUAGAACUAAAAAAAAACUUUUUUUAAAAUUCUAAAAAAGGUCAUUAAUGCCUUAAACAUUCGUUUGAUAAUUUUUAUUAGGGGUGGGCAUCGGGACCGGAAAACCGGAACACCGAACCGAACCGGUGAAAAAAAACCGGAAAAAAAACCGGUUGACCAAAAAAGUCAACAAACCGGACCGGAAACGGACCGAACCGGUUCCAACCGGUUCCGGUUCUGGUUUUACAUCUCUCCGCACCGGACCGGACCGGUCAUGUAUUUUAUAUUUAUAUUUUUACAAAAUUUUAAAAUCUAAUGCCAUUUUUUAACUUCUAUAAUCACUAAUUUUCCAAGUUCAACUUCAAAAAAUUUCUAAAUGUAUGAAUUGGAUUAUUUGUUCAUUUUUAAGCUAAAAAAAUAAGUUAUUUAUAAUAAUUUUUUUUAAAAAAAAAAUUAAAAAAAUAAUAAAUUAAUAAUCCGGUUCAAAACCGGAACCGGACCGGAACCGGUUAGAACCGAACCGGCCGGUUUUCAAAAUUUUUUUUGCCUAAACCGGACCGAACCGGACCGGUUAAAUAAUACCGGUUUCGAUUCCGGUUUGAGGUGAGAAUUGGACCGAACCGGACCGCGCCCACCCCUAAUUUUUAUUAUUAUUUAAUUUGUGGUCACUAAUAAUAAACAACAUUGGGCUAGUUUAAAAACAAGCAACUUUCAGUGUGUUUAAACGAUAGAAAAAAAGUGUGUUUUUAAAAAAAGCAAAUGUACAAUACUCUUAAUGUAUAUAUACGUAUGUAUUUCUUCUAUUUAAUUCAUAUAUUCUUUACAAAAUGUUCAAUAAAACACAUAAAAUUAAUCUAUUAAAUAAAUAACUCUCACCUAUUAUUGAAUAAAAUAUAUAUAUAUUAAAAAAUUAUAUAAUGGACGAUUAAUAUCUAAUUUAGAUAUUUUAAAACUAGCAAAUUAAUAUUUAUAUAUUUUUUAUAAUUAAAUAGUAUAGCCGAGCGGCUAUACUCGAUUUUAUUAAUAUUUCUAUAAAAAAAAUAAUAUAGCUGGGCGCCUAUGCUUUUUUUGACAUGUGAGCAACUAGGACCUGCGAGGCUAACUCUUCUAUAAAAAAUAACUAGCCCCUUGGCACAUGCGUGAGCAUGUGCCAAUUGGUUUUAUUUUUUAUUUUUUAUUCUAUUUUUAGAAUUAAGAAAAGAUAACAUGGGUAGUUAUGUUCCAUAAAAGUAGGAUCUAUUAUCUGAUUAUUUAUUUAUUUAUUUAAUAUAAAAAAUGUGAAUUUACCAUAUUAUCCAUAUUUAUUUAAUAAUUUUAAUUUUUAAUGUUUGAAUUAACUAAGGGCAUUUUCUGAUAUUUUGAAUGUUUCACUAUUCUCUGCCUUUUGCUUUAUAUAUAUAGAUAAUAAUAAUAAUAAUAAUAAAUAGUAUAAAUAGUCUAACCAGCAGCUAUAUUUAUUUUGACACGCGGGCUCCUAAUUGCUAGGGAGCUCUUUUUAUAAAAAAAAAAAAACAAAACAAAAACAAAAUGGUAUAGCUGGGUGACUACAUUCGGGUUUUUUUUUUUCUAAAAAAAUAGUAUAGCCGUGCGGCUAUAUUGAUUUUGUCACACGGGGGAGAGUUCUUUUUAAAAAAAAAUAUGUAUAGCCGCUUUUUUAAAAAAAUAUAUGUAUAGCCGUGCGGCUAUACAUAUUUUGACACGUAAUCGCCAGACAAGUCGUUUUUUUGAAUAAAUAGUAUAGCCGUGCGGCUGUAUGUCUUAGUAUAGCCGGUCGGCUAUACCUUUUUUGACACGUGGUCAACUAGCCGCUAUGCGGCAAACUUUUUUUUUCAUAAAUAGUAUAGCCGCGCGGCUAUACUCUAUUUUUUAUGAAAAAAUAUGAUAGCCGCCGGGCUCUAUUGGGGUUUUUUGGUUUUUAUUUAUUUUUAAUAAAUAGUAUAUUUAUGCGGCUAUACGAUAUAUAUAUAUAUUGGGAUCCUUUUUUUUUCUUUUAAAUUUUUUCUCCUAUUUUCGUUUAUCGAUAAGAGUAUUUUAGAGUAUUAUCCAUUACUAUUAGGCUAUUACCCGAGUUUUUAUUGUCUCCUUUUAAUUUUUUACUUUUCAAAAGUUAUUACCCGUAUAAAGAAUUUAACACUUUCUCGUUUAAUACUCUAUUAUAUAUGUAUGUACGUAUUUUUCAAUAAUACAUCUUUGUUCUGUACACAUCUUAAAGACUCAUGAAGAAUUAAUGACCCAACUCAUAUAUUUGGUCACUGGUUUGACACUAGUUGUGACCAAUCAUGAUUUGGUCACUGCUGACCUUUUUUCUUGUAGUGAUUUAUAUCCCCAACAGAAGACAACUAAUCCAUCAAUCGGUAAGAAAAUCAAUGCGAAGUGAGAUAUUGAUAUCCUUGCAUCCAAGGUCAUGUGUAUGAAUACCCCUCUACCAAUAUCGCUUGUAUUAAAAAAAAAAAUCAAAAUCAAAAUCAAAGGCCUUCAUUGUUGAGCCUUCUGGCCCAUACAUACUUCUUCUUUAGGCUUAGAAUUCAUACCACGGGCUGAGAAUCGUUUAUUACUGCCCAGUACUGAGAUUGAGCUCAGGAAAGGAAGUAGGAAGAAAGAGACUCAAAGUUGAAAGCUUGAAUGGCGUGCCUUGUUGUGUCCAUGACCCUCUCCGUACCUCUCUCAGCCUCACAUUGCUUCACAAAGGUAAGUUCACAUUUACCAAACUUGUCGUCAACAAAAAAAGCCCCCAGCUUUUAUCCUUGAGGUUGAGCUGCUGAAACAAUCUUAGAAAACUUGGGAUUUGAAAGCAGGAGUGGGAAUAUGCUUCAGGAACAGGUUUUCUUCUUCAAUCUCUUUUCUCACUUGCCAAUUAUGCUUACUGUUAUACUUGUAUAUGAUUAGUUUUCAUAAGAUAUUAAAAAUCGCCCGCCUAGGUGGCCUGGGCGGGUCGGGUCCUUUUUUUUCAUUUUCCCAAUCGUAUUUUUCCAAGUAGCAAAAAUAUGAGCAUUAGAGAUCAAUUGCAUAAUAGCAUUAGGCUGAGGAUGUAUUUGAAUUACUAGAUCCUCUCAAGGUUCGAAAUCGUAUGUCAGGUUGGGGUGUUCCAACAUGAGUCCAGUCAGUGUGAAGGGUAACUUCAGCCCAAGUUUGCUGAUUUUUCAGCAAGUUAGAAUCUCUUCCACGGUACUAACAAGUUCCCUUUCCUUUGGAUAAUAUAUCUCAUGAGUAUAACAGAUCAUGAAAGAAAAGAAAAAAACUUUAAAAGGCAAUCCAUUUUUCUUGGUAAACAGAGUAAGCCUAUCAAGAUGCUAUUAUUUAGUCAUAUUUUCAUGGAACUUUCAACCAUAUUGUUCCUGCUUGCUCUGUUAUUUUAAUUGUAUAUGGCUGAAUAGUGUGUUCAGUUUCUCUUCUGUUACAUGGCGUCUAUUCGACUGAAUCUUUAAGAGUCUUUCUUUGUUGAGUUGCUGCAAUCAUUUUAAAUAACCAAUAGCCAGUCACAAGCAAUGUAUUCCAAGGAAUUUUUUGAGUAUUAGGAUUUGGUUGGAGAGUGCUAGGCUUAUAGGAGCAGCAAGCAUUUAACGAAAUUUAUGAGUUGGAAGAGAAGUUGGUCAUUUCGUAUAUAGUGAGAUAGAGCCCAACCGAAAGACAAAAAAAAUAAUAUGGCCUUUACUGAAGUUCACCAUGCUAGGUAGAGUUUGGAUUUUGGAUCGUGGUUCAACUUUUUGAUCUCUCUCUCUCUCUCUCUCUCUCUCUCUCUCUCUCAUGGAUAAUAUAUACAUCAUCUUUAACCUGUCCAUCUUAAUUUGAUGCAGUUGGAAACUUGGCAUUGGCUGCUUUGCGUAGUGCAGAUCAGGUGCACAAAGUUGUUGACUUUGAGAGGUUCUGAUUCGAACUUUAGGUUUCCUCUCUUUUUUAUUAGUAGUUUUUUUUGUCUUUUUCAUGUAUAGUUCUACUUCUGACUUUCCCCCCAACUUCCUUAUUGGCUGCUCAAAUAGAAUUGUUUACACAUUGACAUUAAAUUGUUGGGAUGGGGAGAGGGGUGGUGGUUGUUGGACGACACUAAUAAACCUUCUUUCAUGCAUGCUCAUUUCCAGAUACCUGAGGAGCACUCUCUCGUCAGAGUUCUAAACAUACCAUUUCAGAGCUAGUUUCCUUAAUGCAAUAGAUUCUUGGGUAUAAAUUCCUUGCAAUCUACAUACAAUUGUGAUGCAAACUUCAUUGACUCAGCGAUAGCAGUACAAACAUUUGUGAAAAUCAUAUAUAAUAAAGCUAGAUGAUUAAGUUCAGGAUUUCGAAAAAUUAAAUCUGAUAACCUUUUGGUUUCAUUUACCAAUCUGCUUUUCUCCCUGGCUAAUGUAUAUGCGGGCAAGAAAAUACAAGUUUCCUUCACACAAGGAUCUCAAGAACAUCAACCGAAAACUGAAAUCUUGUUGGGGUUUUAAUUCACAUGACGAGUAUGCUAUUCCUUAUCUAGAAAUAGUCACGUUUAAUCUGAUGCCCUUUUCUUUUGUAUUAAUGCCAAACUUUGACUGGUUUUCAGAAGUAAGAAGCUGGAUGCGAAAUCGAAGCUUUCUUUAUACCAAGAGAAUAAAUGCAAAAUCAAUUAGUUCAAGAGGAUAAAUUAAAGCUAAGGACAAGUGGUUAAGAUGGUCUCCAAAAACUAAUCACAAAAAGGUUCAAAAGACUCGUGAUUAAGAAGGUUUAAUGAGUCUAGUCCCAUUAUUGUUAAGUUCAUCAAACAUGAGUUAGAACACUAAUCCAUUUUAAUUGAAUACAAUAUGUCCUAACUCGUCAAUCACCGAACAAGAUAAUAUCUGAAUCAUAGGACAUAAACAACCCACCUUUCCCCAUCCCUACAUAGUUGGGGAAUUUUUAUGUAAGUUUCAGUUCCCAGACAGUCAGCUUCUUGGAAGUAAAGUCACCAAAUCUUCAAUCCUCGAGUGCAUGAAAGGCGAAGCUAAAUCUUGGCUUUGCCUUUUUCAUGCGUCGGCUCUAUACAUAACUAAAGCUUAGCUAAGCCUUAGCUAGCAAUACUCAUUUGGCACUCAAGAAGUGGGAGGGACCCAAAUCAACCCAAGCCAAGACUACGUGUACGGUCAAUUUUCAUUGUUCUUGCACUCACACUUUACAAAUAUACUUUGAGAUUGACAAGGGUUCUCCAGUUCACUUCUGAAAGUGCUAUUUCUGAGUGGUGGUGAUCACUAAGUAGCUUAGCUGUUGACAAUGACAUGCAUUAAGAUUUGGGUGUUUUUCAUAUGAGAUUGAUAUAUACCGUCAAAGUAUCAUGGAGUUCGAAUAUGAGAUCACUGACAUGAAAAUCAAGGUCCUUUUUUACUAAACUAGACCUCGUUAGCUAUGAAAAUAUUUAUUAGGAAACCAAAUUUACUAUAAGAUUUUGACGUCCUUGUCAAGGCCUGGCCAGCACUGGCAACAAAAUUCUGAUCUUUUGGACAAAAAGGAGAAAGGUGGAAAACAAGAUUCAAUACAUUCUUAUAUAAAUAUAAAUUGAACGACUUUGAUGCUGUGGCCAUAGUGCCACAUUAAAACAUUCUAAGAUAAACCACAGCCAUUAUUUCAAAGAAUCUUUUUUUUUUUUUUUUUUUUGUGGGUACGUUGACUUCCACACGACAUAAAAUAACAAGAGUAUCUAAUCCUAUAGCAACUGAGCUUUCAACUUUAUUUUCUAUAUAAUAUAUAUAUUGUUGAUGAUACUUGGAGUAAUCUAAUCCCAAUAAUUACAUUGAUUAUGAUUAAUAAGGUUGAAAUAUUGGCAUAAAGAGAUAAAGGCUCAGCUUCUUACUUUUUGCAUCACCACCAUAUAUAUAAUUAAGUGGAAGAAUAUGUGGCAGCAUUUUCGUGAAAAAUUUGUGUCUUUAAAAGGCUACCCUACGAUACUGACCUUUUGGUCUAAUGAUUAAUUAGCCAUUUCUUUUGUUUGAUUAGGUUUCGAGCUCAAAUCUUAUGAACGAUAUUUUGGUACUUAUUUUUCUUAGAUACAUGAUGUGAUAAUCUAAAUUACUCUUGGGUGCAAGGGAACAGACUCACUAUCCUUUCAACGCGCGGCUAUAUUUAUUUUGACAUGUGGCGCCUAAUAGCUAGUGAGCCCUUUUUUCUAUAAAAAAAAAGAAAAUAGUAUCGCAGUGCAGCUAUACUCAGUUUUUUUUUUAAUUUUAAAAAAAAAUAGUAUAGCCGGCCAGCUAUACGUAUUUUGAUAUGUGGCACCUAAUCGCUGGGGGCCCUCUUUUAAAAAAAAUAAUUAGUAUAGCCGUGCGGCUAUACGCUAUUUUAUUAAUAUUUUGUUAUAAAAUAAUAUAGCUGGGUGGCUAUACGUUUUUUGACACGUGGUCAACUAGGUGCUAUGCGGCUAACUUUUAUUAUUUUCAAAAAUAGUAUAGCCGCGCGGCGAUACUCGAUUGUUAAAAAAAAUUUGUUUUAAAAAAUAUUAUACUAUCUGGUUUUUUUUAUAUAAAUAAAUAGUAUAGCCGAGCGGCUAUACUCUUAUAUAUAUAUAUAUAUAUACAGUCCCGAUCUCUUGGACCACAGGGGUCCAAGAGAUUGUGGUCACCCACCAUUGGAUGUUAAUCCAAUGAUUCAAAAAAGUUUCUUAAAAGAAGUGCAAGAGUGAGUGAACCGUUGAAUUUACAUCCAACGGUGAGUGACCACAAAUCUCUUGGACCCCUGACUGUAUAUAUAUAUAUAUAUAUAUAUAUACUGAGAACCUUUUUUUCUUUUAAAUUUGUUCCCAGAUUUUCGUUUAUCGAUAAGAGUAGUUUAGAGCGUUAUCCAUUACUAUUAGGCCCUUAUUACCUAAGUUUCUAUUUUCCCAUUUUAAGUUUUUACUUUUCUACAGUAAUUACCCGUAUAAAGAAUUUAGCAUUUUCACGUUUAAUACUCUAUUAUACACGUAUGUACGUAUUUUUCAAUAAUACAUCCAUGUUCUGUACAAGUCUUAAAGACUCGAUAAAAUUCACAUUUUUUUAAAAACAAACAUACAAUACUCUUAUUGUACAUGUACGUACGUAUUUCUCAUGUUUAAUACACAUGUUUUUACAAAAUUUCAAUAAAACACACAAAAUUAACGUAUUAUACCAAUAAUUCUCACAUAUUAUUGAAUAAAAAUAAAAUAUAUUAAAAAAAUUAUACAGUGGCCGAUUAAUAUCUCCUUUGAAUAUGUUGAAACUAGCAAAUUAAUAUAUCUAUAUAUAUAAAGCAAAAGGCAGAGAAUGGUGAAAUAUCAAAAUACCAUUGGUUAAUUGAAACAUUAAGAAUUGAAAUUAUUAAUUAAAUGAGGAUAAUAUGAUAAAUUCACAUUCUUUUAUAUUUUAAAAAAAUUAAAAUUAAAAACAAAAUUAUAUAAUAUGUCAUACUUUUAUGGAACAUAACUACCCAUGUUAUUUUUUUUAUUUUAAAAAAAUAAAAAUAAAAAAGAAAACCUAAUGGCACAUGCGUGAGCAUUUCACGCAUGUGCCAAGAAGCUAGUAUAUAUAAAGUAAAAGGCAGAGAAUGGUAAAACAUUCAAAAUACCAAAAAAUGCUCUUAAUUAAUGCAAACAUUAAGAAUUGAAAUUAUUAAUUAAAUGCGGAUAAUAUGGUAAAUUCAUACUUUUUCAUAUUAAAAAAAUUAAAAUGAAAAGAAAAAUAAGAUAAUGGAUCCUAUUUUUAUGGAACACAACUACCAAUUAUCUUUUUUUAAUUCUAAAAUAUAAUUAAGAAUUUUUUUAAAAAAACCUCUCACAUGCGUGGAAGCGCCUGCUGAGAGGCUAGUAUCUAUAAUGCAACUAGGAGGUUCCUUUAUUCUUUUUAAAAAAAAAAAAAUUAAAUAGUAUAGCCGCCUGGCUAUACUUAUUUUGGCACGUGGUGCCUAGUCACUACGAAGCCCUUUUUUUUAAUUUUUUUUAAAAACGUAUAGCCACGCGGUUAUACGUAUUUUGACACGUGGGUGCCUAAUCGCUAUACAAUCUUCUUUUUGUUUAAAUAAAUAGUAUAGCCGCACGGCUAUACUCGAUUUUAUUAAUAUUUCUUAUAAAAUAGUAUAGCCGAGCGGCUGCACAGUUUUGACACGUGGUCAACUCGGCGCUAUGCAGCUAACAUUUUUUUUUUCAUAAAUAGUAUAGCUGCCCGGCUAUACUUAGCCGAGCGGCGAUACUCUAUAUAUAUAUAUAUAUAUACUGGGAUUUUUUUUUUCUUUUAAAUUUUUUCCCCGAUUUUCGUUUAUCAAUAACAGUAGUUUAAAGUGUUAUCCAUUACUUUAGGCGCCUAUUACCUGAGUUUCUAUUGGGAGACUCUAUUAGGUGCCGAUUUACUUUUUUUUCUAGAGCCCUUUUAAUUUUUUACUUUUCCAGAGUUAUUAUCCGUAUAAAGAAUUUAGCACUUUCACUUUUAAUACUCUAUUAUACCUGUACGUAAGUAUUUUUCAGUAAUACAUUCAUGUUUAGUGAUUUACAUUCCCAACAGAAGACAACUAAUCCAUCAACUAGUAAGAAAAUAAAUGCGAAGUGAGAUAUUGGUAUCCCUGCACCCGAGGUUAUGUGUACGAAUCCCCUCCACCAAUAUCGCUUGUAUUAAAAUAAAAAAUAAAAAAUCAAAGGCCUUCAUUGUUGAACCUUCAGGCCCAUACAUACUUCUUCUUUAGGCUUAGAAUUCAUGAUACGGGCUGAGAGUCGUUUAUUACUACCCAGUACUGAGACUUGAAUGGCGUGCCUUGUUUUGUCCAUGACCCUCUCUGUACCUCUCUCAGCUUCACAUUGCUUCACAAAGGUAAGUUCACAUUUACCAAACUUGUCGUCAACCAAACAAACCCUAGCUUUUAUCCUUGAGCUGCUGAAACAAUCUUAGAAAACUUGGAAUUUGAAAGCAGGAGUGGGAAAAUGCUUCAGGAACAGGUUUUCUUCUUCAAUCUCUUUUCCCAAUUGCCAGUUAUGCUUACUGUUAUACUUGGAUAUGAUUAGUUUUCAUAAGAUGUUAAAAAUAUGAGCAUUAGAGAUCAUAAUAGCAUAAGGCUAAUGUAUCCAAGUAUAACAGUAAGCAUAACUGAUAACCUCGGAGCUAGGCGCAUUAGAGAUCAAUUGCAUAUUAAACUUCGCCCGCCUAGGCGCUAGGCGUCCUGGGCGCAAACAUUUGUGAAAAAUUAUCAGAAGGCUAGAUGAUAGUUCAGGAUUUCAAAAAAUUUAAUCUGAUAACCUUUUAGUUUCAUUUUCCAAUCUGCUUUUCUUCCUGGCUAAUGUAUAUGCAGGCAAGAAAAUACAAGUUUCCUUCACACAAGGAUCUCAAGCACAUCAACGGAAAACUGAAAUCUUGUUGGGGUUUUAAUUCACAUGACGAGUAUGCUAUUCCUUAUCUAGAAAUAGUCACGUUUAAUCUGAUGCCCUUUUGUUUUGUAUUAAUGCCAAACUUUGACUGGUUUUCAGAAGUAAGAAGCUGGAUGCGAAAUCGAAGCUUUCUUUAUACCAAGCGAAUAAAUGCAAAAUUAAUUAGUUCAAGAGGAUAAAUUAAAGCUAAGGACAAGUGGUUAAGAUGGUCUCCAAAAACUAAUCACCAAAAGGUUCAAAGACUCAUGAUUAAGAAGGUUUAAUGAGUCCAGUCUCAUUAAUGUUAAGAUCAUCAAACAUCAUUGUUAGAACACUUGUUCAUUUUAAUUGAAUACGAUUUGUUCUAACCCGUCAGUCACCGAACAAGAUAACAUAUUAAUCAUAGGACAUAAACAAACCCCCCUUCUACUUUCCCCCUCUCUGCAUAAUUGGUGAAUCCUUGGAAGUAAAGUCACCAGAUCUUCAAUCCUUGAGUGCAUGAAAGGUGAAGCUAAAUCUUGGCUUUGCCCUUUUCAUGCGUGGGCUCUAUACAUAACUAAAGCUUAGCUAAGCCCUAGCUAGCAAUACUCAUUUGGCACUCACGAAGUGGGCGGGACCCAAAUCAACCCAAGCCACGACUACGUGUACGGUCGAUUUUCAUUGUUCUUGCACUCACAAUUUACAAAUAUACUUUUAGAUUGACAAAGGUUCUCCAGUUCACUUCUGAAAGUGCUAUUUCUGAGUUGUGGUUCUCACUAAGUAGCUUAGUUGUUGACAUGCAUUAAGAUUUGGUGUUUUUCAUUUGAGAUCGACAUAUACUGCCAAAGUGUCAUGGAGUUCGAAUCUAAGAUCACUGUAUGUAAAUUAAGGUCUUCUUUCAUUGAACUAGACCUUCUUGUCUAUGAAAAUAUGUAUUAGUCUAAACCAAAUUUGCUAUAAGAUUAUGACGUCCUUGUCACGGCACGGCCAACACUAGCAACAAAAUUAUGAUCUUUUGGACGAAAGGAGAAAGGUGGAAAACUAAGCUUUCAAUACUUUCUUAUAUAUAAAUUGAACGACUCUGAUGCUGUGGCCAUAGUGCCACAGUAAAACAUUCUAAGAUAAACCACAGCCAUUAUUUCAAAGAAUCUUUUUUUUUUUGUACGUUGACUUACACACGCCAUAAAAUAACAAGAGUAUCUAAUCCUAUAGCAACUGAGCUUUCAACUUUAUUUUCUAUAUAAUAUAUAUAUUGUUGAUGAUACUUGGAGUAAUCUAAUCCCAAUAAUUACAUUGAUUAUGAUUAAUAAGGUUGAAAUAUUGGCAUAAAGAGAUAAAGGCUCAGCUUCUUACUUUUUGCAUCACCACCAUAUAUAUAAUUAAGUGGAAGAAUAAGUGGCAGCAUUUUCGUGAAAAAAUUGUGUCUUUAAAAGGCUACCCUACGAUACUGACCUUUUGGUAUAAUGAUUAAUUAGUCAUUUCUUUUGUUUGAUUAGGUUUCGAGCUGGUGAAUGAUAUUUUAGUUCUUAUUUUUCUCGGAUACAUGAUGUGAUAAUCUAAAUUACUCUAAAUUAUUCUAAUAAAAGGAUAAAUGAAUCGAAUUUGGGUGCAAGGGAAUAGACUCACUAUCCUGUUCAACUCGCCUAACCCACAUAUUCUAUUUUGUUGGAAUAUUUAGACUACAAAAAAAAAAUGAAUAUUUUGAAUUAAAAGGCUUGUCUGCUACUUCAUUCUUUCUUAAUGUACAUUAUCCCAAUGCCUACCUAUAAGUGAAUUUUCUGAGACUAGAUUAUUAUUCCCUAAACCCUUAUUCAGAUGCUGGAUUUGUUUGCUAAUAGCCAUUACUAAACAAAAACUAUUUUUCCAAGUUAUAUGUAGAGAUUAAUAUAUAUAUGGAAUGAUAAUGACAUUUUAUUUUUACAGUUUCUGAUCUCAAAGACGUUGGCCGGCAGUUUCCUGAAAAAUCAUUUUGUUUUUUUUUUUUGUUUUUCUUGGGACAGGUUAUGAAAGAAUGAAGGCAAUCUCAAUAAUAUGCAUAUGAAUGUGACAUAUUAACUCAUUCAACAUUAAUUUUUUAUGACCUGAUCACAAAACCGCCCUUGCUAAUUUUAGAAGAGUCAACGUGAUUAUUGUGAGUGAAAACACCUGAGAGUUCAAACCUCGGCGGCUGCACAUUGUUUUUCAAUUACCACCCUUUUUUCUUCCUCCGAAGAACAAUAUCUUGAAAUUCUAUUAAAUUGUUUAUUUUAAAAAAAAAGAUAAGAUAAGAACUUUUGUCAUAUUGUGAGAUGUGACAAUUAGGAAAAUAUGAUAGCAUAUGUGAAAUGUGAUAGAAGUUCCUUUACUAAAUAAGUAAUGAUAUAAAUGUCAUUAGUGUUAUUCAAUUUUCAUUUUGUUAAAGAAAGUUUUGAGUAAAUUUGAUGGACGGUAAUUGUUGAGUUUCUAAAAUGACAUUCGCUAACCAAACUAAACUAAACUAAAAGAGUUCUAAAUCUAUAUUUAAAUACUUAGCGGUUAAGUAGAAGUUUAUCUAACUGAUUUGGAAGGAUUUCGAUUCUAAACUACAUUGGAAUCCUUUCAAGCUAAACAAGGAGAUUUCAGUUAUUUGAAUCAAGUAAAAAAGGGAAUUCCUAAGUUUAGUUUUCAAAUUUUGUAACGUUCGUAUUGAAAACUGCUGUAAAAUUGACCGUCUCAUAACAUAACGCGGAGACAUUAUUUUCUUUGUUAUGCUAAAUAUAGGUUAUAUUUGUUUGUCACCGCAAACUGCAAAGCCCCAACACGUGCUAAAAAGCUAAAACCCUUCUAAGCUUUUAUACUCUGUCGCCGAUGCAGCCGGACCAUCUUUCCCAUCCCCCGUUGCAAAAUCUGUGGGGCCCUUUGAAUUGAAAGAAACACAAAUCCGUUUUGGCAUUUGCUUUGCUUUGCUCGAGCCUUGAGAGAGCUUCAUGAGUCUGACUGUGAGCUGCCUCCUUCUCCUUCACUCUUCUCUCUCUCAGCUGCCACUUGUCCAUAUCUCUCUCUGCCUUUUCAGCUCUUCUGCACCAUCUCCCUGGUGGGUUUUGGUUGUUUUUGCAGGACCAAGAGCAGAGCUUUCUCAGAAUUCAUUUACGUGAAGAAAAUUAAGCGGCCUUUGCUGGGACCGAGCUAUGGCAACUGGAGAAGAAACCGUUGCUGAAGAAAAUGAUGGUGGCAUUUCCACCAACAAAGCUGGCCCUUCAAUCCAAAAGGUACCUCAUUUUCGCUUCCUUGUUGAAAAAUCUAUGAUGGGUUGUUCUGAUAUGUUUAUUUCCUGCUCAUAAAUUUCAUUACUUGUGGAUUCAAUUCAUCUUGCCGGAUAAUGUUUGUGAUUAUCUCUAUGUUUGUGUUUAAAAACUCAAACUUGAAGUUUUUUUUUUGUACUUAACUGGGUGAACCAUAGUUGAUAUGUCAUACUCAUUUUUCGCUAUGCAAUUAUUGGUUUUAGUGCACAGCCAAGACAAAGUGCUGAAAGAUAUCAAUUGAUUUAAGGCUCCAUAAUCUGUCAACAACCAUAAUAUCAAUCUUCAGUUGAUAUUUGUAUUAAUAUGAAAUUCAAGUUAGAAGCUUCCAAUUCCUUUUAGAACUAGUCAGGAUUUACACUGCUAUUGUUUUCAUUCUGUAUUUCUUCUGUUUUUUUUUUUUAAUUAUAAUUUUUUUUGGACAAAAGAGCUUACUGCUGAUUUUGGCUUAAAAUUAUGUAUUUUCAUGUUGCUCUGAACAAAGGACAAAUCACAUGAUUAUGUUCUUUCAUAAAUCUGCUUCAAUAUGUAUCCCCUUUGGUCUUUCCUUUAUGCUGGCUUUGUCCUCAAUCUGCCAUACCUAUGCAAGUGAAGUGAAAUUGACUUGAGCUAGUUCUUCAAUAUUCAUUUCUUAUUUUCCGUUCAUCAUAGAUGUGCUUGUCUGAGAUUUUUGUAUAACUGAUCAGGAAAAGAUAAUGUGAAUGUAAAUUGCGUAUUUUCGCUGAUCCUGGAUGAUUUUCUUUUGCUCUUCUUUUGCAGGGUGGAGACGCCGCUGAGAUAAUUGAAGAAGCUCCUCCUGGUCAACCAUGGAGACGACAGAACCUCAUCUUACAGAUACCUUCAAGAAGUCUUGAGGAUGCCAAAGAAGAUUUUGUGAGAAUAAACAUGCCCCCAACGCCGAGUCUCACUCCCAAAAGAGUAAACUUCUCCCCAUUACCCAGCCCUAGUUUAGCCAAAAUCAGUGGGUUGCCAGGUCCCUCAUCAUCAAAAGCUAAAUCAACCAUAAAAAGCCUCCUUCCAAAACUCAGUUUCAAACAUCGGAACACUACUUCAGAGAUUCAGAAGGCUGCCACUCUAGCCCUGGGAGGCUUACCUGCAGGGACACGUGAGAAGCCUUUAAUUUCAAGGACAUGGUCCUUUACAAAGCUUUUGACUCCUAGAAUGAAAAAUGCAUCAUCCUUGCCUGUAACUCCAAUUGCUCACUCAAAUCCAGAGUCUAUGCAUGGAGGGAACACAAUUGAUAUGCUCAGUUCUGUUGUGAGUAUCUAUCACUUGUUAGCUUGAGAAUAAUUAAUGCAUCAAGAAGAAUUUAAGUUGACCAUAUUGCAUGUUUAUAUAAUAAAGAAAAUCUCAUAUACAUUCUGGAGGUCCUUUAAACUUACUGUGUAGUGUUCAAUUUUAUUUAAGGAUCAUUUAACUGAUUAUAUUAUCUACAAUGGAGAGGAAAUUGCUUUAGAUUUAUUGUAUAUCUGUGUAAAGUUUUGCUUAUUUUGGCAAUUCUACUUGCUAGUAGCGCUCUACAGAGCAUUAGCAAAAUUCCAAGAUAAGUUUAAAUCUAGUUGAUUUCCUCAAUGUCACAUGUACUGGUGGCAGUGCACCCACCCUCCUUGUGAAGAGUUCCUGGACUUUCCCCCUUAAUUUCCUGUACUGAUUCUACCGAACAUAUUACUUCUUGGACCAAAAAGAUAACCUUUUCUCCUUGGUUCUUUACAAAACCGGGGUUUGAAACCAAACUUCAACUCAGGAGGAUAGAUGGGGCGGUUCAGGUGAGAUCCAAUGUAGAUCCAACUUUCUAUUCACUCGUGGGAUCCGGGCAGUCCGGGAGGGACCACCACGACUCCUCUUCUUGGAGACUAAAUGAGAGGGGAGUUCAUCACAAUGGAGGAUAGAUUAGUUUUAUAGAGUUUGAUUAGCAGCCCAGUUUUCUGUUGGUGCACCACGUAUUUUUUCUUUUAAGCAAAAGCUAAAAUAUGGUUCCUAUUAUUUCCUCUAUCAAUUUGAGUCCCACAGUGAGUUGUCCUGCUCUUUCAUUUUAUGAUCCAAAAGUUUGUUACUUUUUAAAUUAUCUACAUGAGGUGCUUCUCUUUGAUCUUUCAUCCGAGUCUAAUAAUAUGUCUAUUUUUUGCUUGCAGUUCAAUUUUAUUUGUAUUGAGUAUUUGUACCAUUAUUUUUUGUUUCAAUUCCUGACUUUGCAGAAAGGAGAGGCCCAACUACCCAUUCAUCGUUCACAAUCAGUCCCUGUGAUUAAUAAAGAUGGAAGUAUAUAUUUAGGUGGUGUCAUUCGUGUAAUUCCCACCACACCACGAAUGCCUGAGAGGGCUGUCACGACAACUUCAAGCACAUCCCCAGUAACUGACACUGGUAAAUUUUGCGUUUUAAUUGUCUUUUUCCACAUCCACAAAAAAACCUCUCCUAUCCCUGUGGGAGUACCAGUUGUCUGUAUUUUCAGAUUCUAGCUACCUUUGACCCUGGUUUUGUUACUUGUGAUAACCAACCUAUGCCUUAUCUUAGUCUUGCGGUUCAGAUGGAAGUGAUGAUGGCGGUGAAGAUAUUGCUGUAGAAGAAGCUGUUUGUCGAAUUUGCUUAGUUGAACUAGGUGAAUGUGCUGAAACCCUCAAGAUGGAGUGCAGUUGUAAAGGUGACCUUGCUCUUGCCCACCAAGAAUGUGCUGUCAAAUGGUUCAGCAUUAAAGGUAAUAAAACAUGUGAUGUAUGCAAGCAAGAGGUUCAGAACCUACCCGUCACACUAUUACGAAUUCAAAAUGUUCAGACCCUUAAUUCUCGAGGAAGUAGAGCACAGCAGACUGAGGUUACUCAGUAUAGGCAAGUGAUAUUUUAACUGUUAUAAUGCACAGGAAAGGGAAAUUUCUGUGCUUACUAUGUCUGUUGUGUAUGGUCUUAUUUUUUAAUAUGUUCAACACCACCUUCUAGGAUGGGAUAAUUAAUAAUUAAUGCAAAAAUUUCCAGGGUUUGGCAGGAUGUUCCCAUCCUUGUCAUAGUCAGCAUGCUAGCUUACUUCUGUUUUCUUGAGCAGCUUCUGGUAAGUCAUGCAAAUUCUUUGUACUUUUUCUUUCUUAGCCUUUCAGUUUCUAAGUAAAUCAAAUGGACAGGUGGGCAAAAUGGGAUCGGGUGCAAUUGCUGUCUCUCUUCCUUUUUCCUGCAUAUUGGGUCUUUUGGCAUCCAUGACAUCAACCACAAUGGGUAGGGCUACGCUUGAAAUUACUUAUCUAGAAAUAUUUUCAAAUUCAUGAAUUCAUUGAUUUUCUUGCGACUAAGAAGAAGAAAAAAAAGAAGAAUUCAAUGUCUUUCUACUAUACUGACUUAGAAAUUCGUGCACAGUGAGAAGAAAAUUUGUCUGGGUUUAUGCAACUACUCAGUUUACACUGGUGGUUCUCUCAGCACAUGUGCUCUAUUCAUUGGUAAGAGUUGCUCAGCUACUCAAGUAGUGAUAGGAUUUGUGAAGUAACUGCUCUGCUACUCCAUUCAUGAAAAUGUGAUGAUUCUACUUAGUGAAAAAGUUUUUCUCUGUUUUGGGUUACAAAAUGCUUAGAACAAGCAACUGCUGAUCAAUAAUCUUAUUGUCAAGUGAAAAUCCACUAAGUCCGUGAUGAGGCUUUAAGUGUUGAAUAUUGGUGUUCACCUUCGUAUCCAUAACAGUGUCUUAUAUGUUCUUGUUGGGUCUACAGCUUCACAUGCAUGCAGUUCUGUCUGUUCUCCUUGCCACUUUUAUGGGGUUUGGAGUUACAAUGUGUGGAAAUUCUAUUAUUGUUGAGGCUUUUAGAUGGAGAGAAAGAUGGCUUUUUCAGUCAAAUCGACAGCGUGGUUCUCAGGAGGUGACGCAGCCGAAUCAAUCACCAGAGAAUGCACAACAAGCGCAAACGAAUCCUCAACAGCUUGAAAAUGAAACUCAAGUUGCAGAAGCUAUUCAUGGCAGCUGACUUCUGUACUUUAACAUGCACUAAAACCAUAGUUGCAUACUAGGAGGGGCUGUAAAUAAAUAUAGAACAUGUUAAGAGUAGUUGUAUAUAACUAUUUCCCAUGUAUAGCUUGGCCUUAGAAGAGUUCAAAUGACAACCCGUGGUGAAACUUUUGGCUUCCUUGUAUGCAUGCGUAUAUAUAGUGUUCUAGUGAGGACUCAACUUGAGAGCCAGAUUGUUCGACUCAUCCUUGAUCCUUCAAUAUGGUCUAAUGAUCAAAAUUGUUCGGAUUUUAGGUCUUCCUUCUGGAUAAUCCUUUUUUCUUGGGUCAGGUUUAUCAUUCUUUUUCGGUCACCCAUACGACACUUUGUUUCUGCUUGAAUCUAAAAGUGAGCUCUUUUUUAAAAAAUAAAAAAAAUCAAAACUAAUCCAACAAAUGGUUCAUAGAAAGGGUAAGAAUGCAUUAAGGGCUGUAAAAUAAAUUACCGCUCAACGGCACUGCUGGGAUGAAACAGAUCUCAAGGGAGCAACAUCAUAUCAUUCAUGUAGGUCAGUAAAUAUAUUCUAGCAAAAGCCGUUUUGUACUUACAAAUGGGGGUUUUUCUCCCUCCCAGCCUCUUACUGCCUUCAAUGACAUUUUUGUCUAUACAAUAGAAUCAGUUGGUUGCAUGGCAAUGCCGGUCAGAUUACGCUUACAAAGUGCUAUUUCUGGAAAAACCAACUGGAUGACAAAAGAAAAUUGGCUACACAGGCAAAUGGAACUGUAACCCAAUGGGGAAAAAAUUUCGAAAAAAAAUUUCGUAGCUUGUUUUGCAUUUGUGUCUUGAAUUGAUGACAGUCUGGUCAUUGCUUGUAACUGGAACUACCAACCUUGCCUGAGGAUAAAGGCUUCUCCUUCAAACUGGUGCUUAACACAGUUUCAGAGUUGUUUGAUUGGCUUUCUGAAACCCCGGGUCUCAUCCAAACUUUUAUAUGCCCUUCUCGGCAGACAGUGAGAACGGAUUCUUGAGUAAACAUCAAGCCAGAGAGGGGUUCAGUGUGUACACGGUGAGCAACCAGUGGUGAGAUUUUUGGAACAUCUCGCAUGAUUGGAGCAGGCUGAAGAGUACCCACUGGAAGUGCGUUGUCCCAAUGAGAUGACUGGCUUCCAGCACUAUAAGUGGGGGAGCCACCAGGAGGGCAUCGCCGCAAUGGCACCACAAUCUCAUCCAUUUCCAGGUCCCACAGAAGCAACUGGGUGUCCUGCACUCAAAUGGAUAAGUAUAAUGAAACAAAGAAAUAUCAUAUGGUUUUGAACUAGGAAACUAUUUUCCAAUUAAAUAACUAGUAUUUUCAAAACUUUUGCCGUCUCAUUUCCUUUCCCUAUCUCCAAUCUAUAUAUACAUUUGUAACUACUAUGUUUUUAUCCACCUGCAAAAAA
rnacentral:lncRNA from 1 species